GCUUCGCCGGGGAGCUCGGCGGUGGGGGAGCCCUCCUCCGCGCCGCAUGGUCCGGCGCCUCGUGCUGCGGCUGGGAAGGUGUGGGCUGCGACAGCACCAGCGGCCGCGUCACGGUGCUGCGGCUCCCCUGGCGCGGCCUGGCGGGGCACAUCCCAGGAGCCUCCCUGGCGAGCCUCGUGUGGCUUGAGGAACUCUUCCUCGGCUCGAACUAUUUUGUGGGCGUCUUCCCAGACGAGCUCUUCGGCCUCGUCAGGCUAAGGAAGCUCUCCCUCGCAUCCAACGAGCUCGCCGGCGAGCUGAGCUCACGCCUCGGUGAGCUCACACAUCUUACCUUGUUGGAUUUGUCUGCCAACCGCUUCUUCGGCCCCCUCCCGGAUGUGUUCGGCGACCUCACGUCGCUAGAGCAUUUGGCCAUGCAUUCCAAUGGCUUCUCUGGCUUCUUGCCACCGUCUCUAUCAUCACUAUCUUCUCUCCGUGAGCUCAACCUCCGAAACAACUCCAUCACUACAGGAAAAUUCGGUUUUCCCGUGUGUUAGCCUAUAAGCCGUGCGCUAUUUUUCGGGCACCCGGCUUAUGCACCUCGAAGCCGAGUCUAGGGAACAAAACACCCGGCAAACAGGAAGAACUCGGCUUAUGGUCACCUAUAAGCCGAGUGCUGCAAAAAAACUCUCGGCUUAUACGAAGCACACGGUAUCUACUCGAAAAAGCACCCGGCUUACAGCACACGCUCGGCAAAGACAGAUUGCCACGUGUCCGCAACGGACGUGGCUGACGGCGCCGUCACGGAGCAUCAUGUAAGCCGUGUGUCCGACGCAGGCACUCGGCUAACAGGACAUAUAAGCCGUGUGCCCCAGCAAGCACUCGGCUUACAGGACAUAUAAGCCGUGCGCCCCGCCCAAGCACUCGGCUUACAGGAUAUAUAAGCCGUGAGCCCGAUGAAAGCACUAUGCUUACAUAUUUGCGGAUUUUUUUUCAACCCAUAACAUUUAUGCAAAAUUGAUUUAAGAUGGUUUUCAUUGCAUUUAUAUUUACUACUUAAUUAGUAUUAUUAUUCUUCCCUAGUAGUUUUCAUGGGUCUUAUUUGAAAAACUCUAAAUUUAACGCCACUUUAAUAUUUAUAUGACUUUCGACCCCUAGCGUAACCAUAUUAUGAUGACAUGCAAAAGCAACUACUGAAACUUCACUCUACGCCGAGUGCGUUGCUCUUCAUUUAGAGCCAAUACACGGGCACUCGGUAACGUGAAGUAAGGCAUGGAGCCGAGGUAAUUUUGCCCCCCCCUAGUGGCCGGGCCCGCCCCUCCCUCGUCUGCAAAAGGCCUACGGAUGUCGCAAAGACAUCACAUAGGACUUUACAUGCCGCUUCUGGGCAUGAUUUCAUGUGCCGCCUUGCAGAUCUGCAAUUUCCGGCAUCGAAACUAUAGCAGUGGAAUAAAUGUCUCAAAUAUUCUAGGCGGGUCCGAAAAUUGCGGGGGCCUGACACAUGUCAUUCGAUCGCCUCCUUUGAGAGCACGGUAAGUUUCGAUGCCAAUGGAGAAACAUGGCCCACACUUCCUUCACAAAUCGCACUCGUUCCCUCUCGGUACCUAGAGACUACAGCAGAGACGGUGUAGUUUACGAGCAGUCGGAGGUGAUCCCUACUCGAAACACGCCCAAACUUUUACCACACCCUACAGGGGCCAUGUUAUGACACCGUGCCAGCUCCCGAGGAUUUCCGGCAUCGUACGAGUUUUCGAUGAUUUAAACGGUUGGAUCAGGCAUGGCGACGAGGUAACUCCCCCCCCCCCCGGUGGCUGGGCCAGCCCCUCCCUCGUCUGCAAGAGGCCUAUGCAUGUCGCAAAGACAUCACAUAGGACUUUACAUGCCGCUUCUGGGCAUGAUUUCAUGUGCCACCUUGCAGAUAUGCAAUUUCCGGCCCCGAAACCCUAGUUGUGCAAUAAAUGUCUCAAAUAUUCCAGGCGGGUCCGAAAAAUGCGGGGGCCUGACACGUGUCAUUCGAUGGCCUCCUUUGAUAGCAUGAGAAGUUUCGAGGCCAACAGAGCAACAUGGCCCACACUUCCUUCACAAACCCGACUCGUUCCCUCUCUGUACCCAGAGACUACAUCGGAGAUGGUGUAGUUUACAAGCGGUCGCAGGUGAGCCCUACUCGAAACGCUCCCAAACUUUUACCACACCCUACAGGGGCCAUGUUAUGACACCGUGCCAGCUCUCGAGGAUUUCCGGCAUCAUACGAUUUUCCAAGGAUUUAAACGGUUGGAUGAGGCAUGGCCCCGAGGAAAUUUUGCCCUCCCCGGUGGCUGAGCCUGCCCCUCCCUCGUUUACAAAAGGCCUACGCAUGUUGCAAAGACAUCAUACAGGAGUUUACAUGUUGCUUCUGGGCAUGAUUUCAUGUGCCGCCUUGUAGAUCUGCAAUUUCCGGCGCCGAAACCCUAGCAGUGGAAUAAAUGUCUCAAAUAUUCUAGGCGUGUCCGAAAAAUGCGGGGGCCUGACACAUGUCAUUCGAUCGCCUUCUUUGAGAGAACGAUAAGUUUCGAUGCCAAUGGAGCAACAUGGCCCACAUUUCCUUCACAAAUCAGACUCGUUCCCUCUCGGUACCUAGAGACUACAGCGGAGAUGGUGUAGUUUACGAGCAGUCGGAGGUGAUCCCUACUCGAAACACGCCCAAACUUUUACCACACCCUACAGGGGCCAUGUUAUGACACCGUGCCAGCUCCCGAGGAUUUCCGGCAUCGUACGAGUUUUCGAGGAUUUAAACGGUUCGAUCAGGCAUGGCAACGAGGUAACUUCCCCCCCCCCCCGGUGGCUAGGCCAGCCCCUCCCUCGUCUGCAAGAGGCCUAUGCAUGUCGCAAAGACAUGACAUAGGACUUUACAUGCCGCUUCUGGGCAUGAUUUCAUGUGCCAGCUUGCAGAUCUGCAAUUUCCGGCCCCGAAACCCUAGCUGUGCAAUAAAUGUCUCACAUAUUCCAGGCGGGUACGAAAAAUGCGGGGGCCUAACACGUGUAAUUCGAUGGCCUCCUUUGAUAGCAUGAGAAGUUUCGAGGGCAACAGAGCAACAUGGCCCACACUUCCUUCACAAACCCGACUUGUUCCCUCUCUGUACCCAGAGACUACAUCAGAGAUGGUGUAGUUUACAAGCGGUCGCAGGUGAGCCCUACUCGAAAUGCUCCCGAACUUUUACCACACCCUACAAGGGCCAUGUUAUGACACCGUGCUAGCUCUCGAGGAUUUCCGGCAUCAUACGAUUUUCCAAGGAUUUAAACGGUUGGAUGAGGCAUGGCCCCGAGGUAAUUUUGCCCUCCCCGGUGGCUGAGCCUGCCCCUCCCUCGUCUACAAAAGGCCUACGCAUGUUGCAAAGACAUUACAUAGGAGUUUACAUGUCGCUUCUGGGCAUGAUUUCAUGUGUCGCCUUGUAGAUCUGCAAUUUCCGGCAUCAAAACCCUAGCUGUGCAAUAAAUGUCUCAAAUAUUCCAGGCGGGUCCGAAAAAUGUGGGGGCCUGACACGUGUCAUUCGAUGGCCUCCUUUGAUAGCACGAGAAGUUUCGAGGCAAACUGAGUAACCGGGCCCGCACUUCCUUCACAAACCCGACUCGUUCCCUCUCGGUACUCAGAGACUACAUCGGAGAUGUUAUAGUUUACAAGCAGCCGCAGGUGAGGCCUGCUCCAAACACGCCCAAUCUUUUACCAGAAUAUUGGCACGAUAUUUUAAAGAAUGAAAAUAAUGAAAUAAGGGGAGACGGUAUCAUUUAUGAGAACAAUUAAAUAAAAAUACAAUAAAAAGUAUUAUAAAAAUAAAAAUAUAAUGAAAAUAAAAAAAUAACAAUACAAUAAAAAUAUCAAAAUAAAAAUAUAAUAAGUAUCAUAAAGAUACAAUAAAAUAAAAACACAUAAAUUAUUAAAAGUAAAACUAAUAAACUUUUUUUAUUAAAAUAAUUUUUUUUAUAAACCGUGUAUUUUUCUUUGACACUAGGUUUAUCGUGCUGCACCAGGCUUAUAGUGAGCGCGGGACUUGGCCAAAAUAGACGCGCGCAUAGCUUAUUUUGGCCCAAUUAUCGNNNNNNNNNNNNNNNNNNNNNNNNNNNNNNNNNNNNNNNNNNNNNNNNNNNNNNNNNNNNNNNNNNNNNNNNNNNNNNNNNNNNNNNNNNNNNNNNNNNNNNNNNNNNNNNNNNNNNNNNNNNNNNNNNNNNNNNNNNNNNNNNNNNNNNNNNNNNNNNNNNNNNNNNNNNNNNNNNNNNNNNNNNNNNNNNNNNNNNNNNNNNNNNNNNNNNNNNNNNNNNNNNNNNNNNNNNNNNNNNNNNNNNNNNNNNNNNNNNNNNNNNNNNNNNNNNNNNNNNNNNNNNNNNNNNNNNNNNNNNNNNNNNNNNNNNNNNNNNNNNNNNNNNNNNNNNNNNNNNNNNNNNNNNNNNNNNNNNNNNNNNNNNNNNNNNNNNNNNNNNNNNNNNNNNNNNNNNNNNNNNNNNNNNNNNNNNNNNNNNNNNNNNNNNNNNNNNNNNNNNGCACUCCCUCCGCCGACGCACAGGUCUCUCUCUCUCUCUCUCUCUCUCUCUCUCUCUCUCUCUGUCUCUCUCUGACAGGUCUUGGUUCACCGCUGCUCUGUUGGCUGCUCCAGGUCCGGCUGACAGGUCCGGCUGCUCCUCAUCUCCGCCUCGCCAGCCGGCAGCGCAGCGCAGCGCAGCCCCCGCCGCCUCCUCCCCCACUCUCCCGUCAGCAUGGUCCACGGCUCCUGGAUCUAAAGCAGCCGCACCGUGCUGCCGCGGUGCACAGCAGCAGGUUCCCAAGACAACCCUCGCCGUCCCUCUGACUGUCUCUCUCUCUCUAUGACUGAACCCAACACAACCCUCAUUCGCAGGUCGCAGCUAGCUAGGCAUCAGCGGCACCGGUCACCGGCGGCAGCGUACAUCACCGGCUGCAGCGUACAUCACCGCGCGCGGCAACGGACGCAGUACGCACUCAUCCCCUUUUUUUAACUUCUCAAUUUCAUACAGUCUUGCAGGUCAGGAUGUCAAUGGACAGCUCGCUGGGCAUUGUGGGACUUGCCCGCUCUGACCACCACUUAUGUGGGAUUAUGUCAUAGUCCAGUUAACUUUUUUGUGGCGUAUGUAGUGUCCACAUAGUACCACGUAUUCACAGAGCAAACUGACACGAAUAUACUACUUACAAUAUAGUGCCAUUAGUGCGGGCCUAAUUAGUAACACCUCCGAUUAUUCGGUACAGAGCAAACAUAGUACAGGAAAUUGGCAACUCUAAAUCUCUAGAUUCAACAUUUAUCUACAACUUAGAUUAUCAAAGCUGAACCCAAUGGACAUGAUUAUGGCUAUCAAGAUGUAAUGGAGAGUGACCAAUCUGCAUCAAUGAGGUGUUUGAAGUCUGAACCUUUCAUCUACCUAGAAGGGAAUGGCAUGCAAUGAGGUGUCCGAAGUCUGAACCUUGCUCCAUAUCAUUUAGUUCUCAAGUUACUGCAACCCGAAUUUGCAUCAGUCCUCACCGUCUACUACUCCGACGACGUACGACAUCCACCGGUCCCAUCUUCCAAGUCCCAUAGGCUGCAUCGCAGCAGAGGGGGAGAGGCAUAUGAGCGCUAGAGGAGCAGAGCAGAGGUACCGUGAAGUCGUUGCCGAAGGCCUCAUCUGAAUCAGCUCCGGCGGCGACGACGUCGGCUUUGACGUCAGGCGCAACUGGGACGGCAGAUCUGGUCUCACCGGCUUUUCUGGGCUGUCCAUUUGUGCCAUUUAUUUUUGCUGGACGUCCACCAACUCCAUUUGAUCUUUUUUUGCUGGGUGGCACAUGUGGGACUAGUGGGACCCAACGCCACUUACAUCCUGACUUGCAAGAAUGCCAGUAGUCGCGGCUGUUCUUCUCUUAGUUUUAUAAUGCUGCAUAAUACACAAGUUUUAACACAUCUAUCAACUAAGCCAAGUUUUAACCUUUGAGAGAAACUAUCAAAGGACCAUUGGGAUUUCAGGAUAAGAAAUGAGCAAGUAGCCUUGUACAAACGAAAAACGAGUUCCAACACCACUUCUAAAUUUGAUUCGUGUUGCUGCAGCCACUCAACCCAAAGACCAAUCCACAAGGGAAAGCUUUUUUUGCAGCUAGCUAGGCCUUUAAUUUGUGGCUACCAGCAACCAAGAUUUAUCUAUCACAUCACAUUUGAUUCAUUGGUUCCUGCCUGGAUAUGUAAGAUUCUUGGAGCAGUAUAGAACUAAAGGGAUGCACAAAUGGGCAACCUUCAAAGCCUGUACAGAAGUUCAAUGACAUGAAUAUUUCCUCUAUGCAUGAUUUUAUAAUUUUCUAUAUGCGUUUGAGAUUAGGCUUUUGUAUUUUCUUUUGAGAAAAAAGGGAAAAGCUAAGUAGCUAAUAAACGGUAUAUUAGAAAGGAGUGGCCAGAGCACAUAUUUGUUAUUGUUAUGGAAAUACAAGUAUUGCCACUGUAAAUACAAAAGGAGUGGGCAGAGCACCUAUUCUGCAUGUGAAUUAUGUUUAGUCCCAGUUUGCAAGUUUUGCAUGUGGAUUAUGUUUGAUCCCAAUUUUCACUUUAUUGCAGGACAUGCAUUAGUUUGACGUCGAGACCGUUGUCGCGGAGCUUCUUGCUGGACGGAAGACCGGCACCGAACAUGCUUCGAGGGUAAGAAUCAUUCGCCUCGUAGGAUUUAUGGAUAUUAUUGCUUCUAUUGCAGAAUAGGGAGAGAGGUGAGGGCCAAGAGAAGCUCAAUACCUUCACGGGAUUAUGUCUCUCCCGCAAGUCAAAAGAAACCGGAAGGGGGGUGGGUCAACCCAGGCGCUGGCUUGAGGAUUGAUGCAUACAGUGGGAAGUUCAAGGAGCACAACGGGCCUGACUCUAAUCCGGCCUCACAGGACAUUGACACUACAAUUUCCCUCCAGUCGGGAGAUGGCAAGAAGGGUGGUCGGUUAUAUGUUGGCGACGGUGCCAUCCGUAAGAAGGACAUCCCAAAACUCUCUCACGUCCGUGCUACCACGUCGAGCUCAGGUCCUGCUAUAGAGCAUCGCCCACAGCCUGGGCUGCACAUGCUCCAUCAACUCGAGGUAUCUUUUGCUUCAUCGACCUUCCUUGUGAUUUCUUCUUUGUAUUGCAACGAUGGUGAACUUGUUGUGAUGGCAUAUUGUAGGCCAAUGCCAGGCUUCGAGAGGAGGAAGCCAUGAAAAUGCAGCAGGCCCUAUUUCAACAGCAAGAAUUCAUGGUUAAACAACAGGCAAUCCUGCAGGAGACAUUUGCUCAACUCAGAAAUAAUAUGCAGGGUUCCACUUUGCCCGUUCUUCCUCCUCUUCCGACUCUUCCUAAUUUCAACUUUGUAAGUCUCUGAACUUUUCAGUCAUGCAUCUUACCUUCAUGCUUGAAGAUCAUGAAUCUUACCAUCUCAUCCUCUUGUGCUUCAAGUUUUCUCAGUCGGGACAAGGCUCCAAUAACUGUGUGGUAGGUGGAUCUUCACCUGGACAAGCAAGUCCAGUGACACCCACUACGGUUCAUGUUGCUUCGACCUCCCCGCAACACUGAUCACUUGAGGUAGUCUUCCAUGUUUGUCCAUUGUUGAUGCUUGCGUCUUCUCGUUGCUUGUGCUUCUCAACUUAAAACUUGUGCAUUGUUGAUGGUAGAGUCCACAAAUGUCGAUGCUUAUAUUGUACAUACUUCCUAGCUUCUAUUUGAGCCUCAUAUGUUGAUGCUUGUUAACUCUUUUUCCUUAUCCAUCUUUUCAACUUAUGUUUAGAAACUCAUGCGUGUGAUAAUGGACUUAUAGGUUUGCAUUGUGGGCGUUGACGGUGGGCAUAUAUGCUGCGGUGGAGCUCAUUGGUUCAUGCUUGGUGUGAACUUGGAACUCAUGAUCCUUUAAUUUGUGAACCUCUCGUUGCAUAUGUAUGUAUGUUGUUGUGAACCUUCGUUGGAUAUGUAUGCACUGUGUGGACCUGAAACUUACGGUCCUUUCGUUUGUGAUCUUUUGUUGCAUACGUAUGCAUAUGUGGACUCUGCACUCAUGUACGGCUGGAUAUAUGUAUUACUUGAUAUAUGCUUGUUGGUCAUGGUCAUGUACUGCUGGAUACAUAUAUUUGUUGGAUAUAUGUGCUGCUGGAUAGAUGUAUUACUGUAUAUAUGUUGUUGCUGCUCCCUGAAGUGAUAUAUGUGCUGCUGGAUAGAUGUACUAGUGUAUAUAUGUUGUUGCUGCUCCCUGAAGCACCUGUAUAUAUGUUAUAUGGCCUAUAAGCCGUGUAGCCAGCACCUGGCACCCGGCUUAUAAGCCAUAUGGCUGCGGCCAACACAUAAGCCGUGUAUCCCAACACCUGGCACCCGGUUUAUAGACCAUCUGGACACAUGAGCAGGCUAUAUAAACCGUGUACCUCAGUUAACCGGCGCCCGGCUUAUAUAUGUAUAUAAAAACUGUGUUGUUGUCUGCGGAACUCGGCUUAUAUAGUAACCGUGCGGUUUGCGGUUGCACCCGGCUUAUAUAUAAACCGUGUGUUCGUGGUCGCACCCGGCUUAUAUAUAAACCGUGCGUCCGCGGUUGCACCCGCCUUAUAUAUAAACCGUACGUACUGAGGUGCACUCGGUUUAUGUUUAAACCGUGCCCUGACGACGGUACUCGACUUAUAUAGACGGUGACACGUGGCCGUUAACAUCAGGCUACCGUUAUGUUACUUUAUUAAACCGAGAGCCCUGUGAAAAUACUCGGUUUAUACAUAAGCCGGGCUUUUUCGGUCCGGCUCUCGGCUUAUAUGGUAUAAGCCGAUUGACUGUAAACCGAGUGCUAUAAGCCGGGAGUUUUACUCGGCUUAUAUAUAAACCGAGUUUAAAUCGAUAUAAGCCAAGUGUAUUAGGUACACGGCUUAUAAGUUUUUCCCUGUAGUGCAUGUCCGGUCCGAUUGCUCGUGUUAGCUUCUCCGACAUGCCACUUCUUGCUUCCCUUGACUUUUCCACAAACUCCCUGACUGGGUGGCUCCCGACUAGCCUCGCCGGCUGUGGUGAGCUCAAGUCGCUCAACCUUGCCAACAAUAUAUUGGUCGGCACCAUCCCGUCGUGGAUUGGUGAGUUUGACAACCUUUGGUACUUGAAUCUCUCAAAUAAUUCAUUUGUUGGCGAGGUACCCAAGAGUUUGUUACGGCUCACUGGCCUCGCCGCCACGGGUCGUUCAUUGGGUAUGGUUUUCACUAACAUGCCCUCUUUCGUAAAUUACGAAAGAAGAGCACUCGAUGAACAACCAAAUACCAUAACUGGGACCAACAACACAGUGAGAUCUGGGCGCAACAACACCAUGUCUGAAAACGACAACAUUGUCAUGUCCGGAGACAGCAACACUGUGUCCGGGAGCUUCAACACCCUUGUAUGUGGGGACAACAAUGUUCUAACUGGUGAUCACCAUGUCGUAUCUAGGAGCAACCAUAUUGUAACUAACAGCUACAAUAAAGUAUCUGGGUGCACCAAUAAUGUAUCCGGCAGCCACCAUACCGUAUCCGGUAGCAACAAUGCCGUAUCUGGGAGCAACAAUACGGUAUCUGGGAGCAAUCAUGUCGUAUCCGGGAGCAACAAAAUCGUAACUGACGAUUAAUGAUCUGUCAGUGGAUUGAUUCCAUCCUCGAGAACGAGAUCCCGGAGCACAUCAGAGACUCGUGAGAAGAAGUUCUUCACCCAGAACCGAAAACCUAGGUACAUGGACCCCCAUAUCUUGUUCCAAGCUGGGAGGGCACCAUAAAGACCUUUUGUAUCUUUUACUGUUUUUAGCAUAUUUAAAUUUCCGCAACUAUAUACAUCCGUAUAUAGUCCAUGCGGAAAUUUCUAAAAGGGCUUAUAUUUAGAAACGGAGGAAGUUGUAUGUAUUUCCGUGCUUGCAAUAUUAGUGUUAACUUCCAGCCUACAAUGAGAAUUAUAUCAAAUGAUGCACUCGUCGUUUUUUGAUGAAUGUCUUUGUUACAGCUUCUGGUUAUUGUUAUUAGAUGUGUGACUCCUGUUGAAUGAUCCCUUACUUGAUAGUUUCGAAUUGGCCGCUAUUCAACACCAUUAGUGCUAAUUGUCAACAACAGCUUAUUCUUUGCCGAUAGAUACAAAUUGUGAGGUGGGGAAGUGGGUACAGACCGAAGUUGGGUAGGAAGCUGUUGUUGCUAGGUUACGACGAGGCUGUGGCAGUGCAUUGUUCAUAUACAGAUGGGUUGGACGUUAGCAUGUACCCACUUGCAUGAGCUGCACUUGACCUGACUUGGACAGGUUUUGGGAGAGAUGGAUUGCAGCACCCGAGCUCCACUGCUCUCUAUAUUUAAACAUUUUAAAAUUUGUAUUUUUGAAAUUUCAAAAAAAAUGUGAAUUUUUCGCAGGGAUACAUAUACACAUUCCGAAUACAGAAAAAAAAAUUCAGCUUCCGAAUACAAUUUUUUUGCAGGGAUACAUAUACACAUUCCGAAUACAAAUUUUUCGCAAGUUCCUGUAGAAAUCUCGUUUUGUUUUGGGCUACAGAAAAAGAUAAUUUCUGACACUAUAUAGGAGAAAAGGUGUGCCAUUUUCUGUCAGAAAUUUAUCUUUUUUGUAUUUCCCAAAAUAAAAAGUAUUUCUUUUUCAGCUUUUUACCAGGCCUUAGGAAUGUGUGUAUCUAUUCACGUAUUUGAUAUAAGAUUCUUUAAGCAACGAAACUGUGUUUUUCAAAAAUUUCAAAUACCAGGAGCCCUGGAGCCCGGUAGUUGCAGGCACUUUUUGAGGCUUGGGAAGGUCUCUCUCUGUCUCUCUCUCUCUCACACGCACGCACGCACGCGCACGCACGCGCACACGCGCACACGCGCACACAUGUAGUCAUAGGUGUGGCGAUGCAUGGCUUUGACUGGCUGCAGUGAAUUGUUGGUUUUGUUUUGUCCUUUUUCUUCUUCCUCCUCCUUAUUUUCAUCCUCUUGUUCCACGUACAUGCAUGCUCCUCCUCCUCGUGCAUUAUCUCUUUGUCUGUGACAUGCAUCCAUGUAUGGAUUUUUUUUCUCCUACGGUAAAAUUUCUCCCAUGAGGGCAAUUCUCGUUGUUUUUAUUCCUUUCCUUCACUUGCAUGAGCCCCCUGCCGGAUAUACAUCAAUACAUGCAUGCAGCACUUGCAUUAGCAGCCCUACGCGUUUGAGACGUGCUCUGUAAGAAAGUAAGCUGUUUUUGGGCUAGCUACAGUCAUUUCACGCUGUUUUUGUCGGUAAGUAAUUUUCCAGCUUGAAAAAGGUAUUUGGUCUGAAAAACCUGGAAACUUGCAUGAAAUAAAAAUACAAACUUGCAUCGAAAACUACAGAUUGUACAAAAAUAGGCUGGAAUCAUCGUAAUAGUUGGAGUUGCAAGAACUCAUCUACAAUACGAAACUAUCAAUCAACCAUGCAUACAAAAAGCGCAGAUGGUUUUUUUUACCUUUGUUGAUAUUUCAUCGAACACCUAGUGUGCGAGGAGGAGAAAUCCGUCCGGCGAGCCAUCAGUGGCUUGCGGCUGUCGGGAGGGGGUGGACAACGGCUACUGGAAGUGCUCCCUCGACAUGCAUACGGCGGUUAUGCAUCCGGAACUCGGAGACGUAGCCGUUGUCGCCUAAAUUAAAUGCCGCCGACUCUCUGCUCGGCCGUGGCGGUGGGGCGACCGCUGUGGAGCUCCGGCGGCCGCUAGGCCAUAAUGUAGGGGCACAACUGACUGGCCAUGGCGACUACAAUGGUGAAUCGAUGUGGCGGCCACGACGCGGGCGCAGGCCAAAUCGGGGCGGGCGGAGGAGCUCCGUUGUGCAAGGCGAUCAGCGGUGCGUCUUUCUUUUGGCUUAUUUGUGCUGCGGCCAAGCGAGCUCGAUGUAUCGGGUAUUUGCUUUAUAAUAUAAAGUAGGGGACCCUUUAUCGUAUAAGCAGUGCGUCUGAUGUGCGGAGCAUGCGAAGCCACGAGACUCAGCGUACAUAUGUACGCUGUGACACCAAAAUGCAAUAACAAAUGAUACAAAGCCUCAUUAUUAACUGCAUAUUUUCUAAUCAUUCUAAUCUUCAAGCGCAUUGCAUCCAUCUUGAUCUUGUGAUCAUCGACGACAUCAGCAACAAACAACUCCAGUUUCAUCUUCUCUUCUUCAAUUCUUUUCAAUUUUUUUUCAAAUACUCAUUUUCUUUUUCAACUAAAUUUAACUUCUCAACAAGAGGGUCGGUUGCAAUUUCCGCUUCACAUACCUCCUAAAUAAAAAUAUCUAUGUCAACUUGAUGGGAAGAAUUGUCAUAAACAUGAAAUGCAACAAAUAGUUAUCAAAGAGAAUAUACCACAUCCAAAUCAUAAACCGGACAAGGGCUGACGGAUAUCAAAUCCAUGCCACUAUGUAUAAUAAACAAAGUACGUGUAAGAAAAUUAUACAAGUAACUAUCUAAAUCUCAUAGACAUGAUUUUUUUUAUAAAAAGGAUAAGAAUAAGAGGCUCACCAAGGUGGUGAUGACGACAGGACGGUACGGGCGAUGGACGGUGGUUAGGACGGGGACGGGAUGGCACUAAGUAAACCACACCUACAUAUGCAAAUUAAGAAGUUAAUUUGAGCUCAAAUUGCAUAUAAAUCAAAUAAACUACCACAUAUAAUUACUCCCAAACUAAAACCCAAAAAUCACUAUACUUAUAGAGCAUUGCAAGAGCUAAUCUAGAAAUGAGAGAUGAAAGAACAAAGUUGCUGACGGUGUCCUGGACUAGGGGUACUCAUCACAUCGUCUCGCGACCAGGUGGAUCUGGCCGAGGACCCCUGUUGGGGAUAUGAUUACUGAGUUAAACCGCCCAGGAAGGGGCCGGAUUAACUCACAAGGAGUCCUGUGCAAGAGCCCAUGAAGAUGAAGGCUAUGGCGCUUUAACCAUGAAGACAUAGAGGCCCAGAGCCCGAUGGCGGAUUAGGGCCCAUAAUGGUAAACCGCCAUAGAUGUGUAACUUGUGUUGUAAGUCAGGGAAAGGAGAAACCGAGUCGGACACUUGUAUGAGCCGAACUCGGGAUCUUGUAAACCGGCCGGGCGUCAACCUGUGUAUAUAAAGGGACGACCCGGCGGCGGUUCAGGGACAAGAAACAACAACUCGAAAGCCAGACAUAUCGUGUUUGCCCCCUGGUAAUCGAGACCACAUCAAAAACACCCCAACUGGAUCGUAGGCUUUUACCUUCACCGCAAGGGGCCGAACCAGGACAAACUCCCUGUGUCCUUUGUCCGGUUUAACCCUUCUAAGCUAACCCGUUGCGAUGGCUCCACGACUAAGUCCUUUCACUAGGACAUCUGACGUGAUAAUUCCACGACAGUUAGCGCCCACCGUGGGGCGAUCGCACGAUGGUUUCAAGUUCUUAGAGGGCAAGUUCGAAGGGCUCAAGGGAUACGCAGUGGUCCGGAUGACUAAGAGUCGUCGCGGCAAGCUCUACAUCAAUGACACAAGCUGGGGCCCCGACGCCGGCUCAGUCGAGUACGGAUACCGGGUCCCCUUCGGAGGAAUUCACGUCUUCAUCGGCAAGAUCGGCGAACCGGGCCCUGAGUCGGACAUCUGCACCGACCACGUCGAGAUGGCUCAGCGUGCGAGCCCUACCCGGGGUCAGCCCGCCAUGAAGCAUGCGUUCGUAGGAUGUAUCCAUAGGAUCGAAUCUGAACCGGUGUCCGAUGGUGAGACGGCCGUUUACUCCGAUGGUGAGUCAUCUACCGGUGAGACUGAGUCUUUGUAUCAAGUUCAGGAUGGCCUGUUUGGGGGGUAUUCCGAUGGCAGCAAUAUUCCGGACCCCUUUGAACCGCCAAACCGGGUUGCAAUCUUCAUGGCUGGCACGCAACUCGUCCGACAAUCUUCAACAGCAGCGGCGAUAAUCUCCGGAUCAACAGCUGGGGCAGGUGGCCCUGGGCGCCCGUCGGUUCAAGUCUUGUCUGGAUUAUUGGACGCUUUGGCAACAUUAUUGACUGCUGAAGUUAGUACGGAAAAUCGGGAGGAGCAUAAUACGGAAGUCAGAAAGUUGCGAGAGCAGAUAGCUCAGGCUAAUUAAGGAGGACAUGGCUGCUGAGGAGACCAGGAUGGUCGAGGAACGAAUCGCUUUAAAUGCUAAGGCACAGCGAGUUCAUGCAGAGGCUUACCGGCUUAUGUUGCAUCAGAACGCUUCAAACGAAGUGAUGAUGAGAAGGCACCAAUCUCGUCUGCCGUCGGUUUACGAAGGAAGAAAUCUUUUUAACACGCCAGGAGUGGGCACUAGCAACCCGCCCGUGGUGAACCCGAUUGAAGCACCAAGUACAGGAGCGCUAGAUCAGCUGGGCAUGAUGGGUCCGCCUCAGCAGAAUCAUGAUCCUCCGCAAUACGCACCAGCUCCACCGGGUCAUUUUGCCACCCCUUUGGACAACAUGAUUGCUGCAGCGUCAAGAUUGGCUGCUAUUCCAAUGGAAGGUGACUCCCUGAUACGUCUCCAACGUAUCUAUAAUUUUUGAUUGUUCCAUGCUAUAAUAUUACCUGUUUUGGAAGCUUAUGGGCUUUAUUCUACAUAUUUAUAUCAUUUUUGGGACUAACCUACUAACCGGAGGCCCAGCCGAUAUUGUUGUUUUUUUUGCCUAUUUCAGUAUUUUGAAGAAAAGAAAUAUCAAACGGAGUCCAAACGAAAUGAAACCUUCGGGAGUGUUAUUUUUGGAACAAAUCAGAUCCGGAGAGACUGGAGUGCAAGUCAAGAAAGCUCCGAGGGCCCCACGAGAUAGGAGGGCGCGACCCCCUAUAGGGCGUGCCACCUGUCUCGUGGGCCCCUCGGGCGUCCACUGAUGUACUUCUUCCUCCUAUAUAUACCUACGGACCCCGAAAACAUCCAGGGGCACCACGAAACACAAUUUCCACCACCGUAACCUUCUGUAUCCGCGAGAUCCCAUCUUGGAGCCUUCGCCGGCACUCUGCCGGAGGGGGAAUCAACAACGAAGGGCCUCUACACCAACAUCCUUGCCCCUCCUAGGAGUUGUGAGUAGUUUCCAUAGACCUACGGGUCCAUAGUUAUUAGCUAGAUGGCUUCUUCUCUCUUUUUGGAUCUCAAUACAAUGUUCUCCCCCUCUCUUGUGAAGAUCUAUUCGAUGUAAUCUCUUUUUGCGGUGUGUUUGUCAAGAUCCGAUGAAUUGUGAGUUUAUGAUCAGAUUCAUCUAUGGUUAUUAACUGAAUCUUCUCUGAAUUCUUUUAUGUAUGAUUGAGUUAUCUUUGUAAAUCUCCUCGAAUUAUCGGUUUGGUUUGGCCUACUAGAUUGAUCUUUCUUGCCAUGGGAGAAGUGCUUAGUUUUGGGUUCAAUCUUGCGGUGUUCUUACCCAGUGAUAGAAAGGGUUGCAAGACACGUAUUGUAUUGUUGCCAUCGAGGAUAACAAGAUGGGGUUUAUAUCAUAUUGCAUGAGUUUAUCCCUCUACAUCAUAUCAUCUUGCUUAAUGCGUUACUCCGUUCUUAUGAACUUAAUACUCUAGAUGCAUGCUGGAUAGCGGUCGAUGUGUGGAGUAAUAGUAGUAGAUGCAGGCAGGAGUCGAUCUACUUGUUUUGGAUGUGAUGCCUAUAUACAUGAUCAUGCCUAGAUAACGUCAUAAUUAUUCGCUUUUCUAUCAAUUGUUUGACAGUAAUUUGUUCACCCACCGUAAUACUUAUGCUCUCGAGAUAAGCCUCUAGUGAAACCUAUGGCCCCCGGGUCUAUCUCUUAUCAUAUUUGCUUUCAAUCUACUUUAAUUUUGCAUCUUUACUUUCUUGCAUUUAUAUUACAAAAUACCAAAAAUAUAUUUAUCUUAUCAUACUAUCUUUAUUAGAUCUCACUUCCGCAAGUGGCCGUGAAGGGAUUGACAACCCCUUUAUUGCGUUGGUUGCGAGUUCUCAGUUUGUUUGUGUAGGUGCGUGGGACUUUUGAGGAGCCUCCUACUGGAUUGAUACCUUGGUUCAUAAAACUGAGGGAAAUACUUACGCUACACUUGCUGCAUCACCCUCUCCUCUUCGGGGAAAACUAACGCUAGCUCAAGACGUAGCAAGAAGGAUUUCUGGCGCCGUUGCCGGGGAGGUCUUCGCUCAAGUCAAGACAUACCAAGUACCCAUCACAAACUCAUCUCCCUCGCAUUUACAUUAUUUGCCAUUUGCCUCUCGUUUUCCUCUCCCCCCACUUCACCCUUGCCGUUUUAUUCUCCCUCUCUUUCCCAAUCUCCUCCUCUCUUUUCCGUUUGCCGUUUUCUAUUUGCUUGUGUGUUGGAUUACUUGUUGCCAUGGCACAAGAUAAUACCAAGUUGUGUGAUUACUCGAAUACCAAUAAUAAUUAUUUCCUUAAUACUCCGAUUGCUCCUCUUAAUGAUGUUGAGUCUUGUGAAAUCAAUACUGCCUUGCUGAAUCUUGUUAUGAAAGAUCAAUUCGCCGGCCUUCCUAGUGAAGAUGCCGCUACUCAUCUAAAUAAUUUUAUUGAUUUGUGUGAUAUGCAAAAGAAGAAAGAUACGGAUAAAAAUAUUGUCAAAUUGAAGUUAUUUCUGUUUUCACUUAGAGAUCGUGCUAAAGUUUGGUUUUCGUCUUUGCCUAAAAAUAGUAUUGAUUCUUGGAACAAGUGCAAAGAUGCUUUUAUCUCUAAGUAUUUUCCUCCCACUAAGAUCAUCACUCUUAGGAAUGAUAUUAUGAAUUUUAAACAACUUGAUCAUGAGCAUGUUGCCCAAUUUUGGGAAAGAAUGAAAUUGAUGCUUCGCAAUUGCCCUACUCAUGAUUUGAAUUUAUGGAUGAUCAUACAAAAUUUUUAUGCCGGUUUGAACUUUGCUUCUAGAAAUCUCUUAGAUUCGGCCGCGGGGGGCAUGUUUAUGGAAAUUACGUUAGGAGAUGCUACAAAAUUGCUUGACAAUAUUAUGGCUAAUUAUUCUCAAUGGACACCGAAAGAUCUUCUAGUAAAAAAGUGCAUACUAUAGAAGAAAUCAAUGUUUUGAGUGGAAAGAUGGAUGAACUUAUGAAGAUGUUUGCUACUAAAAAUACUCCUCUUGAUCCCAAUGAUAUGCCUUUGUCUUCUUUGAUUGAGAAUAAUAAUGAAUCUAUGGAUGUGAAUUUUGUUGGUAGGAAUAAUUUUGGAAACAAUGCUUAUAGAGGAAAUUUUAAUGCUAGACCGUUCCCUAGUAAUACCUCUAAUAAUUAUGGAAAUUCCUACAAUAAUUCUUAUGGUAAUUUUAAUAAGAUGUCCUCUGAUUUUGAUAAUAGUGUGAAAGAAUUUAUGAUUUCUCAAAAGAAUUUUAAUGCUUUGCUUGAAGAAAAAUUGCUCAAAGUUGAUUUGGCUAGGAACGUUGAUAGACUUUCGCUUGAUGUUAAUUCUCUUAAACUUCGAUCUUCUUCUCCUAAGCAUGAUAUCAAUGAGUCUCUCAAAGUAAUGAGAAUUUCCAUUGACGAGUGCAAGGAAAGAACCGCUAGAUUGCGUGCUAAGAAAGAAAGCUUUAUAAAAGCAUGUUCUUCUAGUCUAGAUGAAAAUAAUGAUGAGGAUCUUAAAGUUAUUGAUGCGUCUCCUAUCAUAUCUGUGAUUAUGGGACUGAUGAUGAAUCAACUUUGCCUAGAAGGCGUCCCAAAAAUUCGGAGUCUUUAGAUCUUAAUUCUAAAUUUGGUAAAAGAGAGAUUGGAGAAUCCUCAACUUCUAAUAAUGUUGAACCUACUAUCUUGGAUUUCAAGGAAUUUGAUUAUGAUAAUUGCUCUUUAAAAGGUUGUAUUUCCUUGUUGCAAUCCGUUGUUAAUUCUCCUCAUGCUUAUAGUCAAAACAAAGCUUUUACCAAACAUAUUGUUGAUGCCUUGAUGCAAUCUUAUGAUGAAAAACAUAAUUUGGAAGUUUCUAUACCUAAAAACCUUAAUGAUGAGUGGGAACCUACUAUAAAGAUUAGAAUUAAAGAUUUUGAGUGUUUUGCUUUGUGUGAUUUGAGUGCUAGUGUUUCCACAAUUCCGAAAACUUUAUGUGAUAUUCUAGAUUUCCAUGAUCUUGAUGAUUGCUCGUUAAAUUUGCAUCUUGCGGAUUCCACCAUUAAAAAACCUAUGGGAAGGAUCAAUGAUGUUCUUAUUGUUGCAAAUAGAAAUUUGGUGCCCGUAGAUUUUAUCGUUCUUGAUAUAGAUUGCAAUCUUUCUUGCCCUAUUAUUCUUGGUAGACCUUUCCUUAGAACGAUUGGUGCGAUUAUUGGUAUGAAGGAAGGGAACAUUAGAUUCCAAUUUCCCUUAAAGAAAGGCAUGGAGCACUUUCCAAGAAAGAAAGUCAAAUUACCUUAUGAAUCUAUCAUGCGCGCUACUUAUGAAUCAAGUGCCAAAGAUGGCACUCGUUAGAUCUAUCCUUGCUUUUAUGCCUAGCUAGGGGCGUUAAACCAUAGCGCUAGUUGGGAGGCAACCCAAUUUUCUUUAUGUUCUUUGUUUUUGUUCCUGUUUAGUGUUAAAUUCUGUUUCUACUUUCUGUUUAGAUGUGUUUGUAUCUUUUGUUUAGUGUUUGUGCCAAGUAGAACCUAUAGGAUAAACUAUGAUGAUGGUUGAUUUGAUUCUGCCGAAAAAGAGAAACUUUGCGCUCACGAGAAAAAAUUCAAUAAAUCACAGAAAAGUGCUUUUGCAUUGAUUCUUUUUGCUGAUGAUCAAUAAACAAAUUGUACAGUAUGUCCUAUUUUGGUACGAUUUUUAGAUUUCUGAAGCAUUAGUUACAGAUUGCUACAGAUUGUUCUGUUUUUGACAGAUUCUGCUUUUCAUGUGUUGUUUGCUUAUUUCAAUGCAUCUAUGGCUAAUAAAUUAGUUUAUAAGCCAUAAGGAAGUUGGAGUACAGUAGGUUUAACAUCAAAAUAAAUAAAGAAUGAGUUCAUUACAGUACCUUAUGUGGUGGUUUUGUUUUCUUUUACUAACGGAGCUUAUAAGAUUUCCUGUGGUGUUUUGUGUUGUGAAGUUUUGAAGUUUUGGGUAAAGCUUUUAUGGACUAUGGAAUAAAGAGUGGAAAGAGCCUAAGCUUGGGGAUACUUAUGGCACCCCAAUAUAUUCAAGAAUAGCCAAAAGCCUAAGCUUGGGAUGCCCCAGGAAGGCAUCCCGUCUUUCGUCUUCGUUCAUUGGUAACUUUACUUGGAGCUAUAGUUUUAUUCGCUACAUGACAUGUGUUUUGCUUGGAGAGUCGUGUAUUAUAUUGGUCCUUGCUUGUUAGUUUACCACAAUCAUACUUGCUGUAACACACCUUUUUGGAUAAGCCUAUUUGUUUAGAACUAGAUGAUGCCCCGUGCGUUGCUGCGGGACAGGUGUAAAUACAUAUUCAUAGAAUUAGAGAUAAAAUAUAAAGAAACAUUUUCUAGGUGCCCCGCGGAUUGCCGCGGGUGCAAAAAGAAUCCCGUACAUAAGUCUCAUAUACAAAGGAAAUAUCACUGAGAAUCCACAUAAACAAAACUUACGAUAUGUGGCUCGGUGUUACAAUUUCUACUGAUCCCUAGCAUCCGUAUGAAAAAUCAGCUUGUCAAUGUGAAAGUUUUCUUUUACCUAUAAAAAAACUUUGGUUACAAACUUUGAAUCAAUACAAUUAACCACAAUAAUUAAUUUUGCCAAGGCAUGAACAGGGUAUAAAUCAAAAUCACACUGUAUAAUCUAGAAUGAUAUAUGUUGCUUUAUGUCCAAGCGAAAGAGAUAUCCACUGCUGAAAAGGCAUAUGAAAUUCAGAGACAUAUAUUAUCAAUCAAGCACUUGUGUGGGACGAAUGGAAAAAAGAAAAUCAAAAUUGCAUUAACAAUCUAAAAUGAUAUCCGAUACCUUAUGUCCAAGUAAAAGAGCAUCUUCACGAAGUCCAUAUGGGAGCACAUGGAGCUUAUAAGCCUAGACCAGAGAGUGUCGGACGUGUGUGGAGUGGAUGAGCAAAUGUUGCAGAUUACAGAGUAGGGACUGGGAAGUGACCGGAAAGGCAAAAUCUGAACGACCUACCACAUAGAGCUGAUGCGCUAGCCCCAACCGUGGAGUACCAUUGGAAGCCAAGUUUGCUGAUUGAGUCGGAUUCCUCGUCACCGACGGCAACCGCAGGGGCAUAGCAAAGACGUUCCGAAGCCUCAGCGGUUGUGCCCUUCUUCGACGAUCCGGGAUUCUGGGUAUCCCGCAACGGAACAACAGUCCAUCUUGUGUUCCCACAAUCAAAGAGACACCGGAGGCGAGGCAGGCGAGGCGAGGAAAACCGGCUGGCGUGCGGCAGGAGAUUUGAAGCAGAGCAAAUGGGGUGCACAACGACAUGUCUUCCAUGACGACGUGGGUGCUCGGCAACGGAAUCGCGUCGCGACCCACUCUCAUAGUGGCAUCAGGACAAAGGAAGAGCAUCAAUGGUGCGAGAAGAUGGUAGUAGAGACAGGUUGAUAGACGCGAAGGCCGUGGCCGUGCCGUUUAAUCUAGCCUCUUCUUUGGGUAACGGAGGGCGAAGUAAUGAGGCGCGAUCAAUGUUUCGGUUUCAUGUGCAUUUGCGCCAGGGAGAGAUUCGGCCACGAGCCCGCGACAACAGAAGAGAUAACGGCGACGAUGAUUCAUAGCGGAGAAGUUUUAUUUUUUGAGCAAAUCAUAGCGGAGAAGAUGACCUAGUGCCGUGGUUGACCCCCAUGGGCUAUACAGCCCACAUGCAUAACAUACUAACAUUGAAUCGGGCCCUGUGUUUUGAUUUUCGGCCGAAAAAAGUGGACUUCGGCCGAAUUUCGGCCAUCUCGGCCUGGGGCGAAAAGUAUAUUAGGCCAAAAUUGCUCAAAUUUGGCAAAUUUUGGUUAAAUUUAAGUCAAAUUGUAGUCAAAAUUUGGUCAAAUUUCAGCCAAAAUUUUAGAAAAUGGCCGAAAUUCGGCCAUCUCGGCCUAGGGCGAAAAAAAGCUCAAACCGAAAAUCAAAACACAGAUCGGGCCCCAUGUGCGCAAACACAACCCACAUGCAGCUCGGGCAACCCACAGUUAGUACGUGGGUUUGUAAAGCCCAAGCGAUGGAAGUCGGGGAAGGCAGCCAGAGUUAGCGCACGACAGCUGAUUGCGUUCAAGCUUGAUCGAAUGGCUAAUAAUAAUUCAGGUGACGUGGCUGCACGAGAAUCCAAGAAAAUCAGGUAGUGGGGUGCUUCUAUUUAGAUAUAGAAGAUUUGCAAGAAUACUCUAUGUGCUUCACUUAUAUCUUUUGAGCUUAAUAGUUUUUGCUCUAGUGCUUCACUUAUAUCUUUUAGAGCAUGGUGGUGGAUUAAUUUUAUAGAAAUUGCUAGUCUCUCAUGCUUCACUUAUAUUAUUUUGAGAGUCUCUUAGAAUAGCAUGAUAUUUUCUAUGGUUUUAAUUUGGUCCUAAAAUGAUGAGCAUCCAAGUUGGGUAUAAUAAAAACUAUCAUAGAAAGUGAAUUGGAUGUUAUGAUCAAUUUGAUGCUUAAUAAUUGUUUUGAGAUAUGGAGGUAGUAAUAUUAAAGUCAUGCUAGUUGGGUGAUUAUGGAUUUAGAGAAUGCUUGUGUUGAAGUUUGUGAUUUCCGUAGCAUGCACGUAUGGUGAACCGCUUUGUGAUGAAGUUGGAGCACAAUUUUAUUGAUUGUCUUCCUUAUGAGUGGCAGUCGGGGAUGAGCGAUGGUCUUUUCCUACCAAUCUAUCCCCCUAGAAGCAUGCAUGUAGUGCUUUGAUGUUUGAUGACUUCUAAAUUUUUACAACAAGUAUAUGAGUUCUUUUGAUUAAUGUUGAGUCCAUGGAUUAUACACACUCACUACUAGGGAAAAGCCUAUACACAGAAUCUUAUCAGAAGCACGCUUUAAAAUAAGGCGCUGCUGCUAAUUAGCAGUAGCAUGCUCAGGAAUAACUCGCUGCUGAAACCAAUAUAGCAGUAGCACGCCCGCUCAAAGACGCGCUACUGCUAUAAUUCCCACGAGGCCGCCACGAGGCUAGUUAUAGCAGCAACGCGUUAUAACGACAGGCGCUACUGCUACGUAGCAUAGUAGCAGCGCAUUUCUGCAAUAAGCACUACUGCUAAAUUUACUACAAAAAUUUAGCCCCGUCUCCUCUAUCCGAUCCACUCACACAGUCACACACUAGCUCACUGGAUCCCCUCUCAAUCCCCCGCGCCGGUCCACCCCCGUCGCCCCUUCUCCGUCUGCGCCGCCGUCACCUCCUCCUCCUUGCUGGACUCGGUACCGGCCUCCUCCUCCGUCCUCCCUCUCCACUCGCCGCUGGCCGGCCCCUCCUCGCUCCGCCUUCCUCCUUCGUCCUCCCUCCACUGGCCGCGCCGGCCGGCCCCUCCUCGCUCCGCCUUCCUCCUCCAUCCUACUCUCUUCUCCCUCUUCGAGUCGCCCCUCCUUCUCCCUCCUGCCUGCUACAUUUUGAUUUAGUAGCUAGGCUAGUUCAUAUGCAACAUUUUGAUUUAGUUGAUAUGAUUUAGUUGAUUUAGUAGGCUAGUUGAUUUAGUUGACUUAGAACAUUUUGAUUUAGUUGAUUUAAUAGGCUAGUUCAUUUAGUUGAUUUGGUUGACUUAGAACAUUUUGAUUUAGUUGAUUUAGUAGGCUAGUUCAUUUAAUUAGUUGAUUUAGAACAUUUUGAUUUAGUUGAUUUAGUAGGCUAGUUGAUUUAGUUGAUUUAGAACAUUUUGAUUUAGUUGAUUUAGUAGGCUAGUUGAUUUAGUUGACUUAGAACAUUUUGAUUUAGUUGAUCGUUAAUCCUUUGCUCAUAUUGCUUUAGGAAAAAUGGCGCCACCACCACCACCACUAUGUCGACUGUGCAAGUCAAGAUGCGCCAACAGCCUUGCAACUGAUCAACGUCUCCUUCCGAGCAGAAAGACCCAAGCUAGCUGUCAUUUAUCUCAACCUGGUGGAAGAUGAUGAAGAUGGCGGAGAUGAUGAAGAUGAUGAAGAUAAUGAGGACCCACUCGAUGAAGAUGAUGAGGACCCACUUCAUGAAGCCAUCAUAGCUCAAAGAACAAGGCUGAGUGAGGAGGAGGUGUCCAACCUAUGGGACAUAAUUCCGCCACGUGCUGACUUUGUCGGGGUGCCAUUCGUGACUCGCUUGACAAAUACCAUGGUUGAUCGACAUGAUAUGGUAUGUUAUACUUACAAAUGCAAAUUAUCCAAUGAAUUACUUAGUGUACAGUCCAAUGAUAUGGUAUGAUGUGUGGAAUCUAGUCGAUGAUAUGUUUUAGUGUAGAGUUCGAUCACCUGCUUAUUAGUGUAGAAUCUAACGAAACUAUUAAUAGUGUAGAUAAUCCAUAUGUACUUAUUUGCGAGGCAAUUUAUUAAUUGAUAUGUUUUUCUUAUUCAGAAAUUGGCAAAGAGCAUAUCUGUGAGUUAUGGUAUCGAGCCUGAUGAAGAAGGCUCGGCUGGACUACGCCUUACUGCAAGGGGCUCCGUCACAACCUGUACUGACCGCGUGGAUACGGACGGUCGCACACACUUAAACUCGGUUGGGUGGAAGAAAUUCCUCGAUGGCAAGAAUCUUCGUGUUGGACAGGCCAUCCUAAUUACUAUCAGGAACACCAACCGCCCAGGCUUAAGGAUGAUGAUUGUCUUCGAUAUCAUGUAGAACUACAUAUGUGUGUGUGUGGCUAUAUCAUCUAGAACUAUAUAUGUGUGUGUGGCUAUAUCAUCUAGAACUACAUAUGAUGAUCGUCGUCGAUAUCAUGUAGAACUACAUAUGAUGAUGGCCGUUGAUAUGACCUUGUACUGCUUGAGGAUGCAUGUUGACUAUGCAUGAAAUUGUUAUCUAGUACUCCCUUCGUUCCAAAUUACUCGUCGUGGUUUGAACUAAAACUACGACGAGUAAUUUGGAACGAAGGGAGUACUAUCUAGUAAUGGUUUAUGAAUUUGAUAUCUACUAGCAGUACCUAGUAUCUAGUAUCUGAAAGGGAAACUGAAAGGGAAAGGGGUAAUGGGAAAAUGAUGAAAGAUAUAGCAGUAGCGAGGGAUGGCGAAAUCGCUACAGCUAGGUAAUAGUAGCGCAUUCUUAAAAAGCGUUGCUGAUAUCGUAAACAGUAGUAGCGCGGGUAAGGGCCGCGCUACUACUAUAAGUUAGCUGUAGCGCCUUAUUAGUAGCGCGUCCACCCGCGCUGCUGCUAGCCUCAAAACCCGUGCUACUACUAGGGUUUUCCCUGGUAGUGACUCCUUUCACCAUCCAUUAUUGCUAGCCUCUCUUGUAUCGUGCAACUUUCGCCGGUACCAUACACCCACCAUAUACCUUCCUCAAAACAGCCACCAUACCUACCUAUUAUGGCAUUUCCAUAGCCAUUCCGAAAUAUAUUGCCAUGCAACUUUCCACCGUUCCGUUCAUAUGACACACAUUACUUUUGUCAUAUUGCUCUUUGCAUGAUCAUGUAGUUGACAUCGUAUUUGUGGCAAAGCCACCAUCAUAUUUUUCAUACAUGUCGCUCUUGAUUCAUUGCAUAUCCCGGUAUACCGCGGGAGGCAUUCACAUAGAGUCAUAUCUUGUUCUAGCUUUGAAUUGUAAAUCCAUAAAAGUGUGAUGAUCUUCAUUAUUAGAGCAUUGUCCCGGUGAGGAAAGGAUAAUGAAGACUAUGAUUCCCCCACAAGUCGGGAUGAGACUUCGGACUUUACAAAAAAAAGAAAGGCCAAAAAAAGGCCAAAGAAAAAAAUGAAAGAAAAAAAAGAAUGAGAGAAAAAGAGAGAAAGGACAAUGCUACUAUCUCUUUUUCCACACUUGUGCUUCAAAAUAGCACCAUGAUCUUCAUGAUAGAGAUUCUCAUAUGUUGUCACUUUCAUUUACUAGUGGGAAUUUUUCAUUAUAGAACUUGGCUUGUAUAUUCUAAUGAUGGGCUUCCUCAAAAUGCACUAGGUCUUCGUGAGCGAGCAAGUUGGAUGCACACCCACUGGUUUUCUUUUGUUGAGCUUUCAUAUAUUUAUAGCUCUAGUGCAUCCGUUGCAUGGCAAUCCCUACUCACUCACAUUGAUAUCUAUUAAUGGUCAUCUCCAUAGCCCGUUGAUAUGCCUAGUUGAUGUGAGACUAUCUUCUCCUUUUUUGUCUUCUCCACAACCACCGUUCUAUUCCACAUAUAGUGUUAUGUCCAUGGCUCACGCUCAUGUAUUGCGUGAAAGUUGAAAAAGUUUGAGAUUAUUAAAGUAUGAAACAAUUGUUUGGCUCGUCAUCGGGGUUGUGCAUGAUUAAAUACUUUGUGUGAUGAAGAUAGAGCAUAGCCAGACUAUAUGAUUUUGUAAGGAUAACUUUCUUUUGGCCAUACUAUUUUGAGAAGACAUGAUUACUUGCUUGGUAUGUUUGAAGUAUUACUAUUUCUUAUGUCAAUAUGAACUUUUAUUUUGUAUUAUUUCGAUCUGAAAAUUCAUGCCACAAUGAAAGAAAAUUACAUUAUGAAUUAUGCUAGGUAGCAUUCCACAUCAAAAAUUCUCUUUUUAUCAUUUACCUACUCGAGGACGAGCAGGAAUUAAGCUUGGAGAUGCUUGAUACGUCUCCAACGUAUCUAUAAUUUUGAUUGUUCCAUGCUAUUAUAUUACCUGUUUUGGAUGCUUAUGGGCUUUAUUCUACAUAUUUAUAUCAUUUUUGGGACUAACCUACCAAUCGGAGGCCCAGCCCAUAUUGUUGUUUUUUUGCCUAUUUCAAUAUUUCGAAUAAAAGGAAUAUGAAACGGAGUCCAAAUGGAGUGAAACCUUCGGGAGCGUUAUUUCUGGAACAAAUCUGAUCCGGAGAGCCUGGAGUGCAAGUCAAGAAAGCUCCGAGGGCCCCACGAGAUAGGAGGGCGCGCCCCUUGUCUCGUGGGCCCCUCGGGCGUCCACGGACGUACUUCUUCCUCCUAUAUAUACCUAUGGACCCCGAAAACAUCCAGAGGCACCACGAAACACAAUUUCCACCACCGCAAACUUCUGUAUCCGCGAGAUCCCAUCUUGGAGCCUUCGCCGGCACUCUGCUGGAGGGGGAAUCGACUAUGGAGGGCCUCUACAUCAACAUCCUUGCCCCUCCUAUGAGUUGUGAGUAGUUUACCACAGACCUACGGGUCCAUAUUUAUUAGCUAGAUGGAUUCUUCUCUCUUUUUCGAUCUCAAUAUAAUGUUCUUCCCCUCUCUUGUGGAGAUCUAUUCGAUGUAAUCUCUUUUUGCGGUGUGUUUGUCAAGAUCCGAUGAAUUGUGAGUUUAUGAUCAGAUUCAUCUAUGGUUAUUAAUUGAAUCUUCUCUGAAUUCUUUUAUGUAUGAUUGAGUUAUCUUUGCAAGUCUCUUCAAAUUAUCGAUUUGGUUUGGCCUACUAGAUUUAUCUUUCUUGCCAUGGGAGAAGUGCUUAGCUUUGGGUUCAAUCUUGCGGUGUUCUUACCCAGUGACAGAAAGGGUUGCAAGACACGUAUUUUAUUGUUGCCAUCGAGGAUAGCAAGAUGGGGUUUAUAUCAUAUUGCAUGAGUUUAUCCCUCUACAUCAUAUAAUCUUGCUUAAUGCCUUACUCCGUUCUUACGAACUUAAUACUCUAGAUGCAUGCUGGAUAGCGGUCGAUGUGUGGAGUAAUAGUAGUAGAUGCAGGCAGGAGUCGAUCUACUUGUUUUGGAUGUGAUGCCUAUAUACAUGAUCAUGCCUAGAUAACGUCAUAAUUAUUCGCUUUUCUAUCAAUUGCUUGACAGUAAUUUGUUCACCCACCGUAAUACUUAUGCUCUCGAGAGAAGCCUCUAGUGAAACCUAUGGCCCCCGGGUCUAUCUCUUAUCAUAUUUGCUUUCAAUCUACUUUUAUUUUGCAUCUUUACUUUCUUGCAUCUAUAUUACAAAAUACCAAAAAUAUAUUUAUCUUAUCAUACUAUCUUUAUUAGAUCUCACUUUCGCAAGUGGCCGUGAAGGGAUUGACAACCCCUUUAUUGCGUUGGUUGUGAGUUCUCAAUUUGUUUCUGUAGGUGCGUGGGACUUUUGAGGAGCCUCCUACUGGAUUGAUACCUUGGUUCUCAAAAACUGAGAGAAAUACUUACGCUACACUUGCUGCAUCACCUUCUCCUCUUCGGGGAAAACCAACGCUAGCUCAAGACGUAGCACUCCCCCAUAGCGGUUGAGACAUGUCGGGCUAGGGAUUUACUCCAGACAGCAAUGGUUCAGCAACAGGCUUAUUCGUACAGUCGGGACAUGAUACACACUAACCCUCGUCCAAGUCGGAGUUACAGCCGGCGUGUUGAAGAGCCAGCUGUGUCAAGCAGUGGACGGAAUCAUCAUCCGCCACGGAGGCCUAACCUGGCAGGGGGAAGGAAGCGCAGGAUUUAGUGGACCAAGGACGAGCGCGCCGCGGCACCGGGUUGAAUGCACAGGACAUGGAGCGCCAGCUUACGCCGGUUCGUCCGACCACUACAGUAGAGCCAGCGGUUGCCUUUACCACUUUGGGGGUGUCGUGUCUCACACCGGCCCUGCACAAUGCGCGGUUACCCAAGGACUUCAAGGGCCCUCGGAAAGUACCCAAUUACACUUCUGAUUUACAUCUUGAGUCAUGUGUAGAAAGCUAUGAGAUGGCCAUGGAGAUGCUGGAUGUGGAUGGAGCGGUGUGUGCUAAGUACUUCACUAUGAUGCUAGAAGGAACAACUCGCACUUGGCUAAAGAGUUUACCACCCAAUUCAAUUGGGUCAUGGGAGGAGUUGAAGAGACGGUUUAUCAACAACUUCAAAGAUACUUGCAAGCAACCAAUGUCAAUUGUUGAUCUGGCUGCUUGUGUUCAAGCAGAGGGUGAAUCGACUACCCAUUGGGUACGCCGGGUUUCUGAGAUCUUACAUUCAUCUGAUCGGAUUAAUGCAGAUUCAGCAAUUAUAGUGCUAGAAGGCAAUUCCAAGUUCAAACCUUUGAAGUUCAAGUUGGGGCGGAUGAAGCGUCACUGCAAUGAUAUGGGAACACUCAUGGGGGCUUUGGUUAAAUAUGAUAACUCUGAUAAUACCAAGGAUCCCGAGUAUGACGAGGAAAAGCCGAGGAAGGGAAAGAAGAGCCGCAACACCAAAGGACAGCAACCCAACUCGGCGGGCAACGGUAACAACGGUAAACGAAAAGCAGAUAAUUCAGAUUUUGUGGCUAACACCAAUGUGCAGGGUAAUAAUCAAUGUCUUAAGGGUAAAUCGCCCCAGCGCGGCGGCGGUAUGAAUCUGGAACGUAUGUUGAAUCAGCCUUGCCCGAAGCACGGGACAAAGGAGGUUCUAGCCACGCACCUCUGGAAGGACUAUUUCAUUAUGCGAGAGUUCAAAAUUCUGACCUUUUCCGGUGUGAUCAGGGUCCAUCUGGCGGUUCAGGUCCUGGAUCUCAUGGGCCGGGUUACGGUGGUAGCGUUCAAACUCCGAAUUCCAGGGAAUCAAGGCAAUCAGGGCAAUCAGAAUAGCAGGGUGGUUAUAAUCAGUAGAAUAAUCAGGGAAAUCAGCAGCAGUCGGGUUAUCUGAGUCACCCGAAGCAAUUGAAUAGUGGGCAGUAUCAUGUUUUCACCUCUAGUUUGUGCAAGCGUGAUCAGAAGCUUCACAAGAGAGUAGUAAACAUUGUUGAACCGGCAGUAGCAUGUUACUUACGUUGGUCCGAAUAACCCAUUGUAUGGAGCAGAGAGGAUCAUCCACCCCGGUUGACAAUCCGGGUCAUUUGGCUUUGGUGGUGGCGCCUCAGGUUGGAGGAUAUAAGUUCACCAAGGUGCUGAUGGAUGGAGGGAGCAGUAUCAAUAUUUUAUAUUAUGAAACCUUCUGGCGCAUGGGAUUGACGGAUAAAAAUCUUAAACCGUCGAACACUAUUUUCCACGGAGUGGUACCAGGUAAAUCGGCAUACCCAGUUGGUAAGAUAAAUCUGGAGGUGGUAUUUGGAGAUGAUCAUGAUUCUAGAUCAGAAACCUUAACCUUUGAGGUAGUAAAGAUCCAGAGCCCAUAUCAUGCCCUGUUUGGAUGACCAACUUAUGCAAGGUUCAUGGCAAGGACCUGUUAUUUUAUCUACAGCUCAAGAUGUUGGGUCAUAAGGGGACCAUCACAAUACAUGGGAGACGUAAGAACGCUUUGGAUUGUGAAGAGGGUGAUGCGGCUUAUGCUGGGUCGGUUUGUGCGGCAGAAGAGUUAAAGUUCUACAAGGACAAUGUUGAUCUGGCAGAUAUGACUCCUCUGAAGAAGCCCACCACAGAGCAUGACCCAACCCUGAAGUUUAAACCGGAUGAUGAGACUAAAUUGUUGACUUUGUUACUGGUGAUUCAUCUAAACAGUUUAGUAUCAACACUAAUUUGGAUCUGAAAUAGGAAAGCGCGCUCAUCAAGUUCAUCCGCGAGAACCGGGACAUCUUUGCGUGGAAGCCUUCCGACAUGACAGGUGUACCGAGAGAACUCGCUGAGCACAAUCUCAAUAUUGAUCCCAAGUUUAAACCGAUCAAACAGUUUCUUCAUCGCUUCAACGAAGAAAGGCGCAAGGCCAUUGGCGAAGAGGUAGCCUGGUUGUUCGCUGCUGGUUUUAUCGUUGAGGUUUUUCAUCCUGAGUGGCUGGCCAAUCCGGUACUAGUGCUUAAGAAGAAUGGCACUUGGAGCAUGUGUGUGGAUUACACGGACUUGAAUAAAGCUUGUCCGGCCGAUCCUUUUGCCCUCCCUCGUAUUGAUCAGAUCAUUGAUGCUACGGCGGGUUGUGAGCGUUUGAGUUUCUUGGAUGCUUAUUCUGGUUAUCAUUAGAUCAAGAUGGCAGUUAAGGACCAGGAGAAAACAACUUUUAUCACUCCCUUUGGAGCCUUCUUUUAUGUAUCUAUGCCCUUUGGGAUCAAGAGUGCCCAGGCAACUUAUCAGCAUUGUGUGCAGAAUUGUCUUCAUACACAGAUUGGGCGCAAUGUUCAUGCUUAUGUGGACGAUAUUGUGGUAAAAUUCAGAAAAAAGGAGACAUUGAUUGACGACUUGAAGGAGACCUUUCACAAUCUUCGGGUUUACAAGAUGAUGCUCAAUCCGGCCAAAUGCGUUUUCGGUGUUCCGGCAGGCAAGCUCCUAGGUUUCUUGGUGUCUAACAGGGGCAUUGAGGCUAAUCCAGAAAAAAUCAAGGCUAUUACGUCUUUGGCUAAACCGGCAUGUAUCAAUGAUGUUCAACGUCUAGCAGGUCGGAUUGCAGCUCUGAGCCGGUUUAUCAGCCGUUUGGGAGAGAAGGCGAUCCCUCUAUAUCAGAUGUUGAGAAAGAAAGACACUUUUGUCUGGAGUAACGCUACUGAUGCGGCAUUUGAGGAUUUGAAGAGGCAGUUGGUUGAGCCGCCGGUCCUUGCCGCUCCGGUCGACAAUGAACCACUGUUAUUGUAUGUGGCUGCUAAUGUCCAGGCUAUCAGCGUGGCUAUUGUGGUCGAGCGCAAGGAGGCGGGGAUGGAAUAUCCGGUUCAAAGGCCUGUUUACUAUAUCAGCGAAGUGCUCAUCGAGUCAAAGCAAAGAUAUCCGCAUUGGCAGAAGCUGGUGUAUGGGGUUUUUAUGGCAAGCCGGAAGCUUAAGCAGUACUUUCAGGGCCAUCCCAUCAGAGUGGUCAGUUCUGCUCCUUUGGGCGAUAUAAUUCAGAACAGGGAGGCAACUGGCCGGGUUGCAAAGUGGGCUAUUGAGCUUGGACCGCACGGGCUGAAGUACAUGCCUCGGACAGCUAUCAAGUCUCAAGCACUUGUCGAUUUCAUCAAUGAUUGGACAGAGUUGCAGGCACCGAAAGACAAACUGGAUAACACAUACUAGACUAUCCACUUCGAUGGGUCCAGGCAAUUGGAGGGCUCGGGGGAUGGAGUUGUCCUUACUUCCCCUCAAGGUGAUAAAAUUCAUUAUGUUCUCCGCUUAAUGUUUCCUUGUACUAACAAUGCAGCUGAGUAUGAAGCCUUGCUCCACGGUCUUCACGUGGCUAAGGAAAUGAACUUAAGACGGGUACGAUGCUUUGGAGACUUUGAUCUGGUGGCUCAGCAAGUUUCUGGUACUUGGGACUCUAAGGAUCCGCUCAUGGCGGCUUACAGACAAGAGGUGGAUAUUGUGGCUGGUCACUUCAAGGGUUAUCAGGUUGAGCACAUUGACCGACGCAAAAAUGAAGCAGCAUAUGCUUUAAGCCGGCUGAGGUCUCACCGCAAACCGGUGCCACCCAAUACCUUUCUGGAUAUCCUGCAUAACCCGUCAGUUAAGUUGCCUACAGAGGAGGAUUUGGCUAUUCCUGAUCCGGAGGCACAGUUGGUGGUCGCUUUACAUGUUAUUCCGGAUUGGACGGUUCCAUAUUUGGCGCAUAUGAACCGGGGCGAGUUACCAGAAGAUGAAGUUUUGGCCAGACAGAUAGUUCAGCGAUCUAAGUCCAUGGUUAUUCACAAUGGCGAGUUACAUCACUUCAGUGUCUCAGGUGUGUUCCAGCACUGUGUUUCUCCUGAAGAGGGCCAAGAAAUUUUGCGUGAGAUCCACGAAGGAGAUUGUGGUCACCACGCUGGUUCAAAGUCCUUGGUUGCUGAAGCCUUUCGGCAUGGCUUCUACUAGCUGACGGCUCAUGCUGAUGCUCAGGAUUUGGUGAAACAGUGCGACGCUUGUCAGAAAUUCUCACGCAGCGCUCAUGUUCCGGCUCAAGAGCUAAGGAUGAUUCCAAUCACUUGGCCGUUUGCUACUUGGGGGCUUGAUAUGGUAGGACCUUUUAAGCGAUCCAAAGAUAAAAAGACCCACCUGUUGGUGGCGGUUGACAAAUUCACUAAAUGGGUUGAAGCGGAGCCAGUAAGCAAGUGUGAUGCAGGCACGGUGGUUCAAUUCAUAAAGAAGGUGAUCUUCCGCUUUGGCUUUCCACACAACAUCAUCACAGAUAAUGGCACGAACAUUUCCAAAGGUGAAAUGGAGGACUUCUGUCAAAGAGAGCACAUCCAGCUUGAUGUGUCAUCAGUGGCCCACCCUCAGUCUAAUGGUCAACCUGAGAGAGCUAAUCAGGAAAUCUUGAAGGGUAUCAAGCCCCGGCUUAUGGUUCCUUUGAAGAGGACGGCGGGUUGUUGGGUUGAAGAAUUGCCUUCUGUGUUAUGGAGCAUAAACACCACCCCAACCGGUCUACGGGUUAUACACCUUUCUUCAUUGUUUACGGGGUAGAGGCGGUCCUCCCAAGUGAUAUUCGUCAUGACUCGCCCCGGGUUGCCAAUUAUCUUGAAGAGGACAACGAGCAGGCACGUCAAGAAGCAUUGGACCUGUUAGAUGAAAAACGGGACAUGGCAUUGGCUCGCUCGGCGGUUUAUCAGCAAGACCUGUGGCGUUAUCACAGCCGCCGUGUUAAAACAAGAACCUUUCAAGAAGGCGACUUAAUGCUUCGGCUCAUCCAGGAUCACACCAAUAUGCACAAGCUAUCCCCACCUUGGGAAGGACCCUUUGUGGUCAGCAAGAAUCUUCAUAAUGGGUCAUACUACCUCAUUGAUGUUCGAGAGCACGCAGACUCACGCAAAGCUGAGGAGGAGACCUGGCGGCCGUGGAACAUAGCUCUCCUUUGGCCUUACUACACUUGAGCCAUAGGCUCCUCUUAUAUACAUAUUUUGACAAUGUAUAUAUUAUGAUCAAUAUAAUAAAUCGACAUCCUUGCUAUAAGCAGGGCCUCUGCUGUUUUUCCAAUAUCUCUUGAUGACAUGGGGGCUUCAGCUGACAAAGUGGAGUUCUAUCUGUCAAUCCGGCUAUCACGCCCUAACAUAGCUUUGGAGCUUCACACCCAAGGGGCCAAAGAGAGUCUUGUUGCUAUGCAUAGCUCAAACAUAGGCACCCAUAGAGCACAACUCACAAAGUUACUUGGGGGCUCUUUAUGCAAUGCAGCAAAGAGUUUGAAAGGACCCUUGUAAUAUGCUAUCAAGCACGGCUUGGAAGCCUGGUGUAUUCACCUAAAACCCCGGGUUAACAUGCCUUAUCAAGUAAGCCACUCCUAUCCAGGUAAUCCUGGCACGACCCGCCGAACGUUUGACAAGUCAAUCUUAUACAGACCCUGAACUUGUCAAAGUUAAAACGACGAUUGGUUAGUUGGAGGCCCAUCUUGAAAGGCUUUGCAAAAUGGUUUAACUCAGUGACCUGGCAGCCCAUGAAAAGCCUCGAAUUUGGGCCCGGCAGCCCUUGAAAAGCCUCGACUACACGGUUUGUUUGCCUUUAUCAAGAUUUUUCUCUUUUGAUAAAGUGUUGUGUUGAACCGGCGUCUAUUGACCCGGCAUGACUAUUAGUCAUUAAAUUAACCCGGUGUUUGUUAACCCGGUUUGGUUUUCAACUACAAGUUGACAGACCACAUCCAAUUGUAAACCAGAGUUUAUUAACCUGGUCUGGCAUUGACUAUACGUCACCAGGUUGAUCAUCCGGUGUUUAUCAUAACCCGGCAUGGUUUCUUAUGCACCAGUACAGCAUGGUGUGAGUUGUUAAACGCAAGUCUUGGGUUAUCACCCUUAUUACAAUCAAGUUGGUAAACCAACUAUGUGAUUCAAACAUCACAUGUAUGAUUUAAUUCAUAUUUUCAUAUUCCUAUAGCAUUGGUUAUAAACCAAGCUUUAUAUUGGAUAUUAUUAUUCGUCCGGCGGUAAACCACCAGGACAAUAUUUCCAUUCUAUCUUGUGCAGGAAUAAGAUUGCAUAAAAAUACUAAGGCAUAUAAGCAAGUACAACAAUAAUCCUGAUGGAUCAAAUAGUAUCAUGCAACACUACACGAUGGCGGUGGAUCAAAGUAUUUCAACUAGCCUAUUACAAGGCACUCGGAUGCCCAAGAGAAUAAAGUAUUUAUUUCACAGAAUUCAAUCUAUGGAAAUUAAACCGGCCGAUGGUCUACGAUUCAUCACCAGGUUAACGUGAAGUUGACAGAUCAUCUAGCGCCGGUUCACCCUCCUCCUCCCCAUCCACUGGCUGGAAGUCAAUGUUUGCCCAGUCAAUUCCAGACAAAGCUCGGAAGACGGCUUCAUCACUUAUAAGAUCUGACGGUUCAAUGUCAGGGGCAUAAGUAUGCUUACGGAUUGGUGGGAUAAGAUUCUGCACUUCAUUCACAGAUGCAUCAAUCCGUUUGUUAUCUGCAUCAUAGUUGGACCGAUGGACAGACAAGUCAGUUACUUUGGCCAAUCUGCUCGCAAGCGGGCGCAUCUCCUUCAUCAAAGCUUUAAGGGCAUCAUUGUCAAAGUGUGACCCGUAUGCUAUUUGGCUUGGAUAGCCAUUUCCAAUGUUCUCCGGAUCAAGAUCAGCUAUCCAACCUUUGGCCCGACUGAGUGCAGAUAAAGCGCCAGCCCUUGCAGUAGAUCUCUUCAAUUCUUCCAGCUGAGCAGGAGUCAUAGAUAAUCUGGCCAAUGUAUCCAUGAUUAAGGUCGGUGGUGGUUUAUUGUAUGAGGCUGCGCGGAUGACCCGUUGAGCGCCAGUAUACAACUGCUCUAUCAAUGUGUAGGCAGCCUUCAACUUUUUUCGCAUAUCUGAGCCAUGAUGAGCAAUACGACUACCUGCAAUGGUUUAAGAAAUUACUGUUAAACCGGCAUGAUCAAAGAUGUUUCCUAAAAAGCUGAAGAAGAGUACUUACCAAAGAUAGCAGAAGUCAUCGCAUCGAUUUGCCGCUUAAAGCCACUCAGCUCUUCUGCUACCGGUUUAAGUGCUGCUUCAGCAUCUUCAGCCCAUUUCAGCAAAGCGGCCUUUUCAGUCUCCCAGCCUGCCCGCUCGUUCUUGAAGCCAUCCUUCAAUUGUUCCAUGGACAUCAAAGCGUCCUUCAAAUCAUGUGUUGCUUUUGAGGUUGCAGCUUGCUGGGACUUAAUGUUUUCCUGGAGGUCGGCAAUUUGGGCAUCCUUGCUGGUUAAGUCAGCCUGCAAAAGGCAGAUAUUAAGAUGGUAAUACUUUUUUCAUAGUCCCAAGCACAUAACAAGUUAUACACUUGGCACUUGGGGGCUAAUGCGGAUUGUUUCUCUCAAGCUGAUAUUUUAAAGUCCCAAGGCUCAAUACAAGUAUUCAUCUUGGCACUUAGGGGCUAAUGCUUAUUUGAUCAUAUAAACUGGAUAUGAAGGAACUCAACAAGGAUAAGCCUUGCAACAUAAAGUACCGGUUCAUCUUCAAGAAGAUAAACCAGCCCUUGGGGGCUACACAGUUGAAGUUUUUCAUAUUGAAGUACCGGUUCUUCUUCAAGAAGAUAAACCGGCCCUUGGGGGCUACACUGGAGUAGACAUGAAGCAAAAGAAUAGUUUUAUGAAAUGGUUCGAGCAAUAAUUACCUCAUAGCGCUCCUUCAUCAAGUUGACUAAACCGGCUUCAUAGUCACAACUUGUGUAUAGGCGGUUUAGAAAUCCAGAGUGGAGUUCCUGAGCAGUGAGGUUAGCACAACUGGCUAAAUCAGUCUUCCACUUGCCUUUGCCCAUAGCAGCAACUUCUUCCUUGGCAGUAUGCUUCGCUAGAGCAACCGGGUUACCAGGAAUAGUAUGACCAGUACCAGUAAUGACAACGUCGUCAUCACCAUCUUUGGUUGUGCUUGGCGGAAUAUCAGUAUUCCUGGUUGGACUUGGCGGAUGGUCUUCAUCCUUGGCUGGACUUGGCGGAUCAGUAGGAUGGUUCAUAACAUUACUCUCAUCCGGUUCAACAAAAGUAUCUUGAACCGGAGGUACUGGAUCUUCCUGAACAACAUCGGUAUCCAGGUCAUGAGGUUCAAGGGUCUUCUCCGAUUCAAGGGUAUGAUUAUCAUCAAUUGGAACAGUGAAUUUGGCUUUCUUGCUAAGCCUGCCUUUAGCACUGAGAAGAGUAAAGUACAGGCAUUAGUACAGUAAACCGGAGCAACAUAUAAAGUAAGUAUACUGCACUUACCCAGGGACGGUCUUGAGUGGAGGCAUCUGUGUGGUCAAUGAAUCGCCAGAGGAUGAAUUGGAAGCUCCCUGAUAAUUUGAAUCAGACGAAUUAAGAGGAUAUCGAAAGCAACCCGCCUUGGGAUAAGAUGUAUUGGAAGUACAAGAGACCUCUGGUCGGCGUUUGCGAAUCGGAGUAUCCGGUAAACCAGAGGAUGUAACCUGUUGACCACUGUGACGAGUUGUGCGACGAGCCUCAUGUUGAUGUGUCUUCAAAGAAAAGUGCGGAUCCAAAUGAGCAAGAGGAUGUGAAUGUUUUACUUUCCGGACUGCGCGAUGGAGUUUCUGUACCGGCACAUGAUCUGAAUCAGAGGAAAGGGAAAUUACCUCUACAUGGUCAGCACGACUUGCCUCCACAUCAUCCCGAUAAUGAUUAUUGUCAAUAAGGUGCAUGAAAAGUGAACCAAGUGAAUCAAUUUCUACCUCCGUGUCUGAGUCAUCAACAUCUUCGGCCGGAUCAGAGGAUUCGGCGGUUCUCUUCUUAGCAGACUUCUUGGUAACCUUGGACUUAGCCUGAGGCGCUCUCACCGGUUUGUCUUGAGCUUUGGCCGGUUUGACCAGCGUUUUCCUCUUCCAAAAUGGAUCAUUGCUCUGCAAAGGUAAACAGAAGGGCUGUCAGAAAGUGUCAAAAAGGGCGGAGUAAAAUAGGAAAAAUGCAAUUCUUACAGCUGGCGGUUUAUGGAGAGCACAUAAUGGACGCAGCCCAGUUUUGCUGCAUUCAGCUACCAGUUCAUCCAGCAUCCGCUUGACAAAUUCAGUAAUCACGUCAUCAGUCAAUUGAAUGUCAAUAUAAUGUUGAGCAUCUUUCACAUCUCCUGUAUACUCGCACAUUAAACCGGAACGACGACUUAAAGGCAAGAUACUCCAUGAGACCCAGCAACGGACAAGAUCGAUACCGGUCAAACCGUUUGCCAUAAAAGCCCGGACCUUAGAGAUCUGUGUGGCAUAUUUCAUUCGCUCCUUAGCAGUCAGACAUUGAGGCAGUGGAUGUUCAUUACUAAGCCGGUGAGCACAAUAACCCGGCAGAGGGUUUUCAUCUUCAGGGGCAAUGUUCCGGCAGUAAAACCAGGUUUGGUUCCAAUCCUUGGGGUGGCUAUGAUGUUUGGCAUGAGGAAAACUAACUUCUUUCCUCUUCUGUAUUGACACCCCGCCAAGUUCAGUAUUGGGGCCAUCGAUGAAUUCAGUAUCGCGGUUCAAGUGAAAGAAACCUCUAAAUAGCUCAACGGUUGGUUCCUCUUGCAGAUAAACCUCACAAAACAGUUGAAAGUUGCAAAGGUUGGACAUAGAGUUUGGUCCAAUGUCUUGAGGGUGGAGUUGAAGGCUGGCAAGUACAUCACAGAAAUUUUUUGAUCCAGGAGGGCUAAACCCCUGGUCCAGAUGAUGUACAGACACAAUCACCUCUCUGUCUUGAGGUUCAGGAGGACAUUCAGUACCUGGGACACUCCAAUGAAUAAUUUCCUCUUUUGCUAAAUUGCCAGUCACAACGUACUCAGUCAGUUGUUCUUUAGUGACCCGGGAACGGACCCAAUUGCAAGUAGAGAACUGCUUGGCCAUUGUUGAUGACAACUGUAAAAGAAGUUCAAAAUGCCGGUUCACGGUUCAAUAUUGAUAUGUAUAAACUGGGGUCAAACCGGAGGAUUUAGUCAGAGCAUAUGUGCACGUCAAACCGAAUUCUUAUGUUUAGGUUAAGUUGGCGGUUUAAGUGAGGGCUAAUGGUGCCUGGCGGAUUGUCAUUUUCUAAAGGUUAAACCGCCUAUAGUGGAGGAAGUAGAUCCGAACAUUUCACUAAGUACUGUAGAAACAUGUUUCACAGGAUGGUGUUAUAAUUUUGGAUCUACUGCGGUUCAGUAAACAAAAAUUUCUGAACCCUAGAAUGGAGACAUCAGAACAGCGAAGAUCUAGAUGGGAUUUAUCCAGGAACGAAGAGAUACUAUGGUGAAGCAAACUAAAGCUACAGCUUCGGCCGCAAAAGGAGGAUAUCAAGUUUAUAUAGAUUCGAUGAUACAAUAAGGGCAAAGAGACGAACGAGGAUGAACACUGAUGAACACGGACGAACACCAAAAUCCUAAUACAGAUCUGAUAAGUUGGGAACAGGAGAACUUACUGGGGCUGCGGGGCAGCGGAAGAGCGUCGCAGUGUUUCUGGUCAAGAACAGGUUGAUGCAGUGGCCUUGUUGGUGCAGAUGCAAAAGUCGACGGCGCCGGUGAUGCUUGAGCUCUUCGGAGUCGCGAGGAAGAAGAAGAGGCAAGGGGGAAAAAGGAAAGGACCCCUGGGCCUAUUUAUAAGGCGAAUGGAUAAGUAAGGCAAGCGCAUGAAUCGAGGAGCCCGAAAAUGAAUGGGGCACAACUGUUGCCUCGAUCUUCGGAGAUCAAUUAAUAAAAAGAAAUCUUUAUGAGUUUUUUACGCAGAUGACGUCACAUCGGUUUAAUGUGAUUCCCGAAGAUGACGUCACGACAGUUUACAAGGACAACAUGGAGAUGUUCAAAUCAGAGUUUCUUUAAGUGGAAGAUUGACAUGAACAAGUUCAAAUCAAUCUGGGGCCUAAUGUUGGGGAUAUGACUACUGAGUUAAACCGCCCAGGAAAGGGCCGGAUUAACUCACAAGGAUUCCUGUACAAGAGCCCAUGAAGAUGAAGGCUAUGGCGCUUUAACCAUGAAGACUUAGAGUCCCAGAGCCCGAUGGCGGAUUAGGGCCCAUAAUGGUAAACCACCAUAGAUGUGUAACUUCUGUUGUAAGUCAAGGAAAGGAGAAACCGAGCUGGACACUUGUAUGAGCCGGCCUCGGGAUUAUGUAAACCGGCCGAGCGUCAACCUGUGUAUAUAAAGGGACGACCAGGCGGCGGUUCAGGGACAAGAAACAACAACUAUAAAGCCAGGCAUAGCGUGUUUGCUCCCUGGUAACCGAGACCACAUCAAAAACACCCCAACUGGAUCGUAGGCUUUUACCUUCACCGCAAGGGGCCGAACCAGGAUAAACUCCCCGUGUCCUUUGUCCGGUUUAACCCCAUUAAGCUAACCCGUCGCGAUGGCUCCACGACUAAGUCCUUUCACUAGGACAUCUGACAUGAUAAUUCCACGACAACCCCCAUGGCGGUUCACUCAUGGGCCACUUCAGGCAGCCCAUGUCGCAUACAAGGAUUAUUCCACAAGACUUGGUGAUCAAGACAAGGACUCCUAUCCACCAACGUAUUCGGCUAGGACUCUUGUUAUCCUAGGCCUCUGGUGCAUUAUAUAAGCCAAGGCUAGGCUAGUCGAUAGAUCAUUAUGAAAAUCAUACAAGCUAGACUUCUAGGGUUUAGCCAUUACAAUCUUGUGGUAGAUCAACUCUUGUAAUACUCAUAUUCAUCAAGAUCAAUCAAGCAGGAAGUAGGGUAUUACCUCCAUAGAGAGGACCCGAACCUGGGUAAACAUCGUGUCCCCUGUUUACUGUUACCAUCGACAUUAGACGCACAGUUCGGGACCCCCUACCUGAGAUCCACCGGUUUUGACACCGACAUUGGUGCUUUCAUUGAGAGUUCCAUUGUGUGAUCGGUAAAGGAUCGAUGGCUCGUCUGCAGAUUAACUGCGACGUCAGCAUCUUUGUCAUCAGCUCGACUGGUCAACUCGGCUUGACCGAGGACUGUGCCCUACCUCCGAUAGUCAUGUUCGAACGAGUGCCUUCAUUAACAUCAACUCCGAUCUCGAUCAUGAUCAUGGAGGAAUUAUCCUUGGAGCUCGGGGGCUCAACGUCAACACUGCCCUCAGGCGACCGAGCUAUUUUCCCGGAGAACAAACUUGUAUCCCCUGCCACCACCUCCUCGAGCAUCGCUUUGAUGAUUCCUUCGAUGGAAUUGUGUGGAAUUAUGUCUAUAACAACCAUGCAAAAUUUCGCGAGUUCCGAUGGAGGAAUCUCCGGCAAUCUACGAUAUACCAGAGCCUUGUCAAAUUUGGACAAGAAUCUGGACGAUUUUAGGGCGUGGUCUCCAGAUCCAAGCUCGCUCGGAGGUCCUUUGGAAGAUCCAACCGUUCCUCCGCUGCGGAAUUCUCAUAUCUACCACCCCUCAAACUUUCAGCUCGAUCUGACGGUUGAAACUCCAGGAACGUUCCGAUGAGUGGACCAAUUUUCUCAUGUUUUUUCUUCGCGAGAACAAAUCCGAGCCUAGUUCAUCUUUUUUAUGAACGGGAUUUCGGACAUCCUUUUUGAAGGAAGUUCUGUAUGGGGUAUUGUGUUUUGUUCCCAAACACAUCCCACAAAUUUUAAAGUCUUUCCCAAUAUGGUCUUCAAUGCACCGGUGUCAAACCAGCCUGACAACGUUACUCCACGGCUGCCGACCUGCGUUAAACAAGUCGUCCCUUUGUUGAGCCGAUCUCAACUUCUUCGGAUCAUCAUCUCAGCAAGCCGGACAAGUGUUCGGCACCGUGAAGGAUAGAUCACCACCAACAUCGCCGCCCCACGGAUCAUACGGAGCGGGCACACCGGCAUCGCCGCACGGUCACUUCAUCGAGCUGGCAUUUACCGCGUCAUAAGUUAUGACCUGCACCGUCAUGUGGCGGCAUUGUUGGUUCUUCAAGCCGAUGUCCAUCACGCUGAACUGCUUCAAUACCUCGGCUGACACGGCAGCUGCAAUGUCUCCUUACCGACCUGCUCCGUCACCUCGGCUAGACCGGGGGCUUCGCCAUCCCUUCUUCAACCUACUUCGGAGACUUCGGCGUCGUCAACCGACUAGCUUAGUCACGUUAUCUAGACCGGGGCUUUGCCUCGGUGAGCCAACCCUUACCAGCAUCACCAUGCCGUCACUUCACCGCCAUUAGGCAAUGGGUGUGCGGAUCAAUUCUCAAUUUUGGGAGUCACUUUUCUUCGGACUGCUACAACAAAUAAACCAGGUGCUAUUAAUCCUAGCAAUUUUUGCUUAUUUGGGUUUUAUUUUUCUCAAGAAAUUAUUAUUCUGCUUCGUUCCAUCAUCUGUACACAGGCCUAUCAAAUGGCAGCCACAUUAACAACGGUCGCGUGGUGGUUCGGUCAGUUUCCGUACAUAGUUUGGCGAACGCCGCAUCCGGAACUCGGACUGACCUUUGAAUUCAGGCUUUGCCACGCCUUUACCACAUCACGUUGUUGUCUGGCAUCGACAUUGACUUCGGCGCUAUGACACAUAUUUUUAAAUAAAUUAUCUUGCGUAAAUUAAUUACGCGAGGAUUUUUAUAUUAUUAUUGUCGGCCUGCACUAUUUUACUUGUACAUGUAAUCGACUUCGACUGCGUCACUUGGUCACUUUGACAAGCCGACGCCGUCGUCCCAAUCGGCUUAAAUCAGCUCGCGUGAUUACCUUGUUUGUCGAAUUGCCAUACCGACAUGCUCGGUCGCUUUGGGGACUUCGGCAUCGCUGAGAGAGCCCUACCUCAUCGACUGUUCCACACACGAGCCAUAUUUCUUUUAUUACUCACUUUGCAUAAAUUAUUAAUUAAUUAUUUAUUUAUUAUUACUACUAUUAUCUCCGGUUUGCACUAUUUUCUGUGCACACGUAAAUGAUUCGGGUCGGGCAGUGUUAUCUCCUCGGCGUACUGACAUAGCACGUCACCUCGGCUGGACUGGGGGUUUCGUCAUUGAGGGAGUCCUAGAUUAGGGGGUAUUCGGACAGCCGGACUAUAUACUUUGGCCGGACUGUUGGACUAUGAAGAUACAAGAUUGAAGACUUUGUCCCGUGUCCGGAUGGGACUCUCCUUUGCGUGGAAGGCAAGCUUGGCGAUUCAGAUGUUAGAUCUCAUUCUCUGUAACCGACUUUGUGUAACCCUAGCCUCCUCCGGUGUCUAUAUAAACCGGAGUGUUUUAGUCUGUAGGACAAGAACAAUCAUAAUCAUAGGCUAGCUUCUAGGGUUUAGCCUCUACGAUCUCGUGGUAGGUCAACUCUUGUAUUACCUCCAUCGAGAGGGCCCAAACUUGGGUAAACAUCGUGUCCCCAGCCUCCUGUUACCAUUGUCCUUAGACGCAUAGUUUGGGACCCCCUACCCGAGAUCCGCCGGUUUUGACACUGACAUUGGUGCUUUCAUUGAGAGUUCCUCUGUGUCGUCGCUGUAAGGCUCGAUGGCUCCUUCAAUCAUCAACAAGGACGCGGUCUAGGGUGAGAUUUUUCUUCCCGGACAAAUCUUCGUGUUCAGCGGCUUCGAACUACGGGCCAAUUCACUUGGCCAUCUGGAGCAGAUCGACAGCUAUGCCCCUGGCCAUCAGGUCAGGUUCGGAAACUUGAAUUACACGACCGACAUCCGCGGAGACUUGAUCUUUGACGGAUUCGGGCCUACUCCAGGAGCGCCGGACGGUCACGACGGGAACGACUUAGACCGGUUGUCGGACGGUAUUCGGGAUAACGCACCUGCAGCGGCUCUGGACCUAAAUCCAAGGCAGAUCGCGUCGUCCGAGGACGGGUGGAUGGACCCCGCCACGGAGGCCGCAUACUCAUCGGCGGUAGAGCCGAACACAGACUCCACCUCUAAGGAAAUCUGUGUCACCGGACCCCAGGACGUGUCUCCGGCCUCAGGUUCCAGAUCGCGUGCAUCCGGGCCUAUCGAAUUUGAUUGGGCUCCGAUAAUGGAGUUCACCACCACGGAUAUCUUUCAGCACUCGCCCUUGGGCGAUUUGCUGAAUUCAUUAAGGUCUCUCUCUUUGUCAGGAGACUCUUGGCCGAACUAUGUCCGGCUCGAGUGGGAAGCAGAUGACGAAGAAAUUCGUCACCCACCCACCACCCACUUCAUUGCCACUGUCGAUGAUUUAACCGACGUGCUCGACUUCGACUCCGAAGACAUCAACGAUAUGGACGACGAUGCAGGAGAAGAACGGGAACCACCGCCCACAGGGCGCUGGACAGCCACCUCCUCAUAGUAUACAUAUAUAUGGUGGACACACCCAAAGAAAACAAUGGCGAUGAGGCAACAGAGGAUAACCCCUUAGGAAAGCAAUCAAAGCAUGGGCAUCACCGAUGCCGCUCUAAGCCCCGCCACAGCAACACCGGCACAGGAGACGAAAACAAUCCGGAUGGUGCCGAAGAUUAAUAUAAUCCCAAUCAACCUACCUUCGAGCAGACCGAACAGGAGGACGGGAAAGCUAGCCCAGAUGAACAGGCGAUGGACGGAGACUUGGAGGAUGACAAUUAUAUGCCUCUCUGCGAAGAUGGGGUGAGCCUAGGCGAUGAUGAAUUCGGCGUGCCUGAGGAUCCCGUAGAGCAGGAGCGCUUCAAGCGCCGGCUUAUAGCCACUGCAAGAAGCCUGAAGAAGAAGCAGCAGCAGCUCCAAGUUGAUCAAGAUCUGCUCACAGACAGAUGGAAUGAGGUCCUGGCAGCCGAGGAAAACGGACUCGAGCGCCCCACCAAAGGUUACCCAAAGCACAAGUUGCUACCUCAACUCGAGGAGGAGGCCAUAGAGCCUACACUACUAGCACAGGACGAGGCUGACCAGCCACCUCGUGGCCGAGACAAAGGGGUGUAUUAGCCCGAAUACCAACCCGCACCCCGACGCCCAUAUACUAUGGCCCGGGGCAAUACACAGGACCUGCGACAUAUUGGAAAACAAUGCAGGACAACCAAGAUCGAUCUACGGAUCGCGGGGGCGCGUCACAUCACAUGACGAUGAUCGUCAUGCCGGAUACACUAACAAUAAGUUCGACCGGGCCGAACAUAACCGACCAGACUUAGUUGGACUGCGUCGUGACAUAGCCCGGCAUAGAGGCGCCGCACACCCCCUCUGCUUCACUGAUGAAGUAUUGGAUCAUGAAUUCCCAGAAGGGUUCAAACCCGUAAACAUCGAAUCAUACGAUGGCACAACAGAACCCGCGGUAUGGAUCGAAGAUUUCCUUCUCCACAUUCACAUGGACCGCGGUGAUGAUCUACAUGCCAUCAAGUAUCUUCCCCUUAAGCUUAAAGGACCAGCCCGACACUGGCUGAAUAGCCUGCCGGCGAACUCCAUCGACAAUUGGGAAAAUUUGGAUGACGCGUUCCUCGACAACUUCCAAGGGACCUACGUGCGACCACCACAUGCUGAUGACUUAAGUCACAUUACCCAACAGCCCGAAGAGUCAGCCAGGAAAUUCUGGACUCGGUUCCUAACUAAAAAGAACAAAAUUAACGACUGUACGGAUGCCGUAGCCGGCCUUUAAGAAUAAUAUCCGUGACGAGUGUCUUGCCCGACACCUCGGCUAAGAAAAACAGAAAUCCAUGGCGGCCCUCACGACACUCAUGACCCGCUUUUGCGCGGGCGAGGACAGCUGGCUGGCUCGCAGUAGCACCACGCCAAGAGACUCUGGCACCUCAGAUGUCCGCGAUAGUAACGGCAAGCCUCGGCACAACAUACAUAAGCGUCGGAACUAUGGCGACAACACCGAAGACACGACAGUCAAUGCCGGAUUCAGUAGCUCCAAAUCCGGUUAGCGGAAAAAGCCGUUCAAAAGAAACAAUCCGGGAUUGUCUAGUCUGGACCGCAUACUCGACCGCUUGUGCUAAAUUCACGACACCCAUGAUAAACCAGCUAACCAUACUAACAGAGAUUGCUGGGUGUUCAAACAGGCCGGCAAGUUGAAUGCCGAGAACAAGGACAAGGGGCUGCACAGCGACGACAACGAGGAGCCCCAACGGCCGAACACAGGGGGACAGAAGAAAUUUCCUCCCCGAGUGAAAACGGUGAAUAUGAUCUAUACCACCCACAUCCCCAAGUGGGAAUGAAAGCGUGCACUAAGGUACGUUUACACGAUGGACCCGGUCGUCCCAAAGUUCAACCCAUGUUCAUCCUAUCCGAUCACUUUCGAUCGCAGGGACCACCCUACCAGUAUCCAUCAUGGCCUGAACCUGCUUUACCAGGACACAGUGUGCAAAAUGGGCAUUGAUCCCUCAAGGAUCAAACCCACCAAAACUACCUUUAAAGGUGUAAUUCCAGGCGUAGAGGCCUAUUGUACGGGCUCAAUAACACUGGAAGUGGUCUUCGGAUCUCCAGAUAACUUCCGAAGGGAGGAGUUAAUCUUUGAUAUCGUCCCUUUACGUAGUGGCUAUCAUGCACUGCUUGGACGAACCGCAUUUGCUCGAUUCAGUGUGGUACCACACUACGCAUACCUCAAGAUGAAGAUGCCAGGACCUCGAGGGGUCAUAACAGUCAAUGGAAACACAGACCGCUCUCUCUGUACGGAAGAGCACACUGCGGCCCUUGCGGCAGAAGUACAAAGCAGCCUUCUUCGGCAGACCGCCAAUUCGGCGAUGACAACCCCGAACACCAUCAAGCGAGUCCUGAGUACUCUGCAACAGGAUCGGCAGGCACGCCAAGAGCUCAACUAGCAAUCUGGCCUCCAUCCAAGUCCCAUUCAGGCCGCAUUUGUGUCGCGCGUACACAAUUACGGACUCAAAAUACCACGGGCAUAGGCGGAGGCGCGAUGAUGAUGCGGUCCACAAUGCGGCUCAACCGCCACGAGACCCGCAUACCUCUAUAACCUUCUUUCUUUUUCAGGACCCUACUUUCGGGCAGCCCCUUCAGAGAGCCUAAUCAUCGGACUCGUCAUAGGAGGGACAACCAAGGGGGCAAGAGGCUUUGCACACAAGGGAAUACUUAGGUGGUCUUUGUUAACGAUCAUUAUGCCUGUUUUACAUACCCACAUGCAGCCUGCCCUUGGAUAGGACAUGUCAAAUAGUACUAUUUUUGCUUGUCGCAUUAACUUGUACACAUACGCUUUGACAUAUUAUUUAAAUAACAACGGGAAACAAUAUACAGCGUCAACUUAUUAUUACUAUUUUCAUAUUUUCCCUGGACUGUUUAUUUAAUAUUGCAUCCCUACACUCUGGUACGUUCAGUUUGCUAGGGGCUUUUUAUUGUGCCCCAUAACACGGCAAGAAAAGUCCGAACACUUUUGAUAUUGCGGCACCCCGAACUUAUAGCAUUAUAUGCAUCUGCCCCGAAUCAUGUAUUGGGUCAAUAGUUGGGUUUGGCGGGCUCCCUUGUUUUGGUACCUUACGUUCCGUUAUAUCGGCUAAGGUAGUGCAGGGAGAACUACUGCGAUUGUGUCCCAGUUCUUCCGGACGAGCAUCUCAGUAGAGAAAGCGGAAAACUGACUGUCAUGAUGCGGUGAGAGUUGGUCGCUGUUCGAGAGGUAUUAAAUCCUUAAAGAUUUUUUCCUCUUCAGGCGAGGAAUCGGCCUUGUCCGGUUUAUGCAUGUAUAGCGCCCCAAUUCGGCUUUCCGAAUACUAGGGGCUUCACCAAAAUUUAAAAUUGUAGACUUCUAUGGCUAAGUGAGAGUUAUAAAGCCGCAUAGUCCGAUUGCCUUGUUCACUGUGCUAAACACCUCCUUAAAGGACCAAGAAUUUGUAUACAGAGUGUUUGGGUUUUCCACAAACACCCCAGUACUAGUUACACGGGGGCGGAAGCUGACGACUUGCCUACUUUCAGAAUUUUAUAAACAGCCGCACAGAAGGUAAUAUUUCAAAUCAACAAAGCGUCAUAUAGCGCAAACGAACUCGUUUUCAUAUUACAAAGAUGACAUGAGUACAUUCACUCAACGAUUAUGUCCUUGGUACAUUCAUUGGCCACAAGGCAAGCGCCUUUUAUAACGCCAUCAUAAUAUUUCUCGGGGUAGCGAUGCGCCUUACCCUCCGGGGGUCCAUCCUUCACCAGCUUCUCUGCAUCCAGUUUGGCCCAAUGCAUCUUUGCACGGGCAAAUGCCCGGCAGGCACCUUCAAUACAAACGGAUUGCUUGAUAACUUCAAGCCACGGACAAGCAUUUACCAUCCGCUUUACAAGGCCGAAGUAACUGUCGGGCAGGGGCUCGUCAGGCCACAUCCAGACUAUGAGGUCCUUUAUGGCCAGUUCGGCCGCCUUGUGGAGUUCAACCAAUUGCUUCUGUUGGUUACUUAGAGGCAUUGGGUGUUCGGCUCCAGUAUACUGGGACCAGAACAGCUUCUCCAUCGAGAUCCCCUCUUCGGCACGGUAGAACUCCGUGGCAUUCGAUAUGCUGCGUGGUAGAUCUGCGAAUGCCCAGGGAGAGCUCCGAAUUCGAUUAAGUAAAAGAAAUGUCUCCUCCACAUGCUUGCUUCGCAUAUUGAAGGCCUUACCCGCCGCUAUCUUCUUGGCCGUCUGGAUUUCCUAGAGGGCCUUUUGGGCUUCGGCCUUGGCGUGUUCCGCGCUCUGGAGGGCCUUGGCAAGCUCAGACUCUUGCGUCUUGAAGUCAUGCUCCAAGGACUCGAACUUCUGGCCGAACUCCUGGAGCUCUUGCUGUACCUCACUCACCCGAGAAUCUUGCUUUUCACGCUCAGUACGGUCCGUGGCUGCUUUAUCUUUGGCCUCGGAUAGCUCUUUCUUCAGGGCCGCCACUUCGGUCAUGGCCCCUAUUAAAAAUCAUGAUGCUUUUUGUUAGCGUCACCAAUUUUUUCCUCUAUAUGACACACGGACGGGGUAUCACUUACUUCGUUCUCUUCGAGUUGCCUCUUCAUGAGGCUGAGCUCUUCUUCGGCCUGCUUCAGGUCCCGUUUGAGUCCGGCGACCUCCGCAGUACGGGCGGUAGCGGCCAGCAGCAACACCUGCUUACUCACAUAGACAUUCAUUGUUAGACUCCUGCGGAUUAAAAAUUGACCCUCCGUUUGGCUUUUCUUUCCGAACACCAAACAGAGUAUCAGGGGCUACUGUCUAUUAGGUGAUAUUUUCUCACACCUUUCAUCACUUACCUCAAAGCCUGUUAGGAGGCUGGUGCAGGCUUCUGUCAAUCCGCUUUUGGCGGACCGAACAUUCUCAAUCACCAUACUCAUAAGAGUAUGGUGCUCUUCGUCAAUGGAAGCAUCGCGAAGCACUUCCAACAAAUUAUCUGAUGCCUCCAGCUGGAUGGAGGUCAUCGGCACGGCCGGCUCGCCCUCCUUAGAGAGGGGCUACCUACUUGAAUCCGAAACCUUUGGAGGCUCCGGCGCAGUAACUGUCUGGGAGCCAGACUUGUUGUGGCUCCCGUCCGCAUAAUCCAUGGGGAUCUUACCCCCCACAUGCCCGGUGGCUGGGAUUUCGCCUUGGGGCGUCUCUAGAACCGCCAUCCCCUAUUCUGGUAUCCUUUGGGACAACACCUCGGUGUCAUCCGCGGGCCAAGGGGAGGUGGCCGUUGGGAGUGAAUUCAUCUCCGACUCGCUCAGGGACCCGUCCGAAGACGAUACCUCGAGGCGGGACCCAGUCGGACUACAUAUGCGUGUUCGGCAUUGUCACAAACCAUGAAAUUAAGAUGCAUGAAAAAUACUAUAGAGUGUGGAUACUUACUAUCUCGCCAGGGGCUUGCCCCUGGGCAACCACUCCUCCUCGCUGUAGGCGGCCGCGGUGGAGUGAUCCGGAAGGGAUGCCUUUCCCUUCUUCGGUGUCCUGGCCUCCCCGUAUGGGGUGGCUUUCCUCUUCUUCUCCUCCCCAAUGCGGGGAGGGGGAAUUUAUUCAGGUUUCCCCCCAUCUCCGUGGGAGGAAUUUGCCUCGGCGUACUCGGACGACGAGUCUAUUACAGCCUUCACCGGAGACCUUUCCUGGUCCCUGCGGCCGCUUUCUUGGACCUUUCGGCCUCCUCAGAUGGGGCGGCCUUCCUCUUCCUCUCCUUCCCUUCAUGGGAGGACUGUGCCUCAUCGUCUUCAGAUAAGGCAUCCGGCGCAACCUUGUGCCGAAGACCCUUCCUGGUCCCCGUGGUCUUCUUUUCGGCCUUAUUAUCCGGCACCUUGUAAGGCGCCAGAACCAGCAUCUCCGUGAGGAGUGCGGUUGCUAGAUCUUCCGGCAGCGGAGCCGGGCAGUCGAUCCGCUGCGCUGUCGCCACAUAAUCCUGUUUUGAUAAGCAUGGUGACUUAAAAUCCUCCCACGAGUUUUCUGGGAAAGGUACAUCUUGUGAUGUUCGGAGAACUUACUGGAUUGGCGAGGCACGUGGCGCUGAGUCCGCGGUCCUCGGAAGCGGGAGGAGGUACUUCGGCGGCCUUGAACAGCACCUUCUAGACGUCUUUAUGCGUCGUGUCGAAGAGCUCUCGCAGCGUUUGGUGUUCGGCUGGAUCAAACUCCCAUAUAUUGAACGCCCGUCUUUGACACGGGAGGAUCCGGCGAAAGAACAUGACCUGGACCACGUUGACAAGCUUGAUCUUCUUGUCUGUCAGGACCCCGAUCCUAAGUCACACCGAUCUGGCAUGUAACACAUCAUAUCACUCUGCGGCCUCACGCACGGUAUUCCCACGGGUGCCACCUUACCUGGCCCGGGACCGUUUGCACCUUUUGGCUCACAUAUAUGAUAGUGCCGCUAGCAUCCAUAUGACAAAGAACCCGGGCUGACAUGGCUAGUCGUGAACCCAAAGUGGCACUAACUUACAGGGACAUGCAUACAUGACCCAGCAACGAACGUGUCGGUCAUCAGCGAGUGAAUCUGGGCUGUAGCAACUGGGCUAGCAGGACUCCGGUAAACCAGGCUGUAGCAGGCUAACAGGACUCCGGUAGACACCGCGUGACAUUUCCCCGAAGGGAUAGACACAGGAAUGAAGAAGGACACAUGCCGGCCAGCCUAAGUGUUCCGGAGCAGUAUAAAGCUACCAAGGCUCAGUGGAAGCACUAGGAGACAUUUCCCGGUAAGAGAGGCUACCAAGGAUGAACAACUAGAUAGUCAGAUCCCACACAGACCAAGCAUUUCAAUAACAUACACACAAUAUGCUCGAUAUGUGCAAAUACAACAUGGCAUCACAACAUGACUCUACAACUCAAGUAUUUUUCAAUAGGCUCCGAGGAGCGAGAUAUUACAAUCAUGGGUCGCAUGACCCAACAUUCAGAGCAUACAAGUCAAAGCACAUGCGGAAGCUUAACAUGUCUGAGUACGGACAUCUACAAAAGAAAAAGGCUGAGAAGCCUGACUAUCUACUAGAUCCUGCCGAGGGCACAAGAUCGUAGCUGAGGUAACAAGCUAAACGUCAAAGUCCACAUGGAACUACUAGCGAGACUGAAGUCUCUCUGCAAAAACAUAAAUUAAGCAACGUGAGUACAAAUGUAACCAGCAAGACUUACAUCAGAACUAACUACAUAUGCAUCAUUAUCAACAAAGGGGCGUGGGGUUUAACUGCAGCAAGCCAGCUUUGACUCGAUGGCUAUCCUGAAUUAUGACUGUAAGUAUCUCUUUUGAGGUGACGCACACGAGUCCACAUAUUCACCAUAUCAAUACACCACUAUGGAUCCGCUCCCGUCUCCCUAUGAGAACGCCAUCCAUAGCACUCACGUAUAUCUUGCGUAUUUUAGAGUAUCCACUUUCACUUGUCUAUGAACUGUAUAGGCAACCCAAAAGUCCUUUGCCGCGGAAACGACUAUUCGAAUAGAUCAUAUUAACCCUGCAGGGGUGUACUUCUUCACACACGCUCUCACCACUUACCGCCGUUUACACGACAUGUACUCGGCAACCUUCAAGCGGAAGCCCAGCGAGGGUGUCGGCCACGACCUGACUAACCACACAAGUCUCUCAUCCAGGUUUAUCGCCUAUUCGGGUUCCAUCCGCAAGGAGAUCCGGCCGGGGUGUCGCUCACGGCCCCAAACGAUGUGUGCAGGGUUCCCAAGCCCACCAUCCGGGUGCCACUUGGUACACCGGGCCACUGUGCCUAGUCUGUCCCAAGCCCACCUGUACCGGGUGCCACUUGGUAGACUACUAGCACUACCUACAAACACCAGAAACUAGCUGCAACUCUUGGACACAGAUCGAGUUGAUUAAUAAGUCGAGAGAGUCAAUUAAGGAUCCCAAUGUGUGGUAGUAGCUGUUAAUGGAUCACAAACACAGAACUCAGUUCCUGAGGACGGCUGCAAUGAGACAACCCACCAUGUACUCCUACACGGCCUCUCACCGCUACCUUUACCAAAUCGUGUUCACACACUUAGCUCACACACAGUAGGACAUGUUCACACACCUCCAAUUCAUUCCCGAUGAAACAGACCUGACACAACUCUAAGCAAUAGCAGGCAUGACAAACAAGCAUGAAUGAGUAGGCACAUCAGGGCUCAAACAACUCCUACUCAUGCUAGUGGGUUUCAUCUAUUUACUGUGGCAAUGACAGGUCAUGCAGAGGAUAAGGGGUUCAGCUACUGCAACAAGUAACAAAUAUGUCAUUGUUGUCCUAAUGCUGUAAAAGAGAGCAGGAGCGAGAGAGUGGGAUUUUAUCGGAAUGAACAAGGGGGUUUUGCUUGCCUGGCACUUCUGAAGAUAGCAUUGAGUCUUCAUCAGUGUCAACGAUCACAAUGUCGGUACAACGUCUACCGAGGGGGAACAACACCGGCAAACAGAGAAGAAACACGAUCAAUGCAAUGCACAAUAUGAUGCAUGCUAUGACAUGGCAAUAUGAAUGUGUUUUGGGCUAAUGCAAGCUAGAACAGGUUGAGAUGAGUCCAUUUGAACCAAAGAUUCAAAUGCAAACCCAUUUUAAAAGGUCGUAUUAGUGCAUUACCUUGUUUCACCUAAACAGCAAGGUUAAAGUGUUCUAUCAUGCAUGAGAAUGGUACAGAUGGAUAGAUUGCAUUUUUCUGAUCAUUUUUCAUAUAUAAAUUGUUUGAUUUGGAGCUACGGUUGAUUUUCUAUGAUUUUUAGAAGUUUUGGUUAUUUUCUGGAAUUCCUUGUAUAAGAAAAUUCCAGUAAUUAGUUAUUGCGUCAGUGUGACGUAAGUGGUCAAAGGGGACGUCUAGGUCAAACUGACCUGUGGGCCCUGCGUGUCAGUAGUUAGUUUAACUAACUAAAUUUAGUUAGUGCUAAUCCUGGGUUAGUUAGCAGGGCGGGCCCCACCUGUCAUAGACCCAAGGGUCAAAUUGGGCCCACCUGGUCAACUCAGUCAACAGGGUCAACUCGCCGGCGUUUAGCCGCCGGCGAGGUCAGUGGCGCUCUUGUGCCUCGGGUUUCCUCUGUGGUGCUCCAAAUGACGUGCGGCUAGGCGCGUUGGAGAGCUAGCUCGACGGCGCGUCGGGUGGUGGCCGGGGUUGCCGGAGUCGACGGCGGUGAGCUCGAUUGCGGCUGCCGGAGUUCGGUUGCACUCGGAACCGACGUUGUGGUGCACGGCAUGUCGAGCGGUGGGGUCCUAGGUGCUCCUGCAAACGUGCUGAGCACGGUGACGCUCUCAGACGCGGCGGAGGUGGGCUCUAGCCACGGCGGCGAAGAAGCGCAACGGCGGCGAGCUUCGGUCGGGGUGGCCAAAGGGGCUAGAGGAGGAAAUCAACAGAGGGAAGAGAGGUGUUGGGAUCAGGGGCUCGCGGCGAUGCCGAAGAGGAGAUCAGCGAGCCUGGGGAGGUCCUGGCGGCGCCGAAUCGACCGGAGGCGAGCUCGGGUGCCUGGGGUUGAAGAUGAGGCAGAGACGUCGCUGUGAUGCUCCCGUGGUCGAACAGACUGGUGUAGACGACGGAGGAGAUGACGCCGGUCCUUCUGGAUGCUUCGGCAAGGCGAGGGGUGGACGGUGGCCACGGUUUCACGGCGGCAAACGCUUGGCGGUUGCGGCCAUGGCGAGGAGAGGGCAAGAGAGAGGGCAGAGGGGGGAGAGUGAAACGUCCAGGGGGUCGGGGCGGCACCGAAGAGAAGGCCCGAGGCGUCGUGGUGGCCUCAGUGACGCAGGCAAGCAGGGAGGUGUGUGGCGCCGCGGGCGCGCGUGCGCUGUCUCCCUCCUUUGCCUACUGGCAGAUGUAGGUGAUGACUGGCACGGGCCAGGUGGGCCGGCCCAGCCAGGUAAGUGGCCUGUGGCCUUUCUCUCUCUCUCUCUCUCUCUCUUCCAUUUAGUUCUAUUUUUCUAUAUUUCUGUAUCUUAUGGGCUUUAUUAAAAAUAUCUAGGCACUUCCAAAAAUCAUGAAACUGCUCAAUGUCACUUUUUGGAAUAUUUCCAACAGCAAACAUUUCAGUUUGUGAUUAUUUGAGCAUUUAAAAUAUUAUUUAGCAAAUAAAUGCCCAAAUGCAAAUACCAUAUGAUUUAAUUCAAAAAUCCAGAAUGGCCUAGAAAUAUGUGCACCAUUUUUGGGAGAGGUUCUAGACCAAUGCAAAAAUGAUGAACUUUCUGAAGGGCAUUUUGGGUUCAUUGAGAAUAUUUUUAUUUGAACCUAGUUGAUUUGAUCUGGUGCUAGGGUUUGAGCAAUCCCCAUUUCAGGUUUAAAAGAAAUUUAAACAUGAUGCAUGAUGCAACACAAGACUAACUAACUCAGAGCAGAUCAGAACUAGGGAUGUGACAUUGUCUAUCAUAUUUUUGACACAGUACUUGAGUCCUGUCAGCUCUGUAGGUUCGCCACAGGCCAGACCCUUCUUUUCAGAGGAGGUGAGCCGCGUGGGGAUGCCAGAUCGGAAUUCGGGGGCCGACGCCCAGUUGGCAUUGCAUGGCUCGGUGAUGUAGAAAUACCCCGAUUGCCACCCUUUCACGGUCUCCAGGAAGGAGCCUUCAAGCCAGGUAACAUUGGGCAUUUUUUCCACCAUGGCGCCUCCGCACUCCGCGUGCUGGCCACUCACAAUCUUCGGAUUCACGCAGAAGAUUUGUAGCCACAGGCCGAAGUGGGGCUUGAUGCGGAGGAAGGCCUCGCACACGACGAUAAACGCCGAGAUGUUGAGGACGAAAUUUGGGGCUAGAUCGUGAAAAUGUAGCCCAUAGUAAAACAUGAGCCCACGUACGAAUGGGUGGAGUGGAAACCCCAGUCUGCAGACGAAAUGAGAGAGGAACACUACUCUCUCUUGAGGCUUGGGUGUGGGAGUAAUUUGCCCCUUCGCCGGAAGCCUGUGCGUGAUGUUUGCGUCCAGGUAUCCGGCCGCCCGAAGCUUGGCAAUGUCCUCCUCUGUAACGGAGGAGGCCAUCCACUUGCCUCCCGCUCCGGACAUGUUGCGAAUGGUCCUACGGAGAAGGUGAGAACUUGGGCGCUGGGGCUCAAGGGUGCGAGAAUGGAUGAGCAAAGGAGGAAGAAGGCAUGGGUGAAAAUGGGGGAUCCUUAUACCUUUAUAAAGGCGGUGAAAACUGUGCGCCUCCCCGCUUGCCAGUCAAAAUCACUCAUUUUCCAGGCGCCACGAUUGAUGGUGCGGUUGGGUUACCCAUACCCGUAUUGAUGAGAAUCCCGUGAUAAGGGGACACGAUCUCUGCUUCGACAAGACGUGCAAAGGAAACCACCUCGCAAUAUGUGCGGUGGCUGGUUGUGAGAAAACGGUUCGAAUAAUGACCGGACCAUGGCGUGAUGUCAUUCAACAGAAGUUGUUAGUAGAUUUGAUUUGUCGAACAUUGUGCUCUCUACGGUGGUAUGUGGAAAAAAAAUUGCAGAGCCGGACACGAUCCUUGUGUUCGGAAUCUUCUACGGAGUAUUCGGAUAUGGAAACCGCCUUGCAAUGCCGAAGAAAAUCUGCGUGUCGGACUCAUCGUCAUUGAAGCCUGGUUCAGGGGCUACUGAGGGAGACCUGGAUUAGGAGCUAUUCGGACAGCCGGACUAUAUACUUUGGCCGGACUGUUGGACUAUGAAGAUACAAGAUUGAAGACUUCGUCCCGUGUCUGGAUGGGACUCUCCUUUGCGUGGAAGGCAAGCUUGGUGAUUCGGAUGUUAGAUCUCCUUCUCUGUAACCGACUCUGUGUAACCCUAGCCUCCUCCGGUGUCUAUAUAAACCGGAGGGUUUUAGUCCGUAGGACAAGAACAAUCAUAAUCAUAGGCUAGCUUCUAUGGUUUAGCCUCUACGAUCUCGUGGUAGAUCAACUCUUGUAAUACUCAUAUCAUCAAGAUCAAUCAAGCAGGAAGUAGGGUAUUACCUCCAUCGAGAGGGCCGAACCUGGGUGAACAUCGUGUCCCUAGCCUCCUGUUACCAUUAGCCUUAGACGCACAGUACGGGACCCCCCUACCCGAGAUCCACCGGUUUUGACACCGACAAUCAUCACUUCAUCAACCCACGCCGGGGACUUCGGCAUCACUCUGCCGGCCUGCAUUGGCUGAGCCAUGUCACUACCUCGGAAUGCCGAACUCCUUGCCCGGGCACCUCAGGCUUGGAGGCUGGGACCUCAGCCAUACCGAGGACUGUGAACCUUGUCGGAUCUGUCACGGAUCAAUGGGCAUCUUCGUCCCGCCACAAGCCCGAAUGGCGUCAUCAACAUCGAGCACAUUAAUCAGCUAAGUUGCUUUCAUGCUCAAAAACUUUGUUCGGUUCGACCAAGCAUUAUACUUUUUGGCAAAAAGUUGUUUGUGACAAAAUUCCUUGUCAAAACUUUGUUUGUGACACACAAAUUCAAAUACCCCAUUUAUUUGGGGGCUUCCUUUAUAAAGACUCUCCUCUUGCAUAUGAUUAUACUUGUAUGGCUUCGUUCCUUGUUCGUGUAUUACACCACAAUAUGCACCAUGUUGACUUAAUUAUUCCGCAAGCUGGAUUGCCUUGCUCCAGUAUUUACCCCUACGUUUCUGAUUGUUCGGCUAGGGAGUAAAGGGAGCACCUCUGCGAUUGUCACGAUCGGGUCAUCCGAGCUCGGACCUCAGACUGGGUGAAGCCGAAAGCUAGCGCUCUUAUUGUUUUCAAUCAUGGUCGGCACAUAACGGAACUCAUGUGUACAAAAAAUCUAUUGCACAAGUCUCAUAGUAACAAUGAGCAACCGAAAAAAGGUAUCGGUGGGGGUACUAUUUUCUUCGAAGAUGCUUCUUAAACUUCGUCAGUAAUAUAGCAUAAGUUCCCUGAGCGUGCUUUGUCUGUUACAGCCUUAUGGCCUGAUUGUCUGGUUAUCGGAAACACCAUCGAUAUUCUCUACAUGUGGGGUACAUAACACUUUUCAGCCCUUGACCGAAGAGGGAGAAGUUGAUGGUCAGUUAAGACGCAUUUAAAGUUCAGGUGAAUACAAAUAUGAUAUAAGUACUUCGGUACAUACAAUAAUCAUUAUACAUAAAAUUCUUUUACCCAAGUCACUUGGGGGUUCUUAAAAUUUAUAUGAGCUGUUUUAUAGUAAAUGUGUUUUCUUCUGGGUUGUUGCAAAGUCUUUUUCUACCGCUCCUUUUUCGACUCGAGUGUAUGGUCAAUAGACAGAUAGCCUGUCUUCUCUCUAAAAGCCGCUCGAGUUUAGUUCGCUAAACUGACCUCGGAGAAGUACUCCGCCUUUGGGAUAAGGAACUUGAAGCCGUAGGCUGACCUGCGUGAAGUCUUGAGAUCGGAUAUGUCAUGUUAAAGCACGACAAAAGCACAAUUUUUUUCCAAUUUUGGAUUGGCACCGAACACUUGAUCUUGUUCGGACAUCAACUUUUUACUGACGUUUUUUGGUUUUCCAAGCUUAUGGCACUUUUAAACUAUUUGUGUGUUUCCAGCAUAAGUCUCGCAGUGCAACAACGGACACCUUUAGAGAUUCGUCAAAAACAUUCUCGGAUAUUUCUAUAUAUGCAUCGGUUUGAAAUUGUGUCUUCGGUCAAUAGUUGGGUUGCCUGGCUCCUCUGCUUGCCUCCUAGGUUCCGCUUUGUUCGGCUAGGUGUGCAAAGGGAGAACCACUGCGAUUGUGCUUCCAGCUCGCAUGGUUAAGCACCUCAGUGGAGAAAGCCGAAAACUGACUGUCACAAUAAGAGUAAACUGGUCAGCGAUCCGAUGACUAUGUUAAAUGACGGGCCAUUCAUAAUAUUGGCCGAAGUGUUUACGGCUUGAGCUCGGCUGUCGCCAAACACUAACCGGAGGCUCGUAGUUAGCUUCCCCAGUUUAAAGCUCCUAUGACUACGUGAAAGUUAUAAAGCCCGCAUAUCUGAUUGCCUCAUUUCCACUAACACAACCGCCUUCGGGCACCGAGACGUUGGCUAAGGGUUGCCUUGUUAUUGCGGAAACACCCUGCGUAGUAUCUACAAAGAGGUAGAAGCCGACGAUGGGCCACUUUCAACUGAUAAACGGUCGCAACGGAGUCAAAAUAAACAUAUCAUCGGCAUUUGUAUUUAUUAUACAAGGGCCGCCUUCCAUAAUCAUCGUUAUAAAGCCAUAAAUAUGCAUCAAUUUGACUUAAGAUUUUUGCCAAGCUGGGUUGCCUGGCUCCUGUGCUUACCCCUACGUUCCCGAUUGUUUGGCUAGGCGGUAAAGGGAGCACCUCUGUGAUUGUUACUACCGGGUCAUCCGAGUUAGUACCUCAGACUGGGUGAAGCCGAAAGGGAGCAAUCUUAAAAGAUCAUAUUGGUCGGCAACAACGACAGAUUUUGGUUCAUUAAUACCAUAGAGUUCGGGAACUUUCCCCGAACUAAAUCCUCAAUAUUUUCCUCCCACAUUGAUCGGAGGUGAGGUUUCAUGAUCAUGAUAAGCAUGACGACCCAAAGAAAGGAACCGAUAGCGGGACUAUUUUCCUUGAAAGAUGUUUCUUACAUUAAGUAAUAUAACAUAUCUCUCCACGUAACUUUGUUUAUAAAACCGUAUGACCAGAUUGCCUUGUUUCUCAUAAAUCUUUGCUCUCAUGAAUGCUUUAUAAAUAAGGACAAACACUCCCCGGCUGCUGGCCGAGGAGGUGGAAGCCGAUGGUCGGUCAACAAAGUUUUAUAUAAUGCGGACCCAAGCAUUAAUGAUGUAAAAUACUUGGAUACAUAGGAUCCUAAAUUGCCAGUAAAGUCGAUUUAUUGCAGCUCAUCUUUUAAAGACCAAGCGAGCAACUUACAUAAAUCUCUCCUAAAUCCCAAGUGGCAUCGAUUUCCUAUCUAUUAAGCCCCUUGGGGCCAACCUUGGCUAGCCCAGCUUUCGCUGGCUCUAGCUCCUUUAAGAGAUCUUUAUUCUCUUUUCGAGAAGUUUGUGUUAAACACAACAAAAUUUUCUGUCACACGAAUAUCGAUCCUUAAUUCAGCCACCUAUGCCCAUAUUAAGGCUCGGGGGCUACUGGGCUUCACGCUCAUUAUUUAUUUAGAUAUAUUAAAACUGAUCACCUUUCCAACCAUCUCAGGCCAUUAGCAUUCUUGGCCGUCGGAUCUUCAAUUCUAAGCUUUUUUGGCCGUCUAAUCAAACUCUUGAGCACUACUUCUGGCCGCUGGACCGGGCAGCUACUCUGAUAACUAAAUUGAAGGCAUGCAGUUAAUUGGCAGCUACUCCAGCGGGUGUUUAGCGAGGCAUUAAAGAUGCAUCAAUGGCGCAUGUGGGCGAUUGGAGCUGAUCAGGGGCACAUCGAUCCCUUGAUCUAGUGUUGCCACCCCACCAGUGUCUCGGGGGCUACUACGUUGCCUGUUCAAUGCAGAAAAUUCAAAGUGCUUAGUGUUCGGCUUGACCGAACUAUGGGCAAACGCGUCUUCGGACAACAAUAGGUACCAUCUGGACCUAUAUGGCGUCAAGCUAACAUAUUGCGGCAACUUCUCAAGACCCUCUCUCAAGGGCCCGUUCGCCGAUCACUAUUAUCUCUAAUAAUAUUACACUGCGUUUCUAUUCCUACGUAUGCUGCCGAGCUAGGAGUUAAUUCUCAGGCCGAUUUUGCAAAUCGACCUGAGUCUCAGGGGCUACCAGGAUCAACAGUUUUAUGUUUUCCUUCACGUGCACCUCGGGUUUAGACCGACACACACCUUGAGGGCUACCAGAUAUACAUAUACUGGCUAUAUACCUCGACAGAGAGUAAAUUGUACCAAUCAAAAAUAUAAACAAAAAUCGGCCCGCGGUCGGAGUGGUGCACCACCUCGGAAGCAGUCCGGCAUAAAGCUCGGGCUCCAGUGGCUGGCUCCAUAGAGGACAUUUCCGGCAUUAAGCUCGGCUGAAUUUGUUCAAUAUUUUAAAAGACCGAGGUAGUUUACGACACCUCAGACGCUGACCAUCGUUGGAGCUCAGAAGUGGUCCGGCUUAAAGCCCGGAUUCGAAUGGCUCGUUCCAUAGAGAACUUUUCAGCGUUAAACUCGGAUAACCUCCCUCAAACUUUUUCAAGCCAAGGUGAUCUAUGACACCUUGGAUAUAGUCCGGCGUUGGAGCUCGGAUAUAGUCCGGCGUUGGUGCUUGGCUGCAAAAGAUAUCUCAAAUGCAGUCCUGCGUUGGAGCUCGGAUGCAAGAGGACACUGCCGCACGGGAACAACUUCAAACCCGAGGUGUGGCGUAAAAAAUAAUCCUAAGGAAUUGAUAAAGGCCGAGAACUUAAAGGGGCUCCUCGGAUACCCGAUGUGUAAACCCUUCGGAUUCAUUUCGGCAAUCCUCAAGAUCAAAGACGAGAAGAUUUAUUGAACCAGUUUUCAACACCGACGACCGAAGAUUAAGAACAGUUUGAAAGGAUGGAGGAGCGUCCCCCACUUCAAGACCAGUUCAGGGGGCUACUGACGGUGUCCUGGACUAGGGGGUACUCAUCACAUCGUCUCCGGACCAGGUGGAUCGGGCCGAGGACCCCCAUGGCGGUUCACUCAUGGGCCACUUCGGGCAGCCCAUGUCGCAUACAAGGAGUAUUCCACAAGACUUAGUGAUCAAGACAAGGACUCCUCUCCACCAGCGUAUUCGGCUAGGACUGUUGUCAUCCUAGGCCUCUGGUGCAUUAUAUAAGCCAAGGCCAUGCUAGUCGAUAGAUCAUUAUGACAAUCAUACAAGAUAGACUUCUAGGGUUUAGCCAUUACGAUCUCGUGGUAGAUCAACUCUUGUAAUACUCAUAUUCAUCAAGAUCAAUCAAGAAGGAAGUAGGGUAUUACCUCCAUCGAGAGGGCCCGAACCUGGGUAAACAUCGUGUCCCCUGUCUCCUGUUACCAUCGACCUUUGACGCACAGUUCAGGACCCCCUACCCGAGAUCCGCCGGUUUUGACACAGACAGUUGCUAACCUUUGCGAACUUGGAUGGAUGGGGUGCCUUGAAAUCUUGACAAAUUUUGGUAAAAAUGGAGGUGAGCUUGAGAAAGAGGGGAAGAAAACAGAGAUGAGGGAAAAAACAGAGCGCUUCGGCUCGGGCUAGACAAAGCACUAUAUAUAGUGAUCUCUUUAGUCUCGGUUGAUUAUACAAACCGGACUAAAGGUGCACCUCUAGUCCUGGUUUGUGACACGAACCGGGACUAAAAGUGUUCGUGGGGCCCCAGCCUGACACCAGCCUGCCACCACCCCUUUAGUCCCUGUUCGUGUCAUGAACUGGUACUAGAGGUUCAACAUGAACCGGAACUAAUGAUGCCCACCCCACUAGCCGUUGGAACCGACACUAAUGGUCACAUUAGUACCGGUCCGUUUCCAAACCAGAAUUAAUGGGGCUCACGUAAAGUCAUUUUUCUACUUGUCUUGCUCCAUAUGUAGUCACUUGUUGAAAUCUCUAGAAAGACAAAUGUUUAGGAACAGAGGGAGUAGAAGCCGUCGGCCAAGGAGGGCCGAGCUCGAUCUCCCUUGGCCGGCGCGGUACCUACUUUGUGCUGGCGCUCCAUUUUCCCUUUUCGCGUGCGUCGAACGGCGACAAUGAAGAGGUAAGCCAAUUUAGCCGACUGCUGAGGGUCAUGUCUCCGAAUUUAUGGAGGGGUCAUGGCUUCGCGUGUGUUGGCCUCUGGAUAUCGGUCUCGAAUUCAUCACACGGAUGAAUGUCCAGACCAUCCAAACACCGGCAUUCGGGGCAAACAACGCCAAUGCCAAAUUCUUACUCAGAAUGUCAACAUCCAAAUGGCGCCUAAGGGUUUUUCUAGAUAUUUAGCAUAUAUAAUUCGUUCAAACUUUUUGAACUGCAAGUUCAUGAAAAUGCUCAAAAAUGGGCUGACAAUGUUAUUUGUGUUAAUGAAUCUAUGUUUAGACCUUAUCCAAUAUAAAUAAAAGACACCCAGACAUCAGGGUGCGAAAACACGACCCCAAACAUUGAGCUUAUUAGUUUUUUAAUUCCAGAAAAUGCAAAUAAAAUGUGAAAAAUAUGAAAACUGGCAUGGUGUCAUGAUAUGAUCCCUAGAUGUCGUAGUAAAAAUUUGAGUAGUUUUCACAGAAGUUAUGACAUACACUUCUUGGAAAUUGAAAAUCUCUCAGGAAGAAUCAUGGUUUUGAAAAGAAAUUGAUCGGGUUUGAAGGCAAAGUGUUAGUUGCUUUAUCAUUGGACCUUGAAACUUUUUCUACACUCAACAUACACCACCAUAUGCUACAUGCCGUAAUUUGGCAUUUUCAGGGUUUGUUUAUUUAAGUUAUUAAGUGAUUUUCUAGAAAAUCAAUGGAUAUAAUUCAAAUUUAAACUGCAAGUACAUGAAAAUGUUGCUAAAAAUGGGUUGAAAAAUUCUAUUUGUGUUAAUGAGUUUACUUUUAGACCUGAUCCAAUAAAAAGAAAAGGCAUCCCAAACAUCAUGCUGCCAAAACUCGACCCUAGACAUUGAGCUUGGCAUGGAGAAGAUCCUAAAGGUGGUGCUCCAUGAUUGUUUACAUGCACUCUCCAUUCUUACUAUCCUACUAUUCUGAAUGAUCUCUCGAAACAGGCUUGCAUACACUUUUAUUAAUAAAGCCACACUCUCCAUUCCUACUCUUCCGAUUGAUAUCUCCCUUUUGUCGUUUUUUUUGGAAAAAAGGUUUAAACCCUAUCUCUACAUCAAUCAAUGCAUACACCCAUCUUUAUUAAUUAUUCAACAAAGUUUUGACAAAAACAUGCAUCAAGCCACUUGAAGCCACCACUCACACCUAUAUCAAUGCCACCGGAAGCCAUCACUCUCACUCCCCAUAUCUAAAAUCGGUGUCGUCGCCGAUCCAUCCGCACAAUGUAUCGGAACGAAUAGCCGAUGCAGAAAACCUAAAGCGUACACCACUGCACACAUUUUAGAAGCCGCAAUUAUUAUCGAACCGCUGACUCAUCUUCAGAAAAGAGACCCGCAUCAUCCUUGCCAGUCCGGCCCUUCAUCUAUGCCACCACGGCGCCGAACAGCACCACCUCCGUACAAGCAAACUGCUGAGCACGUUGUGCUCGCCGUCGGUACACUGCAACACCAUGCUGCCAAGUACCACAGUCCCACACAGCUUGAAGUCUCUCGAAGAUCUCGUGCGUAUCACCUGCCGAACAGGCAUGACACGACGUAGCACCUAUUGCCAAGGAAUGACUUGACAUCUCCACUGAAGCUCCGUGCACGACGAAAUCGCUCCACCUCCUGCCUCUGUCUUCCAGGGCUACUCCACAAACGAUGCUCCCAAGAGAGAAACGACACCGUAGUGUCGCCAUCGUCCGAUUUGAAAGACCAGAUCCUAGGGUUUUCCCUUGAGCACCACGAGUGGGUCGACAUUAGUUACACGACGAUGCCUUCAUCAAGGUAACAACGUAGAACGCCGCCAUCACCCGCCGUCGGCUUGGUUUUCACCGGAAAGUAUGUCUCCCCGAUUCACAGCCGAGACUACAUGACGGGUCUCGUGAUCCGACCACCCAGCCUCAAGCCGACCACCUCCGACGGAAGAGACGACCAUCACCGCCAAGCCUAGGGUCGCUACCCCAGGUGCGCGUGAUGCAGAUCAAGACCAGGAGCGCCAGUCGCCACCUGCCGCCCGGAGAUUCGAUUUGCCAGCCGCCACCGUGCCACAUGAGACACGCAAACAAGGCAGAGAUCCACCACCGCCUUCGGCCACUGCCGCCGAAAGGGAAGCAGUAUACUCCGACCUGCGCCACUUGCCGGCCAGAUCCGGCCGCUGCCUCGAGCACGCCCCUCCCACCACGCACUACUAGGAAAAGGCCUACUAAUGGCGCACCAGUUUUGCCUACUAAUAGCGCAUCACUGGUGCGCCAUUACUAGCACGCCAUUAGUAAUUUUUACUAAUGGCGCACCACUGAUGCGCCAUUAGUAUCUGGUAUACUAAUGGCGCACCACUGGUGCGCCAUUAGUAUAGGCCACAGUGCUCCAUUAGUAUAGGCCACUGGUGCGCCAUUAGUAUAGGCCACGGUGCGCCAUUAGUAUUUUUGAAUUUUGAAGGCGGGAAAAUAGAAGUGGCGCACCAUCUAACCCCCACCGUGCGCCAUUGCUAUUUUUGAAUUUUGAAUUUGGAUCUGGAUCGUGAUUUUUUUGCCCAUUUUUUGCUAGUUUUUUUGCUCGUUUUUUGGCAUGAUAUUAUUUCAAAUUUUGUUCCUGUUUUUGGAUCUUGUACGUUCUUUUGCCGUGUUCUUUUGCCGGAGAGGAGUUCGCCGGAGAGGAGGAGGAGGAGGUGACCGGAGAGGCGCUCGCCUACAUCGCCAGAGAGGAGGAGGAGGUCGCCGGAGAGGAGUUCACCGAAGCAUCGGAGAGGAGGAAGGAGAAACCAUGAGGGAAUGGGAGGAGAGGAGGGAGGAGGAGCUCACCGGAGAGGAGGGAGGAGAAACCAUGAGGGGAGGGNNNNNNNNNNNNNNNNNNNNNNNNNNNNNNNNNNNNNNNNNNNNNNNNNNNNNNNNNNNNNNNNNNNNNNNNNNNNNNNNNNNNNNNNNNNNNNNNNNNNNNNNNNNNNNNNNNNNNNNNNNNNNNNNNNNNNNNNNNNNNNNNNNNNNNNNNNNNNNNNNNNNNNNNNNNNNNNNNNNNNNGGAGAAGGAGUGGAGGAGAGGAGAGGAGGAGAUGGAGUGGAGGAGAGGAGAGGAGGAGAUGGAGUGGAGGAGGUGCGCCCAGCCAUAUAUACGACAUAGUAAUGGCGCACCGUGGGCAGGUGCGCCAUUACAAACUUUUUUUUAUUUUUUUGACUUAUUUUAUAUUUUGAAGGCGGGAAGAUACUAAUGGCGCACCAUGGGCCGGUGCGCCAUUAGUAACUUUUUUUUUUGUUUUUUGACUUAUUUUGAAUUUUGAAGGCGGGAAGAUACUAAUGGCGCACCAUGGGCAGGUGCGCCAUUAGUAACUUUUUUUUAUUUUUUUGACUUAUUUUAAAUUUUGAAGGCGGGAAGAUACUAAUGGCGCACCAUGGGCAGGUGCGCCAUUAGUGAGUUUGAAUUUUUUUUUGAAUUUUUUUGCCUCUCCAGAUCUUAAAAGCCCUGUAUCUUUUUUUCUGUUAGGUUUUUGAGGAUUUUGAAAAUGUUUAACGGGGUUCCCCCAGUUAAAUUCGGAUGUAAUUUUUCGAGUAGAUGAUUUUUCAUAUAAAAAACUUUUUCAUCCGAGUUAGUAUGCAAAAGUUAUGCUCAUUUUUAUAAAUUCUCGAGAGAUUUUGCAAAUGAUGUCGAAAUUCAUAUUUGCAAAUUUUCCCAACAACUAGACCACAUAUCACAUGGNNNNNNNNNNNNNNNNNNNNNNNNNNNNNNNNNNNNNNNNNNNNNNNNNNNNNNNNNNNNNNNNNNNNNNNNNNNNNNNNNNNNNNNNNNNNNNNNNNNNNNNNNNNNNNNNNNNNNNNNNNNNNNNNNNNNNNNNNNNNNNNNNNNNNNNNNNNNNNNNNNNNNNNNNNNNNNNNNNNNNNNNNNNNNNNNNNNNNNNNNNNNNNNNNNNNNNNNNNNNNNNNNNNNNNNNNNNNNNNNNNNNNNNNNNNNNNNNNNNNNNNNNNNNNNNNNNNNNNNNNNNNNNNNNNNNNNNNNNNNNNNNNNNNNNNNNNNNNNNNNNNNNNNNNNNNNNNNNNNNNNNNNNNNNNNNNNNNNNNNNNNNNNNNNNNNNNNNNNNNNNNNNNNNNNNNNNNNNNNNNNNNNNNNNNNNNNNNNNNNNNNNNNNNNNNNNNNNNNNNNNNNNNNNNNNNNNNNNNNNNNNNNNNNNNNNNNNNNNNNNNNNNNNNNNNNNNNNNNNNNNNNNNNNNNNNNNNNNNNNNNNNNNNNNNNNNNNNNNNNNNNNNNNNNNNNNNNNNNNNNNNNNNNNNNNNNNNNNNNNNNNNNNNNNNNNNNNNNNNNNNNNNNNNNNNNNNNNNNNNNNNNNNNNNNNNNNNNNNNNNNNNNNNNNNNNNNNNNNNNNNNNNNNNNNNNNNNNNNNNNNNNNNNNNNNNNNNNNNNNNNNNNNNNNNNNNNNNNNNNNNNNNNNNNNNNNNNNNNNNNNNNNNNNNNNNNNNNNNNNNNNNNNNNNNNNNNNNNNNNNNNNNNNNNNNNNNNNNNNNNNNNNNNNNNNNNNNNNNNNNNNNNNNNNNNNNNNNNNNNNNNNNNNNNNNNNNNNNNNNNNNNNNNNNNNNNNNNNNNNNNNNNNNNNNNNNNNNNNNNNNNNNNNNNNNNNNNNNNCGAGGGUCCAAUGUAGGUUGAGGUUGAGACGCAAAUAGUUGGGAGAUCGGUUUUUUCUAUGAUUUACUUCCAAAUGAUAUGGUCGUAACUGGUCAUAUACAUGUCUAUGAGUUGAGCUCCAUAUGUCCAAGUUUUAUGUCUUUCCAUAAACAACGCUCCUCUGUUCUAAUAUACUUUACCUUAUAGACCGUUAUGAUGUUGCAAGAAACCCGAAUGCUGAAACUAAUGUAUGGCAUCAGCUUGGCGUACUUGGUACCACCCAGGAUUUAUAUCAGACUUUUCGGUGCCAGCUAUCAAGGGUAUCAAUAGGUGCUGAUCAAUGUUGUGUUGUGUUGCUAUUGGGCUCCCUUUCUUUAAAGUAUUGCCCUUUUUUAAUACAUCUAUAAUUAACUCGUCUGGUUUCUGUAGUUGUUCUUAAUUUUCAAAUUAUGAGCUUUUCAUUUGUAUGAGUGAUAAUUAGAAGAUUAUUGAGGUCUAUUAUGGCCUUACCAAACAUCAAAUUAAUCACCAUUAGUUGUAUGCCCAUGCUUUGCCGCCGAAAAACAAGGAGACGUGUAAAUUUGAAAAAUUUAUUGAAAGGUCAUACAUACAUUGCAUAAAUGUGUAGCUUCCCCGACUACAUUGUCCUCUUUCCUGCCCCCUCUCUGGCAACCAUCACAUGUUAAGUAACAUGAUUGUAUUAGGAAACAUAGAUUAGACCAGGAAUUAUUCUGGCUUGCCUUGUACUCCAAGUAGAUUAUGUACUCCUAUAUAUAUGCCCACGAGGCUCAAGCAAUACAAAGGACUAUUCCACCAAUCCUCUCUCUCCUCUUCUAACAUGGUAUCUAUCGCAAGUCGAUCCUAAACCCUAGCCGCCACCGCUUCUGCACCUGCCCGCCGCCCCCGGGGCGGUCGGCCUCCAUGACCGCCGCCGGGGGCCGCGCCGCCCGUACCUAGGGUUCGUCCGCGGGUCGUGUUGACCGGCUGCCCUAGAGAGUCUUUUUCCCGAGCCCUUGCUCCAGAUUUUUUUCGCUCUCUCGCCGGUCGUUUUGAUCGGCGUUUUUCUUUUUGGUUUUCCGAUCUAUGCUUGAUCGGUAUGCGUCGCCCGCCGCCGCCGUCGACACCGAGCGCCUCUACUUCGACCCCGGCGCGACCAGCCGGCCUCUCCUCCGACCAGGCAGCCACGCGCGACGAGGUGGCCCGUCAGGACCAGCCGUCGUGCGGGCGUCGGUCCACCCGUCGCCCUGCGCCGGCUGUCACCGCCCUGCUUCGACCGGGACACCUGCAUCGCCCCGACCCGGUGGCCACGCGCCACGCGAUGGCCAAUCAUGCAUAGUCGUCGCUCGCGUGCCGGUCCGCCCAUCGAUCCACAUCACCCGCCUUCGCCGCUCUGCACGGCGGCCCGGCGGUCUACCUCGCCGGCCUCGUCCUCGGCUGCGUCAGGCUUGUCGGCUGCCCUCAACUCGGGCACCGCUGCUCCGUUGGUCGCUCGGGCCUUGCUGCUCGGGCGCCGGUGUUGCUUUGGCAGCCCGGGUGCCGGUGCUGACAAGCUCGUCCGCACGACGUCUCACGCCGUCUGUCGUCACCGAUUUCAUCUCGGACUCCGCCGCCACCACGCCUCCACCGGGCGGCGUCCCCGACCUCGCGCGCGAUCGGCUUGAUCACCCGCUCGCCGCCGCGAUCCGCCUCCUCUACGCCGCGCAACCGACCUAGCCCAUUGGUGACGCGCGCCUCCGCAGGUCCCGUGAAGAUCGUCCUGAGUACCGCGCGCCUCUCCACCGAUCGAGUAUCGGGCUGCCGCUGCGUCGCCCCGUCGGGCCGCAGCGCCGCCGCCCCGUGGUUCUCCUCGUGGCUGCAUCGACUUGUGUGUCGCUGAUGCGUCGCCCCUUCGGGCCAUAGUGCCGCGAUACGCGGUCCCCGCCGCCGCCCCGAGGCCAUCCCCGCGGUUGCACCGACUCGCGAAUCGCCGUUGCGUCGCCCCUUCGGGCCGCAGCAUCGCGGCCCACGGUCCCUGCCGCCGCCCCGAGGUCUUCCCGCCGUCGCCCCGACCCGCCUGCCGUCGCUGCGUCGCCCCUUCGGGCCGUAGCGCUGUGGCCCGCGGUCCACUCCGCCAUCACCGCGCGUCGACCUCCCGUGGUAUGCGCCGCGCCUUCUCCCUUGGCGCGGGAACGCCACCGUCCGCGCCGGUCUUUGUCACGCUGUCAGGGUUCUUCACCUACUUCGAGCACCGCCGCCGCACUCCUAACCUAGCCGCUGCCACCGUCAGGCCGCCGCCGCCGCUCUUCUUUGGCCACUGCCGCCGCUACCUUAGUAGCCGCCGUCGCCGCCCGUCCACCCCCUUCGUCUUCGUCCAAGCACCAGCCUGUCGCCAGCGUCGCCGUCAUCUACGCCGACCACUUUGUCUACUCCGACCACCGUUGGUGCCAUCGGCCCCGCGCCGAAGGACGCCGCAAUCGUCGUCGAGUUCUUCUCUGUUGGCCCCUCCGACUUCUUCGACAUGGCGUAUAGCUCGUGCAGGUCCCUCGUCUACGCAUGCCCGAUGCUGACAACACCGAUGCGUGCCUUCAUCCACGACGUGUCCCCGGGCCUGGCAAGCAUGGUCGGCGCUUCGUCAACUUCGUCUUCAUCCGUCUACGCAUGCCCGGUGCUGGCAACAUCGAUGCGUGCCUUCGUCCAUGAUGUGUCCCGGGCUUGGCAAACCCGCUGCGAUGCGUCGUCAACAACAUUUUCUUCCCGGUGCACCCCUACUCCGACACCACUGCGCCCAUGCUAAUCAGGCGCCCCCUUGCACCCGCGGCUCCACGGCGACUUCCUCGACACCGGCUACCCCGACUCGACAUCAACCACGGCAUUCUUCACACGGCUACCUCGACCACGGCUUCACCACCCACGCUCUCGGCUACAUCGACAAACGGCACAAAGGGCUACCGUCUGCUUGAGCAUCCUCGUCCGUUUUCACUCCAGCCACGACUCCGCGAUCCAUCGACCGUUACGACUGUGGGGGGUGUCCGUCGGCUUGCCUUCGAAUUAUUCUCCAGUCUCACCGUCUGCGUCACUACCGUUGUGACUGCGGGGGGGAUGUUGAGUAACGUGAUUGUAUUAGGAAACAUAGGUUAGACUAGGAAUUAUUCUGGCUUGCCUUGUACUCCAAGUAAAACAUGUACUCCUAUAUAUAUGCCCACUGAGGCUCAAACAAUACAAGGGACUAUUGCACCAAUCCUCUCUCUCCUUUUCAACAUCACACACCUCUUUAUUUCCCAUUCUCCUUUCCAUGUGUUCCUCUAUUCUCAUCCUGACCCCUUCUCCUCCAUCUCUGCUCGCCCCUUAACCUUAUCUUUGUGUGUUAGGCUUCACCGUUGUCUUCUCAACUCUGAUAAAUCCAAGUGAAUACUUGGAAACCCAUAGCUUUUGUCUCAAGAGGCUGACACAAUGUAUAAAACCCAUCACCUCGAUGUGGAUAAUGAAGGAGACAACUAAGACGGCAGCCACCACAUGCCACCAUCGUCUCUAGUUCCAUAUUUGUGGACACGUCCCGUUGUCCGCUUUGUCGAAGUCUCCGCCUCUGACUCACUCGAGGGUAAUAUCUCACGGCCGGUAUGCUCACGUGCAAGAGAACAUCUUAGUGUGGAUUUUUUUCGAAAAGGAGGAUGACCCCUGCCUCUGCAUCUGAGAGAUGCAUACAACCAUUUUAUUGAUUAUUCUCGAGGACCUUACAAAGUAUAACAACAAUAUGCCUGAAACCGCCAUCUUGACAGCAUCUGCCGCUACACCUAUCCAAAUAAUGAAGGGGUACAAGCUGGACCACAUACCCAUACCUCUCACUAAGCCUAACAUCUAAAGCCGGAGGCCCGACCGAGCCAUCUGCCGGGUCCGGGGCUCAAACCGGUCUGACGCACUCACAUGUGUUGUCGCCGCCAUCUUCCACUAGUCCAUCUUCAGAGCAGAUUGAGGUAACAACCUUGGCAGGUCCUCCGCCAUCAACGCCACCAUGACGCCAAACGACGACCUUCACCUACGCGAGCCUUGGCAGGUCCUCCUCCAUUGACACCACCACGACGCCAACCGACGACCUCCACCUACGCGAGUCCAUCUCCAAGCAACGGACGUAAAUCCAUGCUAGGAAAGGGCCACACCACCGCCGUCACCCACCACCCACAAGUGCCACCCAACCCCAAGGUUCCCAAAGCAGUGCCUUCAAGAAGGCAAUGGCGCCGUGAGCGCCGCCUGCGCCCAACAGAGUUAGGGCUUUAGCCUGGGAGACCUAGGGGAAGGUGAAAUGAGGAGAUCAGUCCAUGCCGACGCCUCCAAGGAGGGAAACGGCGCCCUCAGGCAUCGCCAUCGGCGCGGCCGGUCAUGGCCGGCCAGGAAUUUCGCCCGAACUAGAUUUCCGCCACCAGCAGCACCUCUUGUGCAAAACCGGCGAACAAGAGGAAGCGCGGCCCGACCAAGCUGGCCCGCAUGCCGAAUAGGGGAGGAAGGGAGGCGCCAGAUCGCGCACACCGACCGCCGCAGAAGCCGCCGCCGACCACCAACGACUACCAGAUCCCGCCGCCAGCGCGGCCGGGACACCGGAUCCACCACCCGCAUAGCUGUUAGCCGGGCGUGCCUUGCCAAUGGAGCCGCUGCUCCAGAUCCGGCGUUCCCCACAUGUGAACAGGGCAACUGAGGCCCCACCGACACCAUCGUUGGCGCCCCAAACUUGCCCGACGGCUGCCUCAGGUGGCGGUGAGGGAGGAAGGAGGGGAUGGGUGGGGAGGAGGAGGCGGCUAGGGUUCCUUAGUGUGGAUCCUACACUUGUAUGUCAAAUACUCCCUCCAUUACAUACUAGUUUCGCUCAAAAGGAGUCCUAAUCCUACUACUACUAUAGGUGCAUAAUCAGAAUCUGACUAGGAUACACCACUACACGUCAUGUUUAUUCCUACAUUCACCCUCUAAACAUGACGUCCUCGGUGCGACUAGAUCCCAAAUACGAUGACUACUACUCAUAGGCGUCACCGUCGGCACUGCCUUCAUCGUUCCUCGCAACAUUUUAGGGACCAACUUUACUGCCGAUAGCUCAUCCAUUGCUUGACGGCAACACUCUCCUUUGAUCACAUUUUCAAACUUCACCUGUUCUUCGGUGCUUGAUAGACUGUCUUUCCUAUCUUCGAGCGUGACCAAACUUCGGUCUAACUUUGAGUUCCAAGCUCUUGGCGCUUGCUUCAGCCCGUAAAGUGCCUUCUUGAGCUUGUAAACUUUCCCUUGUUUGCCUUUCUUCUCGUAGAAGAGGGGUUGUUCCAGGUACAAUUCUUCUAUGAGCUCACCAUUGAGAAAAGCGGAUUUAACAUCCAUAUGAUGAACUUUCCAAUCCUUUUGUGCUGCCAAAGCUACGAGCACUCUCACCGUCUCAAUUCGAGCAACUGGUGCAAACACCUCCUCAUAGUCAACUCCUUGACGUUGUACGUAGCCCUUUGCAACGAGUCUUGCCUUGUACUUCACAUAAACUCUCUGCCGCGAUCUGUUCGUAGAGCGCGAACCUUCACCUUGUGUUCCAUCUCCGUUGCAGCCUUUAGCUUCUUGAACGCUUCAAAUGCCUCAUCUUUAGAUCGUAGGAGAACAACCCACAGGUAUCUUGAGUAGUCAUCUACUACAAGGAAGAAGUACUUCUUUCCUCCGUGAGUUGCUGGGGUGAUAGCUAGGACCACAUAGAUCGCCAUGGAUCAGCUCGAGUGCAUCACUUGCACGCUAGGUAGACUGAACAGGGAACGGCCGGCGGUGUUGUUUUCCAAUCAAGCACCCGUCACAUACUCGAUAAACAUGGUCAAUAAACGGCAUCCCAGAUACCAUCUCCAUCUUUGACAUCUUAAAGGCGUAGAAGUUAACGUGUCCAAAUCUAGCAUGUCAUAACCAUGAAUCAUCAUCACUCUUGGCGAGCCAACACUCCGGUUGAGAUUGAUCAAGGUUGAGGAUAUAAAGCCUGUUCCGCGUGCGAUUCACACGGGCUAGCACGUUUCAGAGGUUGUCAAAGAUCGUCAUCACUCCGUUCUCAAUAUCCACGUUGCAUCCAUUCUCAUCAAAUUUCCCGACAAAGAUGAUGUUGUUGCGAAGUCAUGGGAUAUAGUACACUCCGAUGAGUAUGCGAUGUUCUCCCGUGAGACCCUCGAAGAGGACAGAAUCUUGCCUGCAAAUCUCCACAUUUGAAUCAUCACCGAACUUGACCGAGCCUUGAACAUCAUAUUCUAGCUCGAGGAAUUCUCCUUGCACCCUGUCAUAUGGUUACGGGCACCCGUGUCUAGAUACCACGACACAUUUUGGCUACCGGAUAACUUUGGUGUUACUUUUUUCUCAUGAAGUAGCACCUUCCGGGUUGGUUUCACAACCACCAUAUCAUAAACUUCGGCCAUUAGAAGACCUGGACGUUCGUAUUCCUGCUUCGCCAAAUUUGCCUUGAUCUCCCGCUUGUUAGGCUCCGGAUAAUCCUUCGCAAAGUGACCCAUCUCAAAGCAGUUAUAGCACUUGAGCUCGGACAUAUCCAAGUUGCGUGGCUUCCGCUCUUUAGACCGGUCCGCCUUACCACGACCUUGUGGCUUGCCUUUUCCUUUGCCUUUUCCGGUUUGUCCGCCGCUCUUCGCGUUGCUUGAUCCUUCGCCAACGUUGUGCCUUCCUUUGCUACUUGGAGACCCCUAAUCUGCGACGAGUAGAUGAGUUGGUCACUACCUCCUCCUUUGCCUUUCUGACAACCAUGAUCAUUCUAUUCCCAUGUCCGCAAGCAUCCGAUCGCCUCCGUUAUGGUCAUGUCGUCGAUGUCGUAAAGCUGAUCGAGCGUGCCGAUCAUGUACGUGAAUUUAUCAGUCACCAAACUAAAAAACUUCUCCACAAUCUCGGCCUCCUCGAGCUUUGCACCGAGCGCGCGGAUCUCUCCCACCAAAGUAGUCAGACACAUGGCAUAGUCAUUCACCAAUUCAGUUUCCUCCAUCUGCAACUUGUGAAAUUGACGCUUCAGCACUUGUGCCCGAACCUUCGUGACGUGAUCUUGUCCCCUCAUCCCAUUGAUUGCGUUCCGCACCUCUCUUUCUGUCUCGAACUCCGCCAAUGUCAUCAGCACGGAAUCCGGCACAGGCUGAGCUAUGGCGGCCAUGGCACCAUCGUCACACUCCUUGUUGACGUCGUCGUCCGUGAUGGCCUCCCACACUUAAAGGGUUCGGAGAAUAAUCUUCAUCUUUACCGUUCACACGCCGUAGUUGGCGUCUGUAAGCAUCGGACUGGAUGGGGAUGUUGUGAUGAGCCAGUACGUUGGCGUCGCCGGCUCCGCCACUACUGGUUGCUGACUUGCCUCCCUUCUUAACCUUGUCGCCGUUCUUAUUCGCUUUGGAACCACCGUUGUCGGACUUGACCGACUCAGCAUGGCUGUCCCCAUCAUAGAUCGUAGAUCGUCAAGGCUCUAGAUACUAAUUGUUGGCUUCUGAACUGUAGUUCAACUCACCCGGGAACUACACGUACGACGUGCAAAGCUAGCUAGCUAGAAACCAAGCAGGAAAGCUGCUGGAUCGCGUCUAGCCGGCGACUUGCGUCUACGUAUGCCAUGCCAUAGCUUCUGUACGUGAGUGAGCUAGCGAUCAAUUCACGGCGGCGGAACUCGUGUGUAACGUGGCGAUGGGUGGAAAACACAGAUCGGUAUGAUGGCCAAAGGCUCGUAUCGAGCCUUGCUCUUACUUUGUAUUUCGUUGCUCUUUUUCGUUGGUGAUUACAGGUGCUAUAUGUGAGUAUAUACUACUCACUCCGUUUCAAAAUAAAUGUUUUGAGCUUAGUACAAUUUUGUAUUAGAGCUAGCACAAAGUUAAGACACGUAUUUUGGGACGGAGGGAGUACUAUUAUAGGUGCCUAAUCAGAGUCUGACGAGGAUACACCACUACACGUCAUGUUUAUUCCUACAACAAUUGGCGUGCUGUAUGCUAAAAAAAAACCAAUUGGCGUGCUGCACGUCUGAUCCGUAAUGGAUUGGAUACUUGACAAGGACCCGAGUGACGGUGACUGCGGGUCUGGCCUGAUCUCCGCCACCCCUGAACGCCGACGGGGAGCACGCCAUCGCCAUGAAGUGGACGGCAGCCCUCCGCUCGCCGCCUGUCUACACCGGCUGACGUGUUUUUGGGCACCCCGCACGGAUGGGGUCUGUACAAUCUGCUGAUCAAAGUACAGUAUGAUGCAUGCAUGGACGUGUCCAAAACUAUACCGGUCACUUGAAUUCUGAUGAAUAUAUGCUGUAAUUAUCUCAGAACAAGUGAAUUGCCGGAUGAAUUCUAUUUAGUUCAACUCUGCAACUGGUAGCAACUGACCGAUUCCCGUAAAAUAUUGGCCACAUCUUUUCUAACCUUCACCGUAGAUCUGUGCUUACCCAAGGCAAUCUCCUCUUAUCUUUUUUUCUCGAAUACGCACGAGUGUGCGUACUAUAUUAUAAAGAAGGGAUCGGGGUAAAGAGCCCGUCCACGUUAGUGUUACAGAUUACAUAUUUACACUGAACACUAACUCCACACUCCACCUAUCUCUCCUAAGUCUACGUACUCUCCCCUGCCCACUCCUCCACCUCGGCAAAGAAGGCGUCCAUGUCUCCUCACAGUAUGCCCGCUUGUUUCCAUAUACGGCCCUCUCGGAUGACUGCCUGGAUGAUCCGGUUCUUCGAGGGUGUGGCUCCGUCAAAGACGAUCGAGUUGCGAUGCUUCCAAAUCUGCCAUAGUCCUAGAAUGAUGAUUGCGUUAGCAUCCCUCUCAGCAGGCCUUCUUCCUCCCUUGUCUUGACACCACGCCCCGAGGUUUUCCCUUGCAGAAGGUAUCCACUCCGGCCUUCGCAAAGGGUGACAGAUCGCCGUCCACACUUCCCGUGCGACAACACACUCAAGGAGGACGUGAUUUAUGCUCUCCUCUUCUUGGCUGCACAUAGGGCAGUACUUUUGAUGGUCCAGUCCACGCCUAGCUAGCCGGUCGGAUGUCCAGCACCUGUCCUGGAUUGCAAGCCACGUGAAGAAACGGCAUGGCGCCGGUGCCCUUGAUUUCCAAGUGAAAGCGGCCGUGGGAACGACCUGCCUGCCCCAGAACUUGGCCGCAUAGGCGCUCCGCACUGAGAAACAUCUGCUAGCCUCCCAUGUCCAAGAGAUGGCAUCAUUUUGUGCUGGGUCCAGCUCAACUCGUUGGAUCAUCGUCCACAAUUGCAGGUAUUCACGCAACGAUUCAGCAGUGACCUCUGGGCUCACCUGGGUGACCCAGUUGUCGUUCAGGAGCGCCUGGGAGACGGUGCAUGUCCUUCUUAUUUUCCUCUUGACUCGCUCGCAGGCCAAGGGUGCGAUCUCUCCGAUCCUGUGGCCUUCAAGCCAUCUAUCUUCCCAAAAGAGCGCCGUAUUUCCAUCCCCUAGGGUCCAGCGAGCAGCCGCGUUGAAUAUCUGUGUUGAGGUUUUUGGCACCGUGAUGUCAAACUCCGCCCAUGGCCUUGUUGCAUCCGAUCGCUGUAACCAGGGCCAUCUUGCUUGCACCGCCUUGUUCAUCCAUCCUAGGUUGGGGAUGCCUAGUCCACCUGCCCACUUCGGGGCGCAGACCGAAUCCCAAGCGACCGCGCAGCUGCCACCGGACGAAUUCGCCUCCGCGCACCAAAGAAAACUGCGUCAUAUUCUGUUCAUUGCUGAGAUUGUCUUCUACGGGAGGCCAAGUGCCAUUAUCGCAUGUAGCGGUAUUGCACACAGCACGGACUGUACAAGGAGCAUUCUUCCACUCUUUGGCAUCUUCGCAGCUUUCCACUUUGGCAACGCCAUGGCAAGUUGAUCCACAAGGCCUGAUAGUUGAACAUGGGACUAUUUUCUGAGGGUGAGCGGCAAUCCAAGGUACUUGCACGGGAAGCUACCUCUCGGACAUCUCCUCUUAUCUUAUUUAAUGGUAACGGACUAGAGUCAAACGAAUUACAAUUUCCAAUUAUGCUAUAGGCUAUAGCAUUGCCCUAGGUUUAGGGUAGAAUAAUAGACUAGAGUCUAUCGAAUUUCAGUCGGCACACAACAACAAAAACCAAGUUCCAAUUUCUGUCAGGCUUGUGUAACCAUUAGAUAUGUGAAUAAAAGUACAACAUGAGCUAUCAUUAUUUUUAACUGCACGAUGUACUAUGUUAGAGGGCAAUCUUGAAUUUGUAGUGAACGGUUUGUUUUAGAAAACCAGGCACAGAAGGUCACAUGCACGCACAUGCACUUACUUCUAUGAACACACAUACAUGUACACCCUAUAAGCAUAUCCGAGAGAGCGUGUCGGCGAGUCUUGUGAUUGAUUGAGUCACCAUAGGAGCCUCGCUAUCGAUUGAAAGAAUAUUUGGUCUCAAAUGAGACUCACAUGUAUGGAACUUGAGGUAUGAUCCGUGAUGGGCUUGACUACAACUACCAUCCUAACUAUUGAACCACCCGUUGGUUCUCAAUUUACAUUACACAGAUGAAUGGUAAUUAACUUGUAGUACUAUUGCAACGAACAGGUUCCUCGCAUAGAAAUAGGGUACACAAGAAUACAAUCACACACAAAAAGAUCUAUUCCAUCCCCUCCGGUAAUGGCGGAUAGGUUGAAGCUUUGUCCCCUCCAUGCUACGCAACGAGAGACCGCGCACUUGCCUCCCAUCUGUCUGGCGCUCCAGUGCCCGGCGGCGGCGAGGGGAGUCUUAGUGAUUCUUUGGGCAGUAGUUUAGGAUAGGUUUCUUAGUCAUCAUAGGGACGACACCUUGGUAAGUGGCCACACUUCAUCUUCGAACUGGUUUUUCAUGUUUCGAUCCUCCUCGAGUUCGUCCGUCGAGACCGAAUCCAGCGCUCUGACGUAGAUUCCUACUAUCUCCUUGUGGCGGUGAGGUUAGGGUUUAUCACUGUGCAUCCAAGAUGGUAAGAUUUGGUGUUAGGCGAUUCAGAUCAAUUUCAACAGUUCAAUGACAACGACAAUAACUCUGAAGCGUUGGCCUUAGGGCUAAGUGCUCGAAGACUUCCUAGUUGUGGUCGACAAGAUUAAGUCAGCUCCAGUAAAGGAGCAGCGACUGCGAUGCGUCGACAACUCUUUCUUGCGGCGGUAGUGAUUUUUCAAUGGCCUUGGGAUCUCGAUGUAAUCUACUAUAUCACUAUGCUCUCUAGGGGUAAAAGGCCUCACAAUCAAUUGAGGUGUCCAAUUGGAAUUGGAUCACCCAAUUUCAACCAAGUCAAUAAUUCUCAAAGCUCUCAUUAAAUUCUGUUAUACUAUACACUAUGCUUCCUGAUUUUUGAGUCAUCACAAUUAACUGAGGUCUUCAAUUUAGAACUUGGUCACCUGAUUUUGACCGGGUCAAUAAUUUCUCAAGGAGCUCUCCCAUUUAAUUAUUUUAUUUCACCAUAUUUCCUAAUUUUGAAGCUCUUUUAUUCGAUUGAGAUAUUCAAUUUUGAAUUUGGUUUACAAUUUUGGUCGGACCAACGAUUUUUCAAAUCAAUCAACACCAAUCGGCUAGAAAAACAUAUCAACCCCGUGCACCCUCUUACCACAUAGAAAAAAGAGACGCCGCCAUAUGAUGAUACGGUAGCACCAAUAUAGUACAUGUAGGCACCGACGCAAAAAUAUACCCACAAAAGUAUGAGUUGAUUACUACAUAACACAGAAUCACACCAUGAAAGACCCACAAAUAACCGCAUUAUAAAUAAAUAUAAAACACACUCCAUCAUCUUCCCCAUCCGCCAAAUUAAAUAUUCCAUCAGUUCCAAAAUACAAGAGGUAUUAGUUCUUUGGAAAGUCAAAUUUCUUUAACUUUGACCAAGUUUAGAGCCAAAAAUAUCGACAUCCACAAUAUUAAGCCAAUUUCUUUUGAAAAUUCAUUUCAUGAUGAAUCUAAUAACUCUAAUUUGAUAUUACGAAUUUUGAUAUAUAUUUUCAUACAUGUGAUCAAACUUAAAAAGGUUGGACUUUUCAAAAAAGUAAUACACCUUAUAUUUUAAAACAGAAUGAAUGACUUUUUAAAAGAUUCCCAACAACACCAAUGGUGCAGCAAAGCGUGCCCAACCCUUCUAGUUCCCAUUAUGUUUUGGACACUUCAUUCUUCUGGUGAACCUUUAUAAUAGAUCCGGGUCCCUUUCACAACAAAAGAAAAAGAAAAUUGAACAUGCUCUUCAAUGAUCUUAACCUUAUGUAGUUUCGGUGUCCCAAUUUGAUUGCUAGAAAAAUAAGUUUUUAUAUCUUUAUUUCAUGCCCAACCAGGCACCACAUAUUAUUUGGUAAUUUAUUAUAGCGCUGUGGCAUUUUCCCAGAAUUUUCCUAUUAGUUGAUGGAACUAGUCGGCGUAAGAAAAGACGACGUAGUCCUUGCGUGCACCAGCCCUGUCACAAUCCGCCAUCUCUUCCGAGCCUAUCCACAUCACCCACAUCAUGUAGGUUGGCGUACAUGAGAUGCCACACGAGCGCCACAGUGCAUCGUAUCUUUUGAUGCCCGCAUAAUAAAAUAUUUCCAGUAUUCUUUGUGUUCCCUCUUUCUCUAUGCAAUGGAACUGUGGCCGCACGGGAUCACUGAGCUAGCCAUAUGUGACAAGAGCCGUAUCUGUGCUUGCAUAAGAGCUAGUCCAGUAGUCGCCAUAGCAGCCCCGCAUAUGCAUACAGAGCAUUUCAUAUGCAUUAUGGAGGCCGUUCAGACAAGACGAAAGUCAGUCUUUUACAAGGGCUGCAUUCGUAUUGUAGGACCUCUAGUCAGUGGCAUGUUCUUUUUUCCUCCAAUCUUCAAUACACAUUUAGUUAAAUGAAUAACAUGUUAAAUCCGAGCACGACGGCGAGGGCUUGGAUGACCACGGGCACGAAGGUGAGGGCGAGGACGAUUCUGUUGGGUAUUGAUUUCGGUGGCGAUAGUGGCAACUUGAUUCCAGCAGUGGUGACUCGAUUCCGACGGUGAUACUCAAACUGUGGAUGCCUGUCAUAAUGCUUUUCACAAUUUCAAGCAUCGCCAUUGAUUUCACGAAUUCACAGCUAGAGCACACAUACAUAGCACAUGAUGACAAACUGCUCGUCCACAUGCACAGAUCCACCCAAUGAUAAAAAUUAUACUAAACAUUUUGGGGACACAUAAGAAAACAAUUAAUGAAAUCGUUGUAUGUCCCAUGAAAUUGUGAGUAUAAGUUUUGACAUCGCUUCACGGUGAUCCCACUCAUACCCGAGAUCAUCACCAGUCUGUCGGCGUGAUAGUGGAGGUUGUGGAUGGCUAGAAGGAAAGUGUAGGCUACGGGCGCCGAGAAGGCAAGUGGAACUUGUGGAUCUUUUCAUAGCUGCGUCUCACACCACCCUGAAGACCAAGGCGGAUCGGCUGUUCAGAGUCUUCACCAAUUUGACCAGGGCCAAGAAGCUACUCCCUCCAUUUUUAUAUAUAAGGUCACUGUCAGAAUUACAAUUUUCAGCUAUAUUAGGUCACUAACAGUAAUCGAGACAAAAUUGAUGGUGUUUGUCUCGUACUAGCAACCAAGGGCAAUAAUAUCCCUUGCAUGCAUGUAGGAAUAAGAAGUUUGGUUUGAAUGCGCUGCAUUAAUCAACCAAUGAGGAGUGAGAUGGUUGUCUUGUUGUGAGUUGAACAGAAAAAUACACAUUAAUUGAUACACCAAAAAAGGAGGAAAGCUAGAUUUCAACAAUGGAUAAAACCGACAUUAAUGUUUACCUUAGUACCUGUAAUAUGAGUUUGCGGCGUUGUAUACAAAAAUGGAAGAAAUAUUAUAGUUGGACCAGCUAGUAACCUUCGGCCUGAAGGAAGCCAUUAAGACAGACGAGAAACUAAGGUCCUGUUUGGUCCAUAAGUCCUAGGAUUUUUUUGAGUCUCAACUAAAAAGUCGCUAGUCCCUAAAAAGUUCCUAUCUGUUUGGUUUCUAGGACUAAACAUAGACUAAAAGACCAUGUUACAACUAAAAAUCCCAAAAAGACUCUUCCUCAGGGUCUUCUUUCAUAAGUUCCAAAUGCCCAUUCUAAGUCCCUAUAAAUCCCUUAUGCUUGGUUUAGAUGGGACUAAAAGGGACUUUUUCAAGUCCCUACAUCAAUAAGUCCAUGUAAACAAACACCCCCUAAGGAGGCGACAGGACGGAGAUCCAGACGGUGAUGCGUGAGCUCGAGAAAAGGGACGAUCUACUCAAGAGUGAAGAGCGCGAAGGAGGUGAUGCAGGACAUGUUCUCAGUCCUUUGGCCCAACGAGCUACGAGCAUCUUUGCCCUUGUCAGCACAAUGAAGCAGGGGCAGUGAGGUUGGGAUUUUUCGUUCCGCAUGCAAGACGAAAAGAUUGCGAUGAUUACAUGCCGUCAACAGCUCGCUCUUGUGACUAUAGUGGUCGUUCAGUGGUUCAAGGAUCUGAUUAUAAUUCUUCAUUAUGGUGAUGUUGAACAUGUAUAUAUGUAUGUAGGUCCGGGUUUUGUAUGAUGCAUCUGUAGUGUCUCUCUCCCCCUUAAUCUACUUGUAUCUUGGAAGACAAGACACCGGUCGCACCCCUUGUACUUAUAUAUGUGCUUAGUGCACGAUCAAUGAGAAUAUCGAUGCACACAAUCCCUCUUUCCCAAACUUACAUGGUUUCAGAUACCGUAUCGAUCCUUUCUUAAUCGCUUCCGCAACCCUAGCCGCCACCAUCUGCUGUUGCCGCCGCUACCACCUCCCCAUGCCCUGCCCCCCUUCCCGCAGCCGCGCCCUCCACCAGCCAUCGUGCCGCCGCCACCCCUUCUCCAACCCUAGCCGCCACCUCCACCCUAGCCGCCUCCCCUUCCCUCGCGCGUCGCCACCAUGUCCAUCGCCUCAUCUACCUCCAACCCCUUUGCCAGUCCAGACCCCGCCGACAUUCGCGACAUCAACAUCCAUGACCGCGUUCUUGUGAUCCUCGAUGCCACCAACUCCACGUACUACACGUGGAAGACCUAUUUCUCGCUCCUUUUCCAUGAGAACAAUCUCGUGGAUCAUGUCGACAGCACCGUCGACUCUCGCGCCAUGGUGAACGACUCCAAGAGGACUGCGAUCGACGCUACGGUCAUUCGGUGGUUCUUCACCACCAUCUUCAAGGACCUGUUUCACACGGUCGUGACUGAUGGGGUUGAUGCACGCGCCAUGUUGGUCAAGCUCAACGGCCUCUUCACCCGACAACAAGCUUCAACGUCGCGUCUUUCUGCAGCAGGAAUUUUUGACUAUGAUCAGGAUGAAUAGUCCAUUGAUGACUAUUGCCGCCGCCUCAAGACGUUGUCGGAUGAGCUCCGUGACAUCGGCGCCAGGAUUGAUGACGACCACCUUCAAAGCACGCUCACCGCCAGCCUCAACGAGGACUUCGGCAACGCCGCCGCCAACCUCACCUUGAUGUCGGAGCCCUCCUUCCCCAAGUUUGUGGCAUACUUGCGGUUGGAGGAGCACCGGAUGAAGGGGGUGACGAAGCGCGUGCAGCACCACGCCCUCACCGCCGGCACCUAUCAUGGCACCCCACCACCACCCGCGUCGUGGCAGCAAACGCAGCCCCCCGCACCCCAGGGGUAUUACCCCCUCCCGCCCGCGCCCCCCACUCCUCUCGCUGCUCCCUAACAGCGGCCUCAAGGCGGCGGGCGGCCCGGCAACCGCCGCCACGGCGGGCGCAAGCAGCAGGAGCAGGCGCACGGGGGUGGCCAGGAGUACGGGGGGCACCUCAUCAGCAAUAGCCCUCCCCGUCGUGGACUUAUGGCACCAACCCGUGGACAGGAGUUGUCCACGCAUACUCGAUGCCAGUGCCCCGGCCCCCCGCCCCGGGCAUCCUUGGGCCCCGUCCGGCGAGGCACCAGGCAAAUCUUGCCGCGCCCUACGCCGCCCCCCUACCCGGCCCUCCCUGCAUCGCCGACCACGGGUGGCUAUGGUGCCGCUCCAGAGCCACCUUAUGGCAGGUUCUACCCUCCCCUGGUGCAGCCGCCGUGGGAUCCCGCCCUCCUCGCCGCCUUGCACUCGGCUCCGCCACCUAGCAACUACGGUGGCGGCGGUGACUGGUACAUGGAGUCGGGCGCCACUGCUCAUAUGACAUUUCAUCCCGAUAACCUUACGUCUUCCACUCCCAUUCAUACUCCCACUCGCAUCACCGUUGGUAACGGUUCCUCUUUACCCAUUACACAUGGCGGGUCAUAUGUCGUUUCCAUCUACUUCUACUCCUAUUAACAUAUCUAAUAUUCUUGUCUCUCCUGACUUAGUCACAAACCUUGUAUCUGUUCAUCGCCUUGCUCGUGAGAAUCCUAUUACUGUCGAAUUUGAUGAUGUUGGCUUCUCUGUGAAGGACGCCCGUACACGGAUGGUACUCCACUGAUGUGAUAGCCCCGAUGAGCUCUACCCGGUGCAUCCCUCUGCCACCACCGCCACCCGUCCAGCCGCCCUCACCGCUAGCAUCGACCUUUGGCACACUCAUCUCGGUCAUCCCAACUCCUCGGUUUUGUGUCAUAUUCUUCAGAGUUUUUCCUUCUCAUGUAAUAAGGUUGACAACCACACUUGUGCGGCAUGCCGUCUCGGUAAGCAUGUUCAUCUUCUGUUAGCGAGUCUACACACAUUUCCACUUUUUCGUUUCAAUUAUUGCAUAGUGAUGUUUGGACGUCCCCGGUUGCAAGCAACACGGGCUAUCUAUACUAUUAGGUGAUAUUCGAUGAUUUCUCUCAUUAUGCGUAGACGUUUCCUCUCCGUCGCAAGUCCGACGCCCUCACCAAACUCACCAUCUUUUAUUCAUGCGUAGACAGUUUGGUCGUCCUAUCCUUACACUACAAACUAACAACAUAAAAGAGUUUGACAACGUCGCCGUCGGUAAUCUCCUCACUUCUCAUGGCACCAUCUUUCGCCUCACUUGUCCUUACACGUUCUAGCAAAAUGGUCGCGAUGAGCGCCUCAUUCGCACUCUUAAUGACUGUGUCCGCACGUUUCUCUUCCACUCCAACGUGCCCCCUCGGUUCUUGCCACUGCCAGCCUCCUCAUUAACAUCCGCCCGGGCCGCCCUCGCUGGAACUAUGCUCCCCACCAGCUCCUCUUUGGUGCGGCCCCAUCUUAUGAUGGCCUUCGCAUCUUCGGGUGCCUUUGUUAUCCUAGCACCGCAUCCACCACUCCUCACAAACUCGCUCCCCGGUCGCUCCCUUGCAUCUUUCUCGGUUAACCGCCCAACACCAAAGGUUACCGGUGCUAUGAUCCAGUGUCCCACCGCAUUUAUACAUCGUGGCACGUGUACUUUGAUGAGCUGGUGUUCCCUUUUCAGCAGGUACCGUCCCUCCCCAUGCAGCCUUCAACGCGUCCCGCGGCGCAGCUUGCCCCCGCCACCACCUACGACGGGUCGUCCCCUUCGUCGAGAAGUGCCCUGGCCCAGGCCCGUCCCGCGCACCCCGCACCCUCUAGCCUGGCCGGCCCUUCCAGAGGCCCCGCAGACAUGGCGGGUUUAGCCGCCCCCUCCAGCGGCGCCUCAGGUGAGGCCCUCUCCACGGACGCCCCUGCCGCCAUGGUCUCCGGUGCCCCCUUGGGUUCUCCCGCCACCGCAGUAUCUGACUCGGUCCCGCCGGGCGCUGCCGCAGAUCUCUCAGCAUCAUUGGAGACCGGCUCGCCCUCCUCAUCGCCGAUCUCCACUUCAGCUCCGCCGACGACGACUGCACCCCUCACCGGUUUGGUCACUCGGGCUCGGACCGGGACGUUUCGUCCUAGCACGCGCUACACCUCCGACGAGUACGCAUGUGUCGCGUCUUCCUCGACCCCGUCUCCGCUACCCACCUCGGCUCGCGCAGCCCUUCGGGAUCCGAACUGGCUUGCUGCGAUGCGUGAGGAGUUUGAUGCCCUACAGCGUAACCGUACGUGGCAGCUUGUACCGUGGCCUCACCGUGCCAAUGUUAUCACUAGCAAGUGGGUUUUCCGCCACAAGACUCGCCCCAACGGUUCCCUCGAGCGCUAUAAGGCACGUUGGGUGGUGCGCGACUUCCGACAGCACGCUGGUGUGGACUUCACGACACCUUCGCCCCGGUUGUCAAACUGGGCACGAUUCACGCCGUUCUCCAGCUGGCUGUCUCUCGCGCCUGGCCAGUUCUCUAGCUCGACGUGUCCAAUGCCUUCUUGCAUGGUCACCUCGAUGAGAAGGUGUUUUAUUAGCAGCCCACUGGCUUCGUCGACAUCGCCUAUCCGGACCACGUGUGCUUGCUCUCCCGUUCUUUUUACGGGUUGAAGCAGGCACCUCGGGCCUGGUACCAAUGUAUUGCGGCCUUCCUCCAGCAGCAGGGGUUCUAGUCCACAUGGUCUGAUAUCUCCCUGUUUGUUUAUCAUGAGGGCGCCGCUAUCGUGUGCCUUCUCCUGUACGUCGACGACACCAUCCUGACUGUGUCCUCGCUAGCGUUACUUCAGCAGAUAACCGCUCGCCUUGGCACCAAAUUUGCCCUCAAGGACUUGGGGGCUCUCCACUACUUCCUCAGCAUCGAGGUCGUUCGCCGUGCCACUGGCUUCUUUCUGCAUCAGCAGAAGUACGCCUACGAGCUUCUGGAGCAAACGGGCAUGCUUAAUUGCAAGCCUGCUUCCACGCCUGUCGAUACGAAGGCUAAGGUGUCCGCCGUCGAGGGAUCCCUGGCGUCCGACGCUCCCUUCUACCGCUCCAUCAUCGGUGCUCUUCAGUAUCUCACGCUAACGCGGACGAAUAUUAAGUAUGCUGUUCAGCAGGUGUUGCUUCACAUGCAUGCCCCUCGUGACACCCAUUGGGCUCUAGUGAAAUGUAUCCCCCGGUACAUACGUGGCGCCAUGGCUAUGGGUCUCACCCUGACGGCGUCCUCUGACACCGGCCUCGUCGCCUACUCCGACGCCGACUGGGCUGGGUGCCCCGAAACACAGCGCUCCACCUCCGGCUACUCUAUCUACCUCAGGCCCUCUCCGAUCUCGUGGUCAUCUAAACGACAACCCACGGUUUCAAAAUCGAGCGCCAAGGCUGAGUACAGGGCUAUGGCUAAGGCCGUCGCGGAGUGCUCCCGGCUCCGACAGCUACUUCAGGAGAUGCUAUGUGAGGUUCCCAAGGCCGCGAUUGUCUACUAUGACAACUCUCCGCGGUCUACCUCUCUGCCAACCCUGUUCAUCAUCGCCGAACGAAGCAUAUUGAGCUCGACAUCCAAUUCGUCCGGGAGCACGUCGCACUUGGUCGUGUUUGAGUUUUGCAUGUGCCCACUGAUCAGCAGUUCACGGUUCGCAGAUGUCAUGACGAAGGGACUACCUACCUCGACUUUCAAGGGCUUUCGGUCCAGUCUUUGCGUCACCGGCGACGCUUCGACUGCGGGGAGGGGGGUGUUGAACAUGUAUGUACGUAUGUAGGUUCGGGUUUUGUAUGCUGCACCUGUUGUGUUUCUCUUCCCCUGUAUCUACUUGUAUCUUGGGAGACAAGACACCGAUCGCCCCCUUGUACCUAUAUAUGUGCCUAGUGCACGAUCAAUGAGAAUAUCGAUGCACACAAUCCCUCUCCCCAAAAUUUACAGUUGAAAUGCUUCGUACUUUUGGUGGAAGCUUAUAAUGAAUCAUGUCCUUUUCGCGAAAUAAAUAAAUAAACUAAACAUGUUCCUAUGUCUUUAUUGUUUCGUCGUCUCACUUGGUUUUGCUAGAAAAAUACUGAGUUUCUAUGUCUUUAUUUCAUGCCCAACCAGACGCAUUAUUUGGUAAUCAAUAAUAGUGAUGCGGCAUUUUUCUACAAUAUCUCCUAGAAUCGGAUAGAAGUAGUCGGUGUAAGAAAAGUCGAUGUAGUCCUUGCAUGAUACUAGGCCGGUCACAAUCCGCCCUCUCUUCCGAGAUUAUCCACGUCAUCUAGAUUGGUGUACAUGAUACAUUGAGAUGCAAUUAUCACUAUGGGUGCGGCUAAUCUGCAUCCGGGCUCAUCUGCACCCACGCUUAGAAAAAAAUUCAAAAAAAAUACCGAAAAAAUUCAAAAAAUUCCAAACUUUUUUGUGGUGGUAGAUAAUUUUACGUGUGAGGUGCGCCCCGAAAUUCAACUCAUUUGAGCAUCUGAGCAGCUCUCGGUAAAAAAGACAAAAUCAGGGUCUGUAAAAAUGUGUAUUGUUCACGCACUGUUUUGACCCCGAUUUGUCUUUUUUGCCGAGAGCUGCUCAGAUGUCCAAAUAAGUUGAAUUUUGGGGCGCACCUCACGCGUCAAAUUAUCUACCACCACAAAAAAGUUUGGAAUUUUUUGAAUUUUUUUAGUUUUUUUUUGAAUUUUUUACUGAGAGGGAGCAGAUGAGCCCGGGCAUCGUUUUGAGUUUUUCUUAUCGCUAUAGUGCAUUCUAUCUUUUGACGUCUGCAUAAUAAAAUCAUCCCAGUAUUCUUUGUGUUCCUCUUUUUCUGUGCCAUGGAACUGUGGCCGCACGGGAUCACUGUAUUUCACUGAGAACACGCAUAUCUGUCCAGAACUUGCAUAGGGAAAAUCUCCCCUCUCAAUUAGCUAGCUUGAGCCAGCAUCAUGUCCACGACAAGGAUUGAUGGACUAUGGCCGAGCUGUCCACGUCAAAGGCACGGGAGUUGAGCAGUACGAGUUGCUAGUUGGGAAAUAUCUGAGUGCACUCGUGCUUGUGAUGCUGCCGGUGCACCGGCUCUCCAUAGCACAUUUUAAAAUGUGAAAAAAAUGGAAACAAUUAAGCACAUCCAAACAACAUCACUAUUUGAUGUCGUAAAUUUUUAAAUCAAAAUUAUCAUUUCUUGAGAUAAAGAAAUGUCAACUUUAACACUAAAUAGUAUAUAAGUUGGGCUUUAGAUUUGAUCCAUUAUCACAUUGAUGUUAAAUUUAUCAUUUCUGUAUCUCGAGUAAUGUUUCUAAUUUUGAUUUGAAAUUUUGUGACAACAAAUAUGGAUGUUCUGGACGGUGAGGUUAGGGUUUCUUGGUGUGCAUUCAAGACGACAAGAUUUCGGCGACUGCAUGGCGUCGGCAACUCGUUCUUGCAGCGGUACUGGUCGUCCAAUGUUCCAGGGAUCUCGAUGUAAUUCUUAAUUAAGCUGGGAUGUUUUUGUACUUCUCGUGAACAUUUAUAAUGGAUCCAAGUCCUUUUCACACAAAUAAAUAAGUAAAGUAAACAUUUUGCUCAGUGGUCUUGGCCUUAUAUUGUUACGUCGUCUUACUUGAUUUUGCUAGAAAAUACUAAGUUUCUAUGUCUGCAUUUCAUGCCCAACAAGACCCACAUAUUAUUUGGUAACUAGAACAGCAUAGUGGCAUUUUUCUACAAUAUUUCCUAAAAUCUAUAUCAGUAUAAAAAUACUCGAAGAGGCGUAUCCAAGUAAUUUCUUUCAUAAAUCCAUGAUAAUAGAAUUACCUAGAUUACUUCCAUGGUGAGCUCUCAACAUGUUUAGUAUGCAAUAAAUACAUAUAUCUAUAUCAAUACAAAUAUAAAAAGACUCAAAUGGGCGGAUCCAAGUAAUCUGAACCAUCAAGUCAGGUUAAUCCAACGACCUAUGCUGCUUCAAUGGUGAGCGCUUAACAUGUUUAGCAUGCAAUUAAUAUCAUACUGAAUAUCAAUAUUAGUGCUAGUCACAUAAUUAAGGCGUAAAUAAUAUCCUAUCAGUAUUUGCAUGCAACUAAUACGUGGUCUAAUAUCAACGUGCAUGACAUGUGCACAUUUAUUAGUAGUAUACAAAAUAUCAAUACCAACACCAAUCACAUAUUACCAUGCAAUCAAUAUCCUAUCUAGUACUACAAUUAAUACCUAAUCCAGUAUCAUCGUGCAAUUAUUAUUCUUUUAAAUAUCAGUGUGCAGGCAAGUACUCCGUCCGUUUCUUUUUAGUCUGCACAUAAGAUUUGGUUAAAGUUUGACUUAUUUUACGGAAAAAAAUAUCAACAUUUACAAUACUAGUGUUAUAUGUUAUGAAAAUUAAUUUUAUGAUACAUCUAAUAAUAUUGAUUUCAUAGUGUGAAUGUUAAUAUCUUUUUCUACAAAGCUAGUCAAACUUUACAAAGUUUGAUUUUGACCAAAUCUUAUAUGCAAACUAAAAAUAAACGGAGGGAGUACGCAUUUACUAGUCGGAUAGAAGUAGUGGGCAGAGAAAAGUCGACAUAGUCACAUUUUACCGUCUCUUUUGAGAUUAUCCACAUCAUCUAGAUUGGUGUGCAUUUAUUUUGCGAAUACGCAAAGCUUGUGUAUCCAUUCAUCGAUAGAAGAAGCUAAAAUGUUAAUGAAGGCAUGGUACAUCACAUGGCAAUACACUAUUAGGGAAAACCUUAUACACAAAACUUUAACAAUAGCGGAUCCUAAAAACAACGCUAGUGCUAAGUAGCAGUAGCACAUUGGUGUAAAGCGCAUUACCGAUAAAAUUGUAGCAGUAGCGCGCCUUCAGAUAACCGCGCUACUACAAAAAUUCCCACGGCUUAGCCGAUGGGCUACACAUAGUAGUAGCGAGCUGCGAAGAACCGCGCUACCGCUACAAGCUUUGUAGCAGCGCGUUUAGGCGGAAACGCGCUACUGAUAUAGGAAAUAAAAUUAAAUAGAAAGAAAAUAGAAAAGUAAAUGAAAAUGAAAAAAAUAGAAAAAGGAGAAAGGAAAAAUUAAAAUGUAAAGAAAAUUAAAUGAAAAAGGGGAAAAGAGAGAAAGGAAUAGCAGUAGCGCGUAUCCAGGAACGCGCAAUAGCUAGCUUAGCAGUAGCGCACUUUCUUGAACGCGCUACUGCUACUUCUAACUUAACCGCGCGAUUCUUUCUUCCCCACGGCCACUUCCCCCAAAUCGAAACUCCUCCGCUGUCGCCGUCGCCCGUUGGCCGCCGCGCGCUCUCCCGUCGCUCUCCGCACACCCUCGACGCCGCCCCCGCCCCCGAAUUCGACGCCGCCCUCGACCACGACCUCGACGCCGGCCCCGACCUCGAUGCCGCCCCCGACCCCGACGUCGACGCCGACCUCCGCCAUGCACCCGCGCCCCGACCACGACCUUGACACCGCCUGCCACUCCCUCGCCGCAGGCACCCGAGGUGAGCACGCCUGCUCCUCCCCCUCUCCUACCUCUGCCUAGGGUUCUUCAAAUUUUAAUUGCAUCAAAUUAGCUAGUUAGGGUUCAUCUAUGGGUGGAAACGAAUCGGAUGCGGAUAUUGCUUAAGUGUAUUAGUCAAUAGCUAUGUGACAUGAAGUAUUCAACUUGUGACAUACAAUAAGUCAAUGAUAAAUAGGUUUAUGAAUAAACAAUAUUGUAAUGCAUAAUAAUUUCUAAGAUCAAUCAUAAAACAAGUAAAAUUUAACCACUUAUUUGAAUUUUAAGUUGGAUAAUUGAAAUAUCCGAUCGAAUACGAAUAUAGGAUAUUUCAGAUUAUCCGCUACCACUUUUUACCCCUAGGUUCAUCAAAUUAGAUGGUAAUUAGAGUAGUUCCUAGGUACUAAUUAGUUAGUCAGAACUAGGUACUAAUUAGGUACUAGUUUGUUUUUAUUUAUAGUAAGUUUAUUUUAGUAAGAACUAGUUGAACAUGUCACUUUUGUUGUUAUUUUUUUAGUUAAAGCAAUUAUUCCCGUAUCGACGUCAACGAUGCCUAUCCCGCAUCCUCGUCAUCGACUCGGCGGAGGACACCUGCUUGAGCAGAUGGGCCAUGUCCGGGACUGGGCUCCGCCGGGCUGAUACUGGGAGGCGCUACCUAGCAGGGGGGCGCAACUUGAUGAGGAGUCAACCCGUCAUUGACCCGAACCUUUUUUGGUGACAGUCACGUGGGCCAGUGACGGUCUAGAGGCUUGAUGACCUCGCGGAGGUGGUGCGUCAUCGUGUCAGCGAGGAGGACACGCACGUCCAUCGCUACUUGGUUGUGUUGGAGCACAGGUUCUGCAAUACCUGGCAGGUUCUCCAGGGAUCACUAGAGCUUUGAUCCUAUGAUGGUUCCUUCUUUUUGGGUGUCCACCGCCCGCGCCGAUACCCGUCGUUCGCUAGGGUUUUAGUUGUAUUAGUGAUACUAUAGGUAUGAUAUUAUUCGGGAUGUUCCAGUGAUAAUAUUCGACGCAAGAGAUGAUUUACUUUUGCUAGUGAUAAUAUUCGACACAAGAUAUGAUUUACUUUUGCUUAUUGAAUGCAUGCUAAAUUGAAUACUUAUUUAUUUUACGAUUUGAUUUUGCUUAUUGAAUGCUCAUGUCAAUAUGAGUCCUAUAAGAUAUUUUGAAAUGUAUAUAUUGUGUUGCUCAAAUAGGAUAUGUGCUUGCCCAAGUGGUCGGUCAUGUUUGCAGGUUACACCUCCGAGUGGCCUAUGUUUUGCCGGAGUGUUGAUUCAUUUUCGUUCCGGCAAAUUUCAGGCGCUCGAUAUGUCCUAUUUUAGCAAAGUCAUGACGGAUUUUUUUCGUGAAUUUUGGCAUGACUUAUGCCAGAAUAUGUAGGAAAUAUCGAGUGCCCUGAAUUUGUGUGUUGAGUAUCCUGGUAGUUGUCUUCGAUCGAUUUUCAAUUAAUGUUUCAACUAUGAACAUAGGAAAUGUCUGACAACGAAAAUGAUUUCAGUAUUUGCAAAUACUGUGAAGACGAGCGCGACCUGUGCGACGGAAUCUUCCUAGAUGAUGAUAGGCGCUUCAGCAUCAAGCUGGACGAGAACUUCGAAGUGGAUACAGUAAGUCACAACGACAAGUCCUUUUUCGUAAUUAAGCAUGACAUCUGCUUCAUUUGCUUCAACUUAUAUUUUUUUUACUAUUCUACUAGCGUAUCCCCUGCCAUGCAAGAGCUUUUGUCUUGGAUAAAAUAGAUUUCAGUCGUAUGAAAACUACUAUGGAGGUAAAGAGAGUUUACUUGAAGAUCGAGUAUGGUUAUACUUUCCACGCAAAAUUAUACAACGCAGACACCUACACCUAUUUUGAAUGCAAAACUUGGCAAGCACUAUGCAAGGCCUAUGCAUUUGAGCCUGAUAUGGUUAUCACCUUUGAUAUUCGUCCGGAAGAUGAUAUUGAAGGUAAUACCGAUAUUUGGGUCGAUGUGCAGAUGCCUCCAGUUCUACCAUUAUGUGAGUGUUCCUCAACCAUAUUUAUGUCUUCGAUAUUGUUUAUUUCAAAAAUAGUUCACAACUAAUUUCUAUUGACAGCUUAUUUCCAUUCAAACAAACAUGUUCAGCGCUUGGUAGACAGGACCUACUACUGUCCCGGGGCUGAAAUAAACUGCUAGGAGAUAAGUCAUUAUGUUUCAUGGCUUGAGAAUCUCCAUACUGUCAAGACAAAUUAUUUUUCUGGACUUAAAAAUCUUAGUACUCAAAACGUGCAACCUAUAGUGUUCGUACCGAACUACGGUCACAUCUAUUUAGGAAAGAUGGUAAGAUUUUUACUAUUUGUCCUCGGUGCAUCUUUUGCAUACAUUAUUUUUUAAGCUAAACUUCAUUGCUAAGUAUGUUACUAUACGAUGUUCUUCAACAGGGACUCCCGAUGAAUGUUGUGCCUCAUUGGAUCGAGACUAAAGGUUGCAUGAGAAUUGUUAGCUUACGGCCAAGACAUCCUACAAUGCACUUUAGUGCAUUCAGGAUUCCUAAUAGCGAGGAAUGCUUAAUAGUGAAAGACUGGAGCAAAAUUGUGAACGAUCGCUGAGAAGUACUAGGGGCAGCAAUCAGAAGAGCAUCCCAUGAUUAGGAGACAGGUUCAUCUGCAUGCUCCAACAUGAUGAAGAAGGAGUGUGACACAUAUUUUAUGCUAUUUUACCUGAGAGAGAGCAGCAGGAGUGAUUAGCUAGCUAGAAAUGAGUUUGAAGAUGAUGAUGUGCUACACUAUGACUAUGAUGAUUAGAUAGCUAGUGUUGGUGGUAAUGACUGAUGAUUAUUAUUAGCUAGUGUUGGUGGUGAUUAGAUAGCUACCGUAGCUAGUGUUGGUGAUGAUUAGCUAGCUAGAAUGAGUUUGAAGAUGAUGAUGUGCUACACUAUGACUAUGAUGAUUAAAUAGCUACUGUUGGUGGUAAUGACUAUGAUGAUGAUUAAAUAGCUUGUGCUGGCAGAUUAGAUUCAAGUGGAGUCAACAUGUGGUGCACAUCGAAAUUACUACUAGUCCAAACUUGAUCAAGUUUGGAUUAGUAGUAUACUUUUGACAUGCACCACAUGUUGCCUCCACUUGAACCUAAUCCACCUUCAUUUGACACACUGUUAUGGACAUAAUGAUAUAAACCUCAUAAUUGGUAUUGUACCAAAAUUUGUAUAACGGCGUAUAAAUAUACUAAAAAUAAAAAAAUGAAAAAAAAAGAAUACUAGUAGCGGUUGACAGUAAACACGCUGCUACUAGCUAGAUUAGCAGUAGCCCGGUAGCGAACACAUGCAGCGGCUAUAUGUCUUAGCAGUAGCGCAUGUGGCACCCGCUACUGCUAAGUAAUAGCUGUAGCGCCUUACUAUUAGCGCGGUGUCCCGCGCUACAAGUGGGCAUUAAACUCGCGCUACUACUAGGGUUUUACCUAGUAGUGCAACCUCAAACUGGCAUAAAUAUAGUGCCCGAAGUAGAAAAAAUUGGGAUGCUCAGCUCAAACAGAAUUGAGUUAAUUGCAUGGAGAUACCACACUUGGGGCAGGUGUGAUGGAUCAAUACCACUAUUCAUUUUUUGCAUGUCGGUACCAUGUCUCGGGCAACUUGUUAUAAAACGGUAUAAACAACGUAUGACACCGUAUUGAUGAUGUAUCUGACCAUGCAGCCCCACAUGUUAGGUGACUUGGUGGCCAAUCGGCGCAUGCCACUCCGCUAAAUAGGACGAUGCCGGCUCGGUUAGUCUUGGAUGGGUCAAACCGAUUCAAACCAUACGAACCCUAGUUCCUCCUCUUCCUCUCCCCAUGCGGCUCUCAGGCGAUGGCGGUGGUGACUCAGGGUGGAGGUGCCGGUGGCUGUAGUAGCGGUGGCGGUGUGGGCGGCUAUGGAGACCUUCUUGGCCUUGGGAGUGAUGCACACGGAGGAAUCGACAGUGGCUACUCUAGUUCUUCAUAUUACUAUAACGACAAUGACGCGUGCAUGGAGCCGCCAUUUUCCAUGGAGCAGCGGGUGUGGCUGGCUGAGAUUUGGGCGGCCAACCCGACCACGAGCCAUCGUUGGACCCACGGAGUGGGUGGCGUGUUGUAAGUUCCUCUCCUGCCACUAGUAGAAAAAGGCCCAUUUGUCCCGGUUCAUGAGGCCAAUUUCUCCCGGUUGACGAACCGGGACUAAAGGGUCGGUACUAAAGCCCAACACCUUUAGUCCCGGUUCGCCCAAGAACUGGGACAGAUGGGCUCCAUGUGGCCGUUGCGGCUUUCCCAGGCAGGAGGGCCUUUUGUCCCGGUUGGUGCCACCAACCGGGACCAAAAGGCUUCCACGGGUCAGCNNNNNNNNNNNNNNNNNNNNNNNNNNNNNNNNNNNNNNNNNNNNNNNNNNNNNNNNNNNNNNNNNNNNNNNNNNNNNNNNNNNNNNNNNNNNNNNNNNNNNNNNNNNNNNNNNNNNNNNNNNNNNNNNNNNNNNNNNNNNNNNNNNNNNNNNNNNNNNNNNNNNNNNNNNNNNNNNNNNNNNNNNNNNNNNNNNNNNNNNNNNNNNNNNNNNNNNNNNNNNNNNNNNNNNNNNNNNNNNNNNNNNNNNNNNNNNNNNNNNNNNNNNNNNNNNNNNNNNNNNNNNNNNNNNNNNNNNNNNNNNNNNNNNNNNNNNNNNNNNNNNNNNNNNNNNNNNNNNNNNNNNNNNNNGUUAAUUUAGGGGUUUCAUAUAUUGUGUUAGCUAGCUAACAGAGAGAAGUGUCCUCUCUUAUCUCCGUGCUAGCUAAUAUAUUAUGUUAGCUAGUUAAUUUAGGGGUAUAUAUAGGCACAUCAUUGGUCCCGGUUCGUGGCUUGAACCGGGACUAAAGGACACCCUUUGGUCCCGGUUCAAGCCACCAACCGGGACCAAUGGUGGUGGGCCAGGAGCGAGGCCCAUUGGUCCCGGUUCAUCCCACCAAACAGGACCAAAGGGGCCAGAAAAAUCGGGACCAAUGCCCCCACGAGGCCCGGCAAGCUCCCCGGCCUCAUGAACCAGGACCAAUGCCCCCAUGGGUCCCGGUUCGUGACUGAACCGGGACUAAUGGACUUAUCUGGCUUGAACCAAAGCCCUGUUUUCGACUAGUGUCCCUUCUUUCUAUCUUCAUUUUAUGCCAUACUUGGGGGCUAGGGUUUACUGAAAAUGUACAAAUUUGCUGUCACUUGUAGUUUAGAUAAUGAUGUUUGGGGUGUUAGGAUUCACUUUGAUGCUCAGCAUAAUUUGGAUAGGCAGAUAUGCAACUCAUAUGUCACAUUUCUGAAUGUGUGUGCAUUCUUGCAAAUGCAAGGAUUUACUUUGUCAGAUAAACUGUACCACAUGGAUAAUCCAGGCAUAGGAGAGCAGAGAGAGCAUGUCUUAGAAUUGGUAGACACAAACAUCAAAUCGCGGCAACUUAAGAGGCAGUAUGAGGAGAGUAGAGUUCUGAAUUUUUUAGUGAGGGCAACAACACCUGACAGUACUAUAUCUCACAGAGAAGAAGAAUUAGCCGCAAUUGUAUAUGAAGCACCUCUUAUGUAUGAUCUCAGUGAGCUUGUUGUGCUUGUUGUUGAUGAUCAAGGUAUUGUUUUUGAGAGCCAGUGCAACAGCAGUAGUGAAGUACAACCUCCUGAUAUGUGCACACAAAAGAGCAGAAAUGUUUGUAAGUAGAAGCUCAAAGCUGUGGUGGAAGAAGUAGCGGAGAAGGGAUAUACGAGUACUGAUGACUCAGAGGGUGCAACAACCCAAAGUAAACUAAAGAACAUCAGAGCAUCCGCAUUGCAAACUAAUCUCCUGGACAAAUAAUUUAAGAAAUGAACUUUACAAAAAGUACAACAGCUAUAAUGCAUUGAACAUUGAGCAUCUACACUAAACAAUCAUCGAGUUGCCCAAUUAAACAAUGAGCACCUUCACUGCAAACUAAACUCUGGGUCAAAUAUAAAAUUAACAUCUUCUUGCCAAAUUAAAUAUACAAGGAGUGCAUGAGCACAUGCCUACACAACUUACUCAAAUGAUGAGCAUCAGUACUACUAAAUGGCUAAAAAAUGACCACUAGUACUACUAAGAGCAGAAUCUUACUUGCUAGCACAAACUAGUACCAAUUUUAAUACAGAGAACAUGCUACUACCAAUUUUAAUACAAGCAAUAGAGAAUACACAGAAUCGUACUCUCCGAGGACAAACUAGGAACCUCCCGCCCAUCUCAAAUCCUUCACAGACUACAUGCCUCUCAGCUGGCAGAAGAUGGAGCUCGCAACGAACAAUGGGUCCUGUCUCAAUGCCCAUGUAGUCUUGGUCUUCAAUGCUAGCAGGGAUCUAUAGGAGAAAAAUAAACCAAAACCACGAAAUCCAAAAUCAAAUCCCCACUAGUAGAAAAUGGGCCUUUUGUCCCGGUUCCAAAGGGCCUUUAGUCCCGGUUCAGGAACCGGGACAAAAGGGUCGAGACUAAAGCCCCCCCCCCCUUUAGUCCCGGUUGUGUUACGAACCGGGACUAAAGGCCCUUCACGUGGCCGCUCUCUGGAGCUUCACCUUUAGUCCCGGUUGGUAACACCAAGCGGGACUAAAGGUUGUUUUUUUGAAAUUUUGUUUUUCUGAAUUUUUUGAAAAAGAAAAUUGUAUUUUUUUUGAUUUUUUUUACUUAUUUUUAAAUUUCUGAAUUAUUUGACAAUUCAGUCUCUAAUCACCCAUCAUCACUGCUCAAUUAUGAACCACUCAUUCCAAAUCAUCUAACUUCUCGACCGGUCACUCAUCCUCUCACUACUCUAGCCUGAGCACGCUUAACUUACUAGUUCUAUUCCCCCUAGUUUUCAAGUCUGCACUUGUUGUUUUCCUGACAAUACUAAGUUGUCAAUCCUAUUAACCCUUAGGAGUUGAACUUGAGCAUUAAGCAUCGUUUGAGUUUGAAACUAUUAUUCUAAAAACAAUAAUUAUUUAAUAACAUUAAUAUUUCUUGAAUAAGUAGUUUACCAUAGUUUGACCACAGUUUGACCAUAGUUUGACCACAGUUUGCCAUAGUUUGACCACAGUUUGACCAAAAGUCAAAAAAACUAAAAAUAAUUAUUUAGUAACACUAAUAUUUCUUGAAUAAGUAGUUUGACCAUAGUUUGACCACAGUUUGACCAGAUUUGACCAAAAGUCAAAAAACUAAAAAUAAUUAUAUAUUAACACUAAUAUUUCUUGAAUAAGUAGUUUGACCAUACUUUGACUAGAUUUGACCAUACUUUGACCAGAUUUGACCGUAGUUUGACCAUAGUUUGACCAAAAGUGAAAAAAAACUAAAAAUAAUUAUUUAUCAAUAUUAAUAUUUCUUGAAUAAGUAGGUUGACCAUAGUUUGAUCAGAUUUAACAAAAAGUAAAAAAAACUGAAAUUGAGCAUAUAUUUUUUUUCCUUUCACAAUUUGAGGAUUCUAAAAAUUUGCAAACAGGCCUAUGGCUGUCAAAAUCAGAUGCGGACUUUCGUGAUGAUUUUUUUGAUGUAUUAUGCGUUUCUUUUCGACAUCUUAUGCAAAAGAUAUGGCCGUUUUACAUUUUAUAACACCUUUUUGCAAAAUAUGUCCAAAUUUAAGUUUUUUAAUUUUCCUAACUAAUAGAAGUAGUAACAUAACUACAUCUCGAAGGAUUUCAAUUUUUGAAGAUUUUGUCAUUUUAUUUUUGUUUUUUACAAACUGAAAAGGCGAUAAGGGGGGGGGGGGUAGAGUUUGAACUUUUAGUCCCGGUUUGAGAAAUGAACCGGGACUAAAGGGCAUCACACCCUUUAGUCCCGGUUCAUGUCUCAAACCGGGACUAAAGGUCCCAUUUGAACUGGGACUAAUGCCUUCCUGACGCCUUAGCCGCUCGAACCGGGACUAAUGCUCACAUUAGUCCCGAUUCGUGAUGCAACCGGGACUAAUGUGUACAUUGAGCUGUGACCAAUGCCAUGUUUUCUACUAGUGCCCCAAAGCAGAAACCCUAACCCUAGCUCUACCACUCACCAUCUACUGCGUGCCAUUAGAGGAGUUGUUGUACUACAUGUUGGAGUAGUCGUCGCUGCUCUCAUCCUCAUCCACCAUGGUGUGGAGGCGGUGGCGGACUACACGAAAGUCGAUGGCGAAUCAGAGACAGGAGGGCGGGAGCAAGAGAGGGGACUAGGGUUCGAGGGGAGUUCGUCCGGUUCGAAUCGGUUCGACUGGCGCACAUACACCGACCGAGCUCGCUUCGUCCUAGUCAGCGGAGUGGCACACGCCCAUUGGCCGUCGUGUUACCUGAAAGGUGAGACCGCACAGUCGGAUACAGUGUCAAUACGACGUCAUACAGUGUUUAGACCGUAUUGUAACAAGUUGCUCCAGACAUGAUAUUGACAUGAAAAAAACAAGCGAAUAGUAGUGUUGAUCUGUCACACCUGUCCGGAGUGUGGUAUCUUCAUGCGAUGAACCCAACAAAAUCUACAACACAACGAGUCUGUUUGGAUCCAUGGGUUAGAGUUAGUUUGGACUCAACUAACCUAAAAAUAUCCAAACAGGAGGGUUAAUUUGGGUUAUAGGCAUCUAACCCUCCCAAAAAAAAACCACCCAAGAGGUGCUUAUUUGGGUUAGUUUUCCUCGGGACCACUAAAAAGCACAUUUUUCUCUUGCUUUCUCCACAGCAGAUCCCUCCUCACUUCCUCAAAGCUUCUCGUCCUCUCCCUCCCUCCCUCUCGCACCACCCUUGAAAGUGCCUCGCCAUAUCCGCGCUCCUGUCCGCCGCCGGUAAGUAGCCCCGCCCUAUCCUCCAGUUCCAACCCCCUCGUCUCCUCGGGGCCCGUCCACCCGACUGUAAGCAGUCGCGGCUCCUUGCGCGGCCCGUCCCCGUCGGCCUCGGCCGGCGCGGCUCCUUGCGCAGGAACGGCGGAUUCGGCCGGCGGGCUACGCGAGAGGCCAGCACGGCUCCUUGCCGAGCGCAUCCCCGUCUGCCUCGUCCACACCAAAUCCGGCAGAAAAUAGGAUCCAAAGUAGCCAAAUGAUUGAGAAAGAGCAUUCAUUGACAAUCUAACCCUGCCAUCCAAACACCUCUUUAGAUAGAGUUAGUUCGGGAUCAAUUCAGGAUUAGAAUCUAACUCUAACUGAGUUACAGUAUCCAAACAGGACCAACAACGCAAAACUAUCCUGACCAAGACGAAGAUGGGUGUGCAUGAGAUGACACGAUCGCCACAGUGCAUUGUAUCUUUUGACGUCUGCAUAGUAAAACUACCCAGUAUUCUUCGUGUUCCAUCUUUUUUCUGUGCCAUGGAACCGUGGCCCCACGAGAUCACUGUAUUUCACUGAGAUUAGGCAUAUGUGACAGGAACCGUAUCUGUGUUUGCAUAGGGAAAUCUCCUCACUCUCUCUCUCUCUGACUACUCAAUUACCUCUCCGGCAUCAUGUCUACGACAAGCAUUGAUGGACUAUGGCCGAGCUGUCCAUGUCAACAGCGCUUGAGUUGCUACUAGCGCCUGCGCCCAUGCCACCCACGAGUAUACAGUAGCAUUGCCCUAGGUUCCAGGGGGAAUCAUCCACAAGCAUUCAUGGACUAGGGCCGAAUCUGUACACGACAACUAGAGUUGAGAAGGAGCGGUGGCCAGCUCUGAGUCCUUUGCGCCCACGGGUUUGCGUCGGCACACAACAACAAAAACCAAGAUUGAACCGGGAGUCAGAGCAUCUCCAACAGCCGCGCUAAACUAGCGCCGCGCCGCAAAAUAGGCCUUUUUAGCGCGCGCGCAAUGCGGCGGCUCGCUCCAGCGUGCGCGCAAAAACGGCGCGCGCGCAAUAACGGGUUGGGCGCGCGGUCAAAAACACUUAUCCGCGCGGUGUAUUUGGAGCGCCAGCUACAGCGCGCGGCACACUAGAGCACUCGCGCCCGCACUCUCUCCCUCUCCUCCUCCUACGCCCCGCGCGCGCCGGCGCCGGCGCCCUGCCCCCCGCCAUGGACGCGCACACCGGCGCCCCGCUCACUCCGCUGUACAUCCGCGACCCCCCCGCCGCCGCCGCCGGAAACCCUAGCGCGGCGAGCGCUGGCGUCGCCACCGCCGGAGCUCCGCCGCCUCGCGCGCAGUCUCUUCUUGCCGCCGCGGAUGACUACGGCGCCGGCGCCGGGUGGCGUCGCGCCGGCGCCAUCCCGUGCCGCCGCCGCACCGUCGAAGAAGGUACCCAAUGCGGCGCGGGCGAAGAAGGGCAAAACAUCCGCGAAGAAGAACAAGGCGGCGGACGGCUCCGACAUGGCGAGGGGGAAAAAGCUUGCAGGGCGUCCGCGAAGAAGAACAAGGCUCCGGCAGGCAUGGGUGCACCUCCGGCCGCCAUGGGUGCACCUCCGGCCGCCAUGGCUUCUCACACACAUUCCCAUGAAGAUGCCGUUGAAGAUCUUGCCAACACCGUCGGAGCUUCACAUGAUGCGGUGCGUGAUGCGGUGCGUGAUGAAGAUAGGGAGGAAGGUUCAUCUUCGGAGGCGGAAGAGUCGUCUUCGGAAGAGGACGAAGACGAAGAAGAGGAAGAUGAAGAUGAAGCUUGAUGUGUCUUUCAUGUCUUGAACUUUUAGUUUGCAUUUGAACUUGGUUGGAUGAACUUGUGGGCAUGAUUUUGAUGAACUUGUGGGCAUGAACUUUUAUUCAUCAACUUGUUUGUGUCAAAUUUUACAUGUUCAUUUUUGUCCAAAAUAUCCAUAUAUGCAAAAUGCCCGGCGAGUCGCGCGCGCUGCUGGAGCGGCAUUUCAAAACCAGCCGCAGCGCGCGCUAACAGGUUUUUUGCGCGCGGCGCUUUAGCGCGGCCGUUGGAGAUGCUCUCAGUCGUGGGCCUGGUGGCCACGGACUAAUAGUACUGUAGUAGUAGUACUGAAUCACUUGCAACACGUACGCAUGCUUACCACGCGCGCGCGCACACGCUAUAAGAUGAGACGCACCGCCCAGCAGGUUUCUUACAGAGUAGCUGCGUUCGUGUAUACAUAGCAUAUAGCAAACCACCACUGAAUCCAUCAUCCAUGGCGAGAUGCUGGCUGCUGCUCGUCUUCAUGGCGUUCAUCUUGCCGGCGGCGAACGCGACGCCGUGCCACCCUGACGACCUCCACGCUCUGCGGGGCUUCGCCGGGGAGCUCGGCGGUGGGGGAGCCCUCCUCCGCGCCGCAUGGUCCGGCGCCUCGUGCUGCGGCUGGGAAGGUGUGGGCUGCGACAGCACCAGCGGCCGCGUCACGGUGCUGCGGCUCCCCUGGCGCGGCCUGGCGGGGCAAAUCCCUGGAGGCUCUCUAGCGGGCCUCGUGUGGCUGGAGGAGCUCUUCCUCGGCUCGAACCAUUUCGUGGGCGUCCUCCCAGACGAGCUCUUCGGCCUCGUCAAGCUAAGGAAGCUCUCCCUCGCAUCCAACGAGCUCACCGGCGAGGUGAGCCCACGCCUCGGUGAGCUCACACACCUUACCUUGUUGGAUUUGUCUGCUAACCGCUUCUCCGGCCCCCUGCCCGACGUGUUCGGUGACCUCACGUCGCUAGAGCAUUUGGCCAUGCAUUCUAAUGGCUUCUCCGGCUUCUUGCCACCGUCUCUUUCAUCACUAUCUUCUCUCCGUGAGCUCAACCUCCGAAACAACUCCAUGUCCGGUCCGAUUGCUCGUGUUAGCUUCUCCGACAUGCCACUUCUUGCCUCGCUUGACUUUUCCACAAACUCCCUGACUGGGUGGAUCCCGACUAGCCUCGCCGGCUGCGGUGAGCUCAAGUCGCUCAACCUUGCCAACAACAUAUUGGUCGGCACCAUCCCGUCGUGGAUUGGUGAGUUUGACAACCUUUGGUACUUGAAUCUCUCAAAUAAUUCAUUUGUCGGCGAGGU
rnacentral:lncRNA from 1 species